GGAAGAACAACAAGAAGAGCGGUGAGGCUGAAGCCGAGGAGUAAGAUGGAAGUUUAUGCUCAUGGAGAAGCAUGGAUGUGUUUCCCCUUCCUAGCUCAGUUUUACCUUUAGGAUCUGGAGUUUCGCUUAAGAUGGAAUUUAAAUGGUCUUAUGUAUGAUGGCAAGGACCCUCUUUUGCUGCAGAAGUGUUACUGCCGUAAUAUUACGAUAUUAUGUGUUAAGUUCAUGCUACUCUUUGACUUGUUGUUUUACCUUCUCUCUAACUGGUUAUCUGCUUGGAGGUCAACAUUGGAUUUAAAGCGUGCUGUCAGCCAUUGACUCUAGGCUCGUGCCGUUUGCCAUUGUGAUUGACGCGACUAUGUCAGCCAGUGCAGAACACGUUGGUGCAAUGCGACCAAGGGGCUGUUUGGAUACCCGUGGUUAUUGUUGCAUCGAAUGUUUGGAGGGUAAUUAGAAGGACUAAACAUGAGCUAAUUAUAAAACUAAUUGUAGAAGUAGAUACCAGUGGUUAUUGUUGCAUCGAAUGUUCGGAGGGUAAUUAGAAGGACUAAACAUGAGCUAAUUAUAAAAUUAAUUGUAAAACUUCUAGCCUAAUUCGCGAGAUGAAUCUAUUAAACUUAAUUAAUUCAUCAAGCAAAUGGUUACUGUAGCACUACAUUGUCAAAUCAUGGACUAAUUAGGCGUAAUAGAUUUAUCUCACGAAAUAGCCUUCAUAUGUGUAUUUUAUAUUUAGACUAUAUUUAAUACUUCUAAUUAAUAUCUAAAUAUUAUGUGAAAGGGCUAAAGUUUAGACUCCCUUAAACCAAACAUCCCCUAAAUUUUUGGACCAGAGUAUGCAGGACAAUAGUUGAAGACAUGUCUGAAUCUUUUGUUCCAGUAGAAAACUCUAGUGAUUGAUUCAUGUACGUGCUCGUGGAUCUGACAUCUGAGCUCGCCUCGCCUCACAGGCUCGCAGUUCGCAAGCGCUGUGCUCCGACGACCGGCUUCCAUCGUUGCCGCCGGCGUCAAGCCCGCGGCCUUUUCGAAUUGUAAUUUGGAAGGAAGUAAGUACAUAUAUGCAUAUAUGAUGCUACAGACAGGCUCGAAAGCUGUAGUACUCCUUGCCUCAGGAUAAGCACGGGCGUUUGCAACAUACGGCUCUUCGCGCAGUGGUUCCGUGGGACUCAAGUUGAACUACGGUUAACUGAACAAGCUGUACAGAUUACAGAGGUGUGUAGCUCAACACGCAGAACAGAAUGUGAUAUUCCGUUUCAAAAAAAAAAACAUAGAGGUGUGUAAGUUUUUUUUUUCCGCCGGGUGUUUUACUGCUAUACAUGACUGAGAAGAAGCUCUUUGGCAACAUAAUUAUUCAUCACAAUAUAAGAAGCAGUUCCUUUUUUCAAGUCAGGUAUCCCCAUACAUACAAGUUUCAUACAUCAUUCAGACAAAGAAGUAAAGACAGGAGGGAACUAAGAACAUGCCUGUAAACUUGCAAGCAGACCAACCAGGUCUCUAGAUCAACACACAAGCAAUGAUGUUAGAGAACCCACAUAACUCCAAAACCAUUACAAACGUAGACAGCAACAUCGUUGCUGCUAACCGUCAUUAACACCAUCAGCAGCCAAAAGGAAGAGAGCGCCUAUGAUCAUGCAAUAACAAGCAUCAAGCAUUUUGAUGUACUACACCUCCGGCUAAAAUCUAAAUAUAUACAGGCUGGUCCUGGAAUGGGUGCAGUCAGACUAUUACUCUCUUGGCAAAUGAUAUUGCCAUCAAUAUUUGUAUCAGCCACAUGAAACGUAAUGCCAGUAUGGUUUGAUCUAAAAAAAUGACUUUAUCAGGUUUCUGAAUCUAGUUUAUCAGAUCAGAGGUUGGUUGGUGGUCAACCUUUUUUUGUCUCGGAGUAUCCAACUUAGUACUGAGUUUCAACUACAGAAAGUACUAUCGAAGUGUCUCACAAGAUAGGUAUAAAAGAUGCAUCAAGUAGCUUGUUCAUUCAGAGAAGGAUGAGUUAAAUCAGAACAAAUAGAGACCGAUAUGGCGGUAUAUCGAAGCAGAUCUAAGCAUUGCGGGAACAGUGACCUCCAAUCAUUUCAGAACUUGCGCACUAAAAUGGUAGGCUGAAACACAAAGAAGCAGAAGCUGAAACACAAAAACCCAGUUGGCUUAUCAGGAAACCAGAGCACAUAACUGAUUGGAUGCAAAGAUAAUUGCAUGUUCAGCUAUCUCUGAGAAAACAAAAGGCACACUGAGUAAGAACUAUAUGCCUAGUAAUAUUAGUCACUUCGAGCAUACCACCAAUAAACUGCAGGCUCACAUUAAGUCUUAACUAAUCUCUAAUGACUGAAAGGAAUUGACUGUCAACUUCGAGCACAUGACCUUGUAGCAGGCAAUUCUAUUUGAGCGACAUAUGAAUUAGCAUUGUUUAGAAACAAUAACCCAGCUUCUAUGGUUAACAAAAUUGCUAGUCGAAUACCGCUGCUUACACUCUAGAACCUUAAAACUAAUGCAUGGAAAAUGAGCUCCGAAGUAACGUGAAUCACUGGUUUCUUUGGUUUCUACUCCAUAGUUAGUAACCCUGACUUUUGACUAUCACAUCGAUUAAUAUAUAAGCACAAGAAAUAAUACUCAAAUAAGAUUGGAAUGGCAAACAGUGCAGCCGCAGGCCAAAGCUGAUCCAACCUGCCCAAAGACCAUGUUUAAAAAAAUUGUACUGCCUUAGCUACCAUUUUGUUUUUAACAUUUUUGCCAAUGUGAGACUGUUCGGGCUACCAUUGCUAAUGGAAAAUUACAUGGUGUAAUAGCUCCAACUACCCCACAGACUGCAGUACAAAGAAAAAAGAGAGGAAAAUUGAGGUACAUGACGUGUAAAUCUCCACACACACGAUAAUAAAUACUCAAAAGAAAGAUAAAAAAAAGAACAGCACUUUGUUUAGAAAUCAGCACACAAGAUCAAAAAAUGAACUGCUAAAUUGGAGUCAAAGUCCAUUACACAAUGUCAAUAUGUUGCUCAAACAAAUGGAAGCAGCAAUUGUAUUUGUAUUAAAUUAACUCCUUCCAAGUUUGCAAGUUUGACCUGCGAAACUAAGAAGUACAAAUCCUAAAGCCAUGCAUUAGUCAGCAAUAUCUGUAGUACCCACUAAGUGAAAACGUAUUUUACCACUGCUGCAGGAACAUUUUGAGUCCCCUUGCAAAGAAAAAGUCAUACAUAUACAUACUUCAUAAAAGGGAGGCAUCUUCUAGCAUAUGACAUCACCAACUCCAGACCUGGUAUUUGGCUAGGUUGCAAAGAAACCGGUAUAUGCAUACUAACUUGAAUCCCCCCCGCACGCGGGCUGGUUAUAACAAUAUCACUUAAUCAAAACAAUGUAUCACCUAAGUCAAGCUAGUAAAAUACACAAGUAAUGAUGAGAUCAAGGGGAGCAGAAACCACUGAAUUAUUAUUGGCAAACACCUGAUUGACAUUCCCAUAUGAUUCCAAGUGAAACAAUCCCUAGAAGGAAAACCUGAAAAACUGAGGAAGGCGACCAAACCAGGGAUGCAGGGGGCGCUUAUGAGCCUAUCCUGCUGACGGGGUAGACAAAAUCCAUAAUGCAUCAUCAUCCUCACGAGCAUGGCGGUCCGGCGCCAUGGCACCCACGCCGCAGCGAUGAAAGACCUUAGUACUGGAGGGCCUUGCCUAGCCACACAGAGAAGGCAUCUACUCCUUGUACUUCAUGCUCUCGAGCGUGAACCCAGGCAUGUCGAAGGAGUCAGCAAACUUCUCCACCUCAGCCUUGAGGUUCUCGAUGUCCUUGUUGUUCACUAGGCCCUUGUUGAAGUCCUUGAGGAGCUUGCCGUACUCCUUCUGGAUGCUCAGGCAGAUGGUCACCGCCCGGUGGAGGAACUCGCCGAUCUGCUCAAAGUCUUUCUCCACCAGACCCCUCGAGGUCAUUGCGGGGGCACCUGAAAACCAUACCAACAAUACAUGAGAAAUAUUGUUUAAGCAUUCCAGUAAAGUUGUAGACUUGUAGCAUCAGGUACGUAUGAACAAAUGUUCUACGCUAAAGAAUGGGUGCAGUAUUUAAUUGUAUGACAUUGGUUUCCAGCUGAGUUCUUAGCUGUGUUAAGUGUUAACAUGCACUGUCAGGGUAAAGCAUUAGCUGAAGGAUGAUACUGGACUUGGUCCAAGCACAGGUCUUGGAAUACAUAUGUAGGCCAUGGAGUUCAUGAUACCAACAAAGCAAGGUUUGAAUCUUGACAACCAACUCAUUUACAUUUGCAAGAGCUACACCGCUUUUGUAUAGGAAAGUGUGAAGAAGAGUCAAGUGAAAUACUGAAAUAGAACCAAAACUAUUAUUCUACCUGCAAUUAGUUAAAGAGAUUGAAUGAUUAAUUGGCAGAGUAUAGUCACCCUUCAAUGGAACAAGGAUCAAAAAAGGGCACAAGUACCGAAUAUUCCAUAUGGAAUUUGGACAAUGGUUACCAGUGUACAGUGUACUACAAUGGUCCAAUACAAUACACUUGCAAUGCAGAAUUUAAAUAUGUUACUUGGACAAACAGGUUGUGUGAAUCCCGCAUCUGAUGCAUCACGGACAAAUGUCCAAAAAUAUUGAAAGCUUACCACUUUGAGAAACCAUUUUGGGGUGUUUUGGCUUAGGAACAAAUUUGCUAUGGGGAGGCGAAUUCAAAUUUUGGCAUGCAAGAAUCAGGGCCAUCAAUUUGGUGGCCAAGAUUUUGGCCUAUUGGACACCAAAAUGAACUAGCUGGCCACAGUGUUGCAAAGCCAAAUUUUGGCACCCAACCAAAUGGUGGCCAAAUUUGGUCAAAGUAGCCAAAUUUUGGCUUGCCACCCAUGGGCACUAGGGUCAAAGUAAACACACCUAAAAUAUUUAUAGACAUAUCACCUCUUUGCUAAGAAGAGAGGCUACCAAAUAACAACCACCCCAAUUUUCCAAACUGCCAUAUGUAAUCGUUUAUGGAGGGUUGUACCAUAGCAGAAUUAAUGAAAAAUCUGAUAUUACUAACCAAUGCGGACACCACCCGGAGCCAAUGCACUGCUGUCACCGAAGACAGCAUUCUUGUUCAAUGUGAUGUGGCAAAGGUCACAGAGCUUUUCAACCUUGUUUCCUGCAGACAUAAGCCAACAUUAGAACAAGUUAUAAUAUGUACCAAAUAAAAUGAAGCCCGUUGGAUUGCUAAUUUGUAUACCAGUCAAGCCAAGAGGGCGGAGAUCCCAGAGGACAAGGUGGUUCUCAGUUCCAUCAGUCACCAUCUUGUAGCCCUUGCUCAUGAGAUAGUUUCCAAUGGCAACAGCAUUCGCCUUCACUUGCUUUGCAUAGGCCUUGAAGCCAGGUGUCAUAGUUUGCUGCAGAGCAACGGCAAGUGCCGCAAUCUGGUGAUUGUGAGGGCCACCUUGCAGAGAUGGGAACACCGCAAAGUUAAUCUUGUCUUCAUAGUCAUACAGAGCACCCUCAGGCUGGCCCUUCUUGGGGGGCUUAGGGCCUUUCCUGUAGAAAAUCAUGCCAGCCCUUGGCCCACGUAGAGACUUGUGUGUGGUAGUGGUAACCACAUCACAAUACUCAAAAGGAUUUGCGGCUUCCUGAAAUGGAGGAAGGCAAAAAUUUUCAAACUAAGCAUUUGUAGUGAAUAAUCUCUUCAGGUCUCCUCCAGUACUCAAAGAAGGAUGAUGAUAUGCAAGCAUUACUGCAUUAGCCAAAUAAUAUCACCUUCUGUAUUAUGGCCAUCAAAUAGUGCAUUAGCUAAGUCUAACUAAAGCAAGGAGCCGUUGGGUACAAUGAGUUAGAAAUAUGUCUGCCUUGUGCGGCAGCAGAUUGAUUGUGAGGUUCUACUGUGGAUUGCCUAUAUAUGCACGAUCAUUGCAUGACAAAUGUAGACCAAAAAAGCAUGAAUACGACUUUAAACAUUUUGACAUACAUAAGCCCAAAUUUGAUUAGCAAUAAUGUGCACAAGGACGCGCUAUGUAAUUUGCAAAAGAACAACCAUGUACUACUUCUUUAAUAUAUUGCCGUAAAAGAGUACAAACUAUUGAAGACUCCUGCAAUGGUUUCAAUUGGUUCGGUGAGUAUCUGAGUGCAAUUCCACUAAAGCAGGAUCAUAUCCACUGAGAAUACUCCAAAACAUGAAAACAGAUGGAAUAUCAGAUCUAUCACCAUCAAAGGAAUACAUUCAGACAAACUAAAGCAGGUAAAACAUUGAUUUCACGAUGACAAGGCACAUUUAUACUACUUAAAAAACAAGACAAGGCACAAAACAACAGACAGCAAGCGUCCAUAUAAAAAAAUCUUAAAAUCAGUAAACGUGCAAAACACUGAGAUCUAAUAUGGGAUUAAAUAAUCCAGCGUUUCAUUCAACAACCACAAUAAUUGAUUUGCCUAGACUAGAUAGCAAAUAGAAUCCAGACUACCACAUCUCUCAGAUCCAACUAAUUGCCGUUUCAAUGGGAAUGCAAGAUGAAAUUUCAUGAAAGCAACUAGCUAAUCGAGAACAAUUUAUCAGAGAUUAUUGUACCUGUGCGGCGACAAGCCCGCUGAUGUGCGCCAUGUCGCAGAGCAGCAGCGCCCCGACCUUGUCGGCGACGGCCCUGAGCCUGGCGUAGUCCCAAUCCCUCGGGUACGCGCUGCCACCGCAGAUGAUGAGCUUGGGGCGGAAGUCGAGCGCCUUCUCCUCGAGCUUCUCGUAGUCGAUGUACCCGGUGGCGGCGCUCACCUUGUACGGCAGGCUCUCGAAGUAGAUCGAGGUGGCGGAGAUCUUCUUGCCGCCGGCGGUGUAGUACCCGUGGGUGAGGUGUCCGCCGGAGGGGAGAUCGAGGCCCAUGAUCCGGUCGUGCGGGUUGAGCAGCGCGGUGUAGGCGGCGAAGUUGGCGGGGGAGCCCGAGUAGGGCUGCACGUUGACGCCCCAGGCGGCCGGGUCGAGGCGGAAGGCGGCGAGCGCGCGGGAGCGGCAGAGGUUCUCGAUCUCGUCGAUGACGUCGUUGCCGCCGUAGUAGCGGGCGCCGGGCAUGCCCUCGGAGUACUUGUUGGUGAGCGGGGAGCCGAGCGCCUCCAUGACGGCGAAGGAGGUGAAAUUCUCGGAGGCGAUGAGCUCGAUGCCCCGCCGCUGCCGCCGCUUCUCGCGCUCCAGGAGGUCGUAGAUCUCCGGGUCCGCGCCGGCGAGCGGGGUCAGGCCCCAUGUGGCGACGGGAUCCAUGGCGGCUGCGGAAGGGGAGGCGGGAGUGGCGACGGCGAGGAAGGGACGAGAACGGAGGCGGAGGGGAUGAUGGGGUGGGAAGCGUGGUGGUGGAGGGAAGAAGGGGGCGCGGGAAGAUAUAUCGGUGGUGCACGGGAGGAUGGCGCGUGUGCACAUGUGGAGGUUGGUGGUGGUGGGUGUGGGAGGGAGUGGGUGCGGCGGGUGCGAGUUCGGGCGAGGUGGUCGACGGAGGAAGCUACCUUCUCGGAGAAUUGGAAAAAGAAAUACUCGAGAUUAAUCGAUGUGAUGCGCCUGCCGAAAAUUUUUUGCGUGGUUUGGAGGGGGUUGGUGUGGGCGCGAGAUACGGGUUUUUUAGAACGGGUUUGCUGGGCUGGGUCUUGAACUCUUGAUGGACCGGGCUGAGAGCGGGAAUUUAAGAGAUGCAUUUCAACUGUUAAUAAAGCAUUGGCUGUAUACUAAAAACAACGAACCUAAAGAAAAUAAAUAAAAUCAAAAUCUCUAAUUUGUGGGUUCGAGUAGUCUUCUUUUCACUCAUGUUUUGAAAUGAAUCAGGUAGAAGAGCUGCGAUUAUACGAAAACAAGGUGAGAACCCAUACUACGUUAUGAGGUGAGAGUGAAUACAUUGACGCCACUAUGUCAGCCAUUAGCAAACGAAGUGAUCUGAAAUGAAACAGGUUUCAGAGGAGUGGGGUGGGCUAGAGCUGUAAAAUGCGGUUGUAUGUGUUGAGCAGCGUUUGAAGUUAUCGUGUUAGAAGAAACAGUAUGUUGGAGAUGCUGCAUCUCCAGCUGCAAUGCGGCUGGAGAGUAACCACUUUGCGCUCAGAUUCCAGAAGAGAAUAUGCAGCACAACAACUGACAGAAAGCUGAAGCGCUCGGAUCAUGUUCUUGAACAAGAAACCAGUGGCAUGUGAAGAGAAAAAAUAUAUAUUUACAUAUAGUUGAUGCCACAGGCUCGCAAGCUGCAGCAUUGCAUUGCAAGGAUGUCAUUCUACUACUCCUUAGGCCUCUUGACGAUGAGGACCGGGCACUUGCAGUUCUGCGCGCAGUGGUUGCUGACGCUGCCCAGGAACGCCCUGCAAUGUCACAGCACAAUCAUUCGCACCCAGAUCAUAAGCGACGGCAGGAGAAAUGUCAAAAUUGGAAUUGGACGUGAGUUGUGACGGUAAGCAAUGGCUGUCUCCUGGACUCUGAUCCUCAUCCAGCCAGUGGCCAUCGCGUCGCACUCGCGUCAUUGAGAUGGGUGGAUGCUUGUACUCCUAGUAAUGAGAUGAAAAGGACCGGUUGAUACCUCUGGAUGAAGCCGUAUCCAUGGCUGCCCAUGACGAGCAGGUCGGCGCCCACCUUGUCGGCGGCGUCGCAGAUGACGUCCCGCGGGUCCCCGCUCUCCACCAGCGUCUCGACCGCCAAGUGCGGGUGCUCGGCGCAGAGGCGCUUGGCCUUGUCGACGGCCGCCGCCGAGACGGCGGUGGCGUGCCUCUCAACGCUCGCCAGCACGUCCGAGGUCAUGAUGUACCCUGCGUGCAGCAGCGCGUCGCAACUUGUUACGGUGAGCCUGGAAAAACAACGCGCACGCAACCUACCAACUGAUGCGGUAGCGAUACCUACCUGCGCUGUCCAUGGCGGCGUAGACGGGGCGCGGGCGGCGCGCGUGCACGAGGAGGAGCGUGUCGCCGCCCGCCGGGGAGACGACGUUGGCGAGGCACCAGGUGAGCGCGUGCACGCUCUCCUCGCCCUCGUCCACGGCCACCACGAUGCGGCGCCCGGCUCCGGCGGCUCCGGCGGCGGCGGUGGCGGGGGGAGCGGCGGAUGCCAUGCUGGAGAACUGAGCACGAGGAUCGCUGGACGAAUUGUUGUUGGGGGGGGAGCGGAGCGGGUCGCACAAGAAUUGGAUGCUGCUAUCGAUGGCGAUGACGAUGAGAAGGGGCUGAGGGGAGAGGCCUGCUUUAAAACAGGGGGAGAAGCCCGCGGCUAGGUGCUCUGCACGGGCUGCCACGGCGCCUGGCUGGCUGUCCCCGUCUCCGUGUGACACUGCCCUGGGUUUGGGCGGCCGCGGCCGCCGCUGGGUUUAUCCUCACCGCCCCGGUUUUUCCCGCUUCCCGAAACACCCAUCCGAUCCGGUGAUCCCGAUGUCCUACCUAGUACGAGGAACGGUCAUGAGGACCAGCCGGACCAGCAACUUAUGUGUGAAUGUGUCUACGUGGGUAGCAUCUGGUGGUGCCAUUUCAAACGUGCGUUGAAAGUGAAACCCAAUGGAUUUUUACGAAACUAACCUUGUUCUCCAAAGAAACUGAUGGAUUUGAAGGCAAAUGCAUCUAUUUGGCUUACAAUGACACACGUUUUGUUCUUUUUUUCUUUUUUAACAGGAGAGGAGAACGUUUUGGCCAAUUAGGCUUUGGCAGGCUCUUCUUCGUAGUGAGCCCAAGCGACAGGAGGAUCACCAUCCACGGCCCCCGAAGCCCGUUUCGUAAUGGGUCGAGUAGAACUGAGCACGUCGCUUGGACUGGACUAGAAAGAGGUCGGGUCACUGUUCCUUUCACGGAAAACCUAUCCAUCUUUCGGAAGGUGGAUAGAAGCUUCACCUUCUAUUGUUGGAGAUUCGUGUGGCUGCUGUGGGCCGCACGAUCUCCUCCAUCCUCACCAUCGUCUCCCCCGACGUUCACGCGUCAACGCGGAGGGGGCUAGGGGGUGCGAGCUAGGUGGAGGGGUGGGUGGUGGGCAGGAGUGACCGGUGGUGGCCGAGGUCGGCGGGGGCAGGUGGCGGGUGGCGGAGGUUAGGGUUUGGGGUUUCGGGGGGGCUUCAAUGGCUGUCGGACUUAGAAAACGAGGUCGGGGAGGGGGGGUUGCGGCAGGUCCGGCGAUGGUGGUGGUGCGGCCGCCGGCAGAGGCAAGGUGGCGUGGGAGCGCCGGCGGCCGGGCAAGGCCGGACAGCCGGUUGGCGGUGGCUGGCGGCGGGUCGAGAAAGGCUGCUAGGUUAGGAGCCAACCUUUCUUUCACGCACCCCCUUCCCCUUUUCGAUUGCACACACGAGGCGCCGCGAGAGCCGGAGAGAGAAAGCACCACACCGCUCGCCGCCACACGACAGCGAAACCAAGCCAAAACCAUGGCCGCCAACCUCUGCCGCCUCGCCUCGACAUCCGCGUCCGUCCUCUCCUGCCAGCCCCAACCUCCUAGUCCUCCGCCCUCCCUCCUCCUCCACCUCAAGCUCUCCAGUUCCGCCCCUCCGCGACGGAUCCGCCGGCGCUGGAGGUCGCCAGGAAGGCGAAGGGAGAGGAAGCCGCGGGAGACAAGGGCUCCGGCGAGGGGAAGGCGGAGGCGGCGGUAGAGGAGGAGGAUAACGACAGCGGCGUGCAUGUGAACAAGGCCACCGGCGAGAUCGGCGCCCCGCGUGGGCCCGAGCUCGUGCAGGAUGGCGACUGGGAGCACGGCGGCCGCUGCUCCGAUUUCUGAACUGCCCCGCCAUGAACCCUGCGAGGUGAGAUCGUGGGCAGCGGGUUACGUGUGUUGUGCGUUUGGAUUUGCUCUAUGAUAUGAUGCUAGUCGUUUUAGUAAUCUGUGCAAGGAUGGUGUGAUAUACAGGGGGUGUUUGGAUACGAGGUGCUAAACUUUAGGAGUGUCACAUCGGAUGUUCGGAUGCUAAUUAGAAGGACUAAACAUGAGCUAAUUAUAAAACUGAUUGCAGAACCCCUAUACUAAUUCGCGAGAUGAAUCUAUUGAGCCUAAUUAAUCAAUAAUUAGCACAUGUUUACUGUAGCAGCACAUUGUCAAAUCAUGGACUAAUUAGGCUUAAUAGAUUCGUCUUACGAAUUAGACUCCAUAUGUACAAUAGGUUUUGUAAAUAGUCUAUGUUUACUCCUAAUUAGUAUCCAAACAUCCGAUGUGACGGGUACUAAACUUUAGGAGGUGUAUCCAAACACCCUUAUAAUACUGUUAAAAAUGUGUUUUGCUUUGUCCUCUGGGGAAUGAAUAAAAUGAGUUGACAUCAUUCAAUUCAGAAUGUUCAGAGCAUCUCGAUCGCCUUUGCUUGCAUUGGUGCCUUAGAUUCUCCAAUUUCGUGCUGCUAUAUUGAACUGGUGCAGCUAUUUGGUUACUGCAUCCUCGUUAAUUACAAGAACAGAAACAAUGGGAUGCAGAGCAGAUCACUAUGACUUCUUGAAUUUCAAAUGAGAGAAGGGCAAAAAAUUCCUUGCUCCGGUUUGUGCCUCGUUAAAUUGUAUUCCUAGUCAAUUUUUUUUCUCAAUUGAUUUCACUCGCACAGAGCUAUUCAUGGUUGAGCCUUAUGUUGAUGGGUGAGGGCUACUGUGUUGUUUGCUUUUGGUGGGGCGAAUUGGGGUUACUCUCAUGUGUUUCGGAUUCAGGCAACUGAAGCCUGUUGAUAGUUGAGACUGUAGUGGUGACGCCUUUCAAAAAGAAACUGUAGUGGCGACAUGUAUCGAUUUUCUUAUUGGGAUCAUUCAUCAGUUGGAUAUAUUUAGCUAUGCUCUGUCUGCAAUGGCAUAUCUGGGCAAGGGCCAGCAUACGGCCGGCAAACCCGUCUUCGAUGCAUGGUGAAGUCUGAAGGUCGGAGUUUACUUUUAUAGUCUUAUUUGAUGAUCUUAUGGUCUGUAGCCUGAAGCAUGAGAGUCCUCUGGCUGCUGAAGUCUAAAGUUCAAAGUUUGCUGAUACAGUCACAUUUGAUCAUGGUGUGGUCUGUAGCCUGAAGCAUGAGAGUACAUGUGCUAUCAUGGUGUAGGCAGGAUGGUACAUAAACCUGAAUAAAAUGUUAAGCAUGAGGGUACAUGGGCUAUCUUAGGUUGUGGUCUUCAACGCUGCUGCAACGUUAACAGCAUCAACCUCGACCACAAUCCUUUGUGCUCCCGCUCGCGGUGCUGCUUUGGUUGCUUCCGUACAAGGUAAUAUUUUCUGCCUCAAACGACUCGGCAACAUAUGAGAGGUCUCCUGCACCUCCAAUGAUGACGUCACCAUCAUGUAUCUGAGAACAAAUCCCUUGCCUUGCCACCAUUGGCAGUACCAGGUCAGAAAGCAGCAUCGCUAUUGAGUUUCAUUGUCAUCCACCCUUCCUCUGGCUUCCUCCAUUUGCUUCUGUGCCCAUAGCCUUGUUGCCAUAGGCCGUGGUAUGCCGUAUGACGCUUCUAACACAGAAGUAGUCGCUCAUAUGUAUGUUUGCAAAUGCACCCUUAUGAACUCACGUGAGCCCUACCCAUGGAAGUGUCCAGGAGAAUGGGCUGGCAGCUCUUGAUUUUGGUGAAGUCAUCACAAGAAUAAUAUUGUUGGUGAACACGUCGUCUACCACUGGAGUCCAUGUUGAGUUGAUUACACUAACCCAAGUGGAUAGAUUUAAAGAUAAAUAAAUGUUUAAUACAGAAUAAGAACAAUAUUAUUCAACCAAAUACAUUUAAUGUGCUGACAACACUUUAGAUCCAAGAAUUUCUUGGACCUAGGAAUGACUGGCUCUAAAAAAAGUUUCUUAGAGCUAGAGCUAUGCUAAAGAAGCCCUAGACAAAUGCAAGAGUGGAGCUCCGUGCCAUAAACAACCUUAAUUGCACGGAUAUUUUCAUGUAAUAAUUAAGAUGACGGUAUCUUUGGUGCUUGUUUUGGACAAGUUAGAAGGAAAAAUGCACCAUCGGAUGUUCCGAUGGCCCACCGAAGCAAGCGUCGGACUAACCAUCGGAGCAAUUGGUACAACGGGAAAAAUAGGAAAAAUCUCGAGUGCACCGGAUGAUCCGAUGGAGGUCAUUUUACAAGGUCAGAGCAAUUUGCUAAGGAGGCAGAGGAAACCCUAUAGCAUCGGAUGUUUUGACGCCCUAUGUAGUUGACCGUCGGACGAAGCAAAUUUACUUUGAAAUCAAACAGAAGGUUUUGGCUAGAAUUGCUUCAGUACCGGAUGAUCUGUCAGCCCCAUUGGAGAAAGCAUCGGAGCAAUGAUAUCAGGGGGAUUCAACGGUUACGUGACGUGAGUAGUGGCACCGGAUGAUCCGAUGGGAGCAUCGGAUAAAGCGUCACAUAAAUUUCUGAGGAAUUUGGGCGGGGUGGAGGAGGAGGCGGCGGCGGCGUUGGGAGUCCCCACCCGGUACUAGAGGGCCUCCGGGGGAUCCCAAACUUGGAUCCAGUAGGUCCAAAAGUGACCGGUACUAAACCUAGGGACGAGAGGUCAUUUUUAUAGUAGUGCAUGUACACGGGACCCACAUCAACUAUGAGCUAUCAACUAAUUUAUAAACUUAUACUAUUGGAGACGCCAACUUUGGGCCCAAGGACCAAAGCUAUUUAUGUCAAUGAUCUUUUUCACGAGCCAGGAACUUGUGUAUAUGUGAUUUAUUGUGGCGUUUUUGUUUGAUGUCUGUGGUCAUUACCUGAAUAGUUUAUAUUAUGAAAAAAUAGAAAAAUACAAGUAAGUUCGGUUCGUGUAAUGUUUAUAAUUUUAUAAGCCCAAUAUUUGUCCUUGCGACACGUAUAUACUAAUACGCUUGUCACGGGCCCACUCGGCUAUGUCACAACUUUUUUUAGAAGAACUACGGCAGGCUAGAUAUGCCAACCUGAACAUAUAUUAUUAAUAUAUACGAGCGUUUGCAUACAAGAUUUGUGAAGCUAGCGUCACAACUACAUUAAUAGGGCCUUGUUACCAUACAAUGACAAAAAUCUGAAGUUAUCCUGUACCACAUUUAUUGCUCCCAAAUCUAUACAUGCCUAAAAUCUGUCAUGUACAUUUGACGGAUCCGAAUUUUAAAAUGGUUGUUUGAGGUUACUUUUGGUAAAACUUGUCCAUCUAAGUUGGAGUCUUCGAUGAGUAUAAAAGCUAAUUAAUUUUUUACUGAGACAUUGUGAAUUUGUGAUUUGUGAAUUACAAAUAGGAUUCGGCACGUUUCUAGGCCCCCGGCUUGUCCACGCGCACGAGGAAGCUACAGAACCAUCACGACACGAACUGUGUUACGUAACCGAAGCCGAAGCCGAAGACGACCAUCAGGACGCAGACGCCGGCGAUCUCCAGCAUGAAGAACCUUUCCCUAGCCCUCCGGCACCGGGGGAGGCCGGGGAUGAAGAGGCCGCAGAGCAGGAGCGCGACGAAGAACAAGGACGCGGCGACGGCGAUUAAUUAGGAGCCUGUUCGCUUCAGAUUAUCAGCCACCGAACAGUAUUUUUCUCUCACAACAAAUCAGCCGUUUCAGCUUUUCAGUCGACUUAUAAGUUCAGCCGAACAGGACGUAGGAUGCUCUUCCUAGCCCUCCUGCGCUUGCGCUCCUCGGGAUCCUCCGCCGACGCUGCCAUCUCCGAGCCACUGUGCGGCGCCAUGCUCCGCGCGCCGCCGCCGCCGGGAUGGCAGCCUGUGGUUAUGGUGGGCAUCGUCGCGAUCUAGGGUGCUUGGUGCUGACGUGAUCUGGAGGAGGUGGCCCGUUUUUGUUUUGUUUCUCGUGUCAUCUCACGUGUCUGUGUGGAGGGAGGGAGAGAGGAAAGUGCGGGAUUUGUAGACAGCCCAGCGCGGGCGUGGCGGGCUUGUCGGACUCGGAGCUGCGAUCCCAGGUAUUUAUAGACCCAGUGGGCCGUGUGUGGCCAGUGGGUGGGCUUCGUUGUUGGGCCUUUAUAGACCCAACGCGCCGUUUGGCAUGGUAAGCGUCGCGCCGCGCCGCGGCUGAGUGAACGGAGAUCAGCAUUGCGUCUGACCUCACCGCCAUUCACGCCGCACCGCCGCCUCCAUGCCGCCCACGGUGUUGGCCAAGCACGCCAGCGUUUUCUCCCGAUUCGAUAUGAUUUUUUUUUUUGCGAGUAGAGUCCGAUAUGAUGAGCGCCAAACUUUCUCCAGAUUUGUUGCGCCUCAACCCCCGAAGUAUCAAGAAUUCAUGAAUGCCAUAAAGGAUAGUAGGAAGAAUUUGAAGUUCUACUCCGGUACGCACACUUUCAACAAAAUUUGGAGAUAUCUUAAAUCUUUCAUACAUGUUUGAGAAAAAUGAACUGUACAUGCUUAUGGUCUGACCGACCAUCUUUUUCCCAUAGUGUUGUGUAAACGUAUCUGUUCAAGUACAUUUUCGGCAUCUCCAUCAUCCAUUUAUUCUUGGAUCAGGUGCCCAAUUUGCAGUAGAAGGAAUUGGCACACCCGUUAUAUCUUCAGUUCAGUCGGUUGUGAUCGAGUUUCAACCAUUCCAGCUUCUUCCAGGAUAUCUUCGUCGAACUUUGGCGUGCUAGAAGGAGCACUGCUUGAGGGUGAAUCUGACGGGAACACAUCUGAGUUGUUGUCAGACCAUUCUGCAGCUCCAGCACCACCAGCUUCUGCAUCUUUAGGUGUUUCUGAAUUGGGUUCAUUCUUAGUGCCAUCCACUUCUGGCUCAUCCCGUGCUGAUGUAUCCUUGAACAGUUAAUCUCCUUGAGAGUUUGGUCCAGGAGCUUCUGCUUCUGGUAAAGAAUGCGUAGAAGAAUGGUUAUCUGCUGGUUCUAUAUGAUGAAUCUGAACUGAUCUGCUAUCCAGCAAGCUAUGUUCAGCUGCUGAGUUGCUGGUUUCUGUUUCCUCUAGAGGUAUUGCAUCAAAGCCAUCAUGUUCAUUGUGUAAUCCCUUCUGGUCUGGUUCAUGAUUUGUGAUGUGAUCAUUUUUUGCUUGACAAAUCCAGAUGACUGAAGGCAUCAUCAACCUUUGCAAGGCUUUCUUUCUCCUCGCUUGAUAACUUAGAUUUGCCAAUUGUUGUACUCAUGUCCAUAUCAGAAAAUAUAGCCUACAAUUAUCAGGAAAAAUGUGUAAAUGUAUACAAAGGUGAAAUGGCACGAGCAGUUGAUGCAAUAAGAUAUAAGAAUUAUCCAACUACCUCAACUCUGAAGUCUACAGGAAAUCGGUGUUUUGUGUCCCAUAGAAUAUCAAUCUGGUCCCUAUCAAGUACCAACAGAUUGUCUUCAAUAAAAGCUGUGCUAAACAUGGCUCUGAACACCAUAACUUCAUGUUCAAAGUCCUCAUCCAGGCUGAUGCACUCAAUUACAAUGUCUCCUUGCACAGGACAAUGAACAUUAACCUCGAUUAUCUCACAUUCUUCCUGAAUUUGCAAACAAGAACAGUUUAAUAUGCAUCAGUUCAUCACUUCAGGCUUGAAAAUGUCUUAAGAUACCAUAUAUAUAGUUUUACAUCAAAUAUGCACCUAUCCUACAAUUCGGGGGAAAAAAUUGGGAGGCUGAUAAAAUAAAUAACAAAAAGGUAAGAUUAAGCACUUCGAAAUUUGAGCUUUGGACUUAUUCAUAACAAUAGAAAAUAAAUUUAAUUAAACUUGUAAGGUUGCAAUGGCAUAUUUUAAAUAGAUCGGUACAAUUUUAAACAUUAAACAAUUGAGCCAAAGCAUUAUGGACAAACACCACAGACAUGCCAUAAAUACUAAUAUGCGAUUCAUGAUAGUUGAUAACCAAACAAAAUUAUACCUGUGUAUAAAGCUGGAGAAAAACACUUGUCUUUCUGAUCGAAAAAAGAACUUUAGUAGCCCUGUCAUUAGGUGCAAGGGGAUCUAGGCCAUAAAUCCAGAAUAUUGGUCUACAUCCCCUUGCCCAUAAAAAUUCGGUACCUUCCUGAUUAUUAUACAAUUCAAAUUCAGCAUUUUGUCAACCGGAGGCCACAAUUCUGGUGAUGUGUGCCUUUUUGACACAUAAUUCAAGUAUCUCAGCUGAGAAGGCACUGGGUCAAUUGGUGAGAAUAGCUCAGCUAGCCCAUCUGGUGCGUGUCUGCAAUCCAUCCCUAAAGCCUUCCUCUCAUCACUACACCUUUUGAGGUAAACCAGUAGAGCUGCCAAUGCAAAUGCAAGGACUGGCCACCCCCCAUGUUCUGAAUGGAUAAGCAGAAAAUUGUCCUGGCUUAACGAGAGCCAGCUUUCACUAGACCUCAGGAAAUGGUGAAUCAUCUCCAUGGUGAGCAAGGGGCAUCCUUCAUAGUUACGUGGAUAACCCAUCACACUCAUGUCGUAGUAAGAGAAAAUGCUGGCAAUUUGGUUGUCCUUCUUGCCUCCCUCAAAGUUGAAUAGCAUGAAUCAGUCGAUGGAGUAGCUGCCAAGUAGCUGUUUUAAGAUUCCUCCAAUGUAUGGCAUCAGCUCGUCUUCUUCAAGUAAAUCCGUGGAGAAGCAGUGGUCAAAUACUGGCAAGUAAAGAAGCAAUCAAUAGUCAGCAUCAGAAACAGAGAGCAAAUGUUAUUUUCGUUAUUAAACAGUAUGAUUACAAAUAAUGUACAAAGGAUGACCAGAAUAUUUGCAUAAGAAUGUUGGGAAUAAAGUUCAAUUUGAAGUAGCGUCGACUUAGACAAUGAAACAUCAAUGUAUACUUGAGAAAAGGAAAUGUAAUAGGUACUACCUAAGCUGCACAGGUGGAUGAUAAAUGGGGGAAAUGAACCUAGUUUUGGGCAAUUAGUUUUAUCAGAAGAAGUCAUGAAAAAAUUCAAAUCAAAUUGAUAAGGUAGUGGAUGAAGUCUGAACAACAGGUUCGUCUAAAAAAAGCCUGAACAACAACAUCAAGGUGACACUUGUCAACAAUUCGAUAAAAUCACUUCCCCACAAACACAGUAAGAUCAAAUAAUGGCAUGAUAUAUUAUCUUUAAAUACAUAUUUCGCACUAAUAUGAGAAUGUAAGCCUCAACGGUUGCCAUUUUUCACAUAAAUGAGCAAAUGUGCAUCUGAUCCCAUCCACUCUCCGAUCCGACAAUUGGGUCCAUCCCAUCCACCAAGCAUAGAAAACUUAAUUUAGUAUCAUAUAAAUGCUAAAUCCCAUGAACUAAACCAACUGCUGUUGAAAACAAUCACACCCAACUAAAACAGUUUCACUUCAAAAUGGAGAUAUGAUAGUUCAUAUAAAAAAAAGAGAGACAAUGGCAACGCGGUAGCCAACUACUCUGGUCAAUUUCCGUGCCCCUAUUUUGGUCAAGCGCAUAGUUUAGCAACAGCUAAGCAACGGCCUUUCCGCAAGUCAAAGCAUGAACCGAACCCACCGGCACAAAGCCACAAAGUCUGGGCAAAGCUAUCUCCACUCCCCAAGCAAAUCCCCGCCUCGAGAUCAAAAUAAACGCACUCUUCUUUUUUUUACAUAAUUUCCCCCCUCGAGAAAUGGGGAAUAAAGCGAGAACAGGUGCGUGCGAAGUGGCUUGUGUGGGCAGGAUUCUCGGUGCCGUGGCACGCGUUACUUCCAAGAAGCCCCCGACGAACAGGUCCAACAAGCCCAGCCCCCGAGCGAGCGAGCGAGCAGGUUCGCACAAACGCACCCAGCUAAAAUAGCAAGAUUGCCGAGUACCGGGCCGAGAAAGGGCACGCAUCGAGGAUGUUACCGGAGAUCUCGACGAGCCCGUCGGGCGGCCGCCGGUGGAACAGCCGCCGGAACAGCGCCAUCCGCCCGCGCGCGCCGCCGCUGCCGCAGGAACCGGCGCAGAGCACGACGCGCCGCCGGGUAGCCGAACCGUGGGGUGGAGGAGAUGGAGGGGGACGGGGACGGAGAGGGAGGAGACGUGACAUGUGGGCCCAAUAUAAUACAUUUCUAGUUCCUAUCAAUCCUUAUCCUCCCGCAGUCCACUCUCGCACGCCCGCCCCCCCGCCGCCCGCUCUCGCCCCUCGCUCCCCGCCGCCCGCCCCCCGUCGCCGCGGGCACCAACCAUGGCCGCCAACCUCCGCCGCCUCGCCUCGGCGUCGGCGUCCGCCCUCUCCCGCCGGCCCCAGCCUCCUGAUCCUCCGCCCGCCCUCCUCCUCCGCCUCGCGCUCUUCGGUUCCGCCCCCUCCGCGACGGAUCCGCCGGCGCCGGAGGCCGCCAGGAAGGCGGAGGGAGAGGAAGCCGCGGGAGACAAGGGCGCUGCCGACGCUGGCGAGGGGAAGGCGGCGGCGGCGGCGGCAGAGGAGGAUAACGAUAGCGGCAUGCACGUGAACAAGGCUACCGGCGAGAUCGGCGGCCCGCGCGGGCCCGAGCCGACGCGGUACGGCGACUGGGAGCGCGGCGGCCGCUGCUCCGAUUUCUGAACUGCCCCGCCGUGCACCCCGCGAGGUGAGAUCGUGGGCAGCGGGUUACGUGUGUUGUGCUGUUGGAUUUGCUCUAUGAUAUGAUGCUAGUCGUUUUAGUAAUCUGUGUAAGGAUGGUGUGAUAUAUAAUACUGCUAAAAAUGCGUUUUGCUUUGUCCUCUGGGGAAUGAAUAAAAUGAGUUGGCAGCGUUCAAUUCAGAAUGUUCAGAGAAUCUCGAUCGCCUUUGCUUGCAUUGGUGCCUUAGAUUCUUCAAUUUCGUGCUGCUAUAUUGAACUGGUGCAUCUAUUUGGUUACUGCAUCCUCGUUAAUUACAAGAACAGAAACAAUGGAAGCAGUUGCAAGGAAGUGCUAAAAUCCUGGAGGAAAAGUGUAAUAUUUCCACUCUCCAGGCUAAACAUGACAAGGUAAGUCCCUCCUUACAAACAGUACAUUGCAUUUUGUAGUUCAGAAUGAAUGUGAUCUGAAAUUAGUUUGCUACUCUUUGAUUUGUUAUUCUUGUUCUGAAAUAAUUACCACUAUUGACCAAAUGAUAUAACUCAUCACGUUUUUCAGAAUGAAUGGAUUUGACUUAUGAAAAUUCAAAUUUUCUGUUAUUGUAAAUCAGAUUUAAUUUGUCUGGUGGACUAUACUGAUGUGUUGUGAUUAGACUUGAGGGCUAUCUAAUCUAUGUCUUUUGUAAAGAUCAGUUCUUUUUGUAAGAGCAAGGCAUGAUUUAUCUUUUAGCAUGUAUGUGUAUGUCCUUCCACCCUUUAUCUGAAUUGAAUUUAUACUACCGGCAAAACAAAGUGAGCCGCGCGGUGUCUGAAAGAACUGCAUUGCAACUUUUAUGUAUGCAUGGUUAAUGAGUAUCUUGGAGACUAUCUAAUUCACAGAGUCAGAGAAAUAAAAUGAUGACUAUGCCAAUCAGUCAAGUGUUGGAGCAGUUGUCAAAUAUUAGAAAAUGGGUUUUAUUUCUGUUUUGCCCCCGUGUUGUAGCAUUUCAUCACUUAUGUUACUCUGGCUUGCAUCCUUUAUUUAGUGUUCUUGAAUUCCUUGUCCCAGUCUGUUUUCAUGGUGAUCCUAAACAAUUAUUUUAUGGAGAAGAGCUUGGCCCUGGCUUUACCAUACAUCUCAAGUUGUUCUUGUAUUUGCUGUUGUCUAGAUGGUUGCUCGUUUGAAUUUGCUGGAUGGUGAAAUCACAAAUGAUGACUCAAGACGCACAGCUGAGGCUAGAUGCAUGAAAGAUGAGUUGGAGAAAAAGUACAAUGCGAUGAGGUCGGUGGAAAAGGAGGCAGACAAAUUUUUGAAAGUACUUAUCAUACUCCCUCCUCCCCGAAAUAUAGCUACAUUUAGGAACUUUCAGACAUUAAGAAGACUGAAGAAAAUACUAAAUUACCCUUGAUUGAUUUCUACAGCUGCUUAUGCACUAAUUACGUGCUGAUUUAUUGUCCGCUCUAGCCGCUUUGCAUGCCUGUACGUAUGACGCUAUGUUUCUGCCUACGUUCCUUUUAAUUUCCGUUACACUGGCACUAGAUAUGCAUCAGGCUAACAAUUAGCUCUUGCCAAUUCUGGUUCAUUUGUUGCCAGAUUCAACGCCAACUAAAUAUUGAGGUCCAUGCAAAAAGGCGACUGAUGCAUUUUUUUUUGUCACCGUGUAAAAACUUGCAGCCAAAUUAGUUGUGGAACAAAAUUAACGCCCAUCACCUAAUCCAUUUUAAGUGACGCGGGAAGAUGGAUUUAGGGGGUGGAAGGGUAUUUUUGUCUGUUCACAUGUAAAAGAUGGGUCGGGAACUCAAAAUGCAGCUAUAUUUGAGACAAGUUUUGAAUGCUUAAUGUAGCUAUAUUCCGGGAUGGAGGGAGUAUUUGUUUUGUUAAUUACUUAAGAUGUGUUCUUUUAUUAGCUUAACACAUUCACUAUCAAAUAAUUUAAAAUAAAUUCUAUUUGAUUUGAUAGAAUUCAGAGAAGAGGCUUCAAGAUGCAAUACUAAAAAAUGAUGAAGAAACUCAGGCAGCUGCUACCGAGUUGCUGCAACUUCUUGAAUCCAUCGCUGAGCAUAAAGAGUUCAUGGAAGCAACGAUUGCUCAGAGGAGGAAGGAGCUUUAUGAAGCUGCAGAUUAUAUAGCCUCUUUGGCAUCCAAGACAUCAUCGCCCAGUCCUCACAUCUGAAUGAUUAGAAAAUUUCAUAAUAAAUUGCUGAUUUCCCUUCUGACCAGCUGCGCUUCCUUGAGGUCAUAAGAUCAUCGCUAUGGCCUAUGUUAGUUCGUUUCACCUGAAGGAGCUAAUUAUGUUGAAUGCUGAGUGGUUAUUAUUAUUUGGUUGUUGCUGUGACUGUAUAUAUCGCUUUAGGGGGUGUUUGGAUACGAGGUGCUAAACUUUAGGAGGGUCACAUCGGAUGUUCGGACGCUAAUUAGGAGGACUAAACGUGAGCUAAUUAUAAAACUAAUUGCAGAACCUCUAUAUUAAUUCGCAAGAUGAAUCUAUUAAGCCUAAUUAAUCCAUCAUUAGCAAAUGGUUACUGUAGAACCACAUUGUCAAAUCAUGGACUAAUUAGGCUUAAUAGAUUCGUCUUACGAAUUAGACUCUAUCUGUGCAUUUAGUUUUGUAAUUAGACUAUAUUUAAUACUCCUAAUUAGUAUCCAAACAUCCGAUGUGGCAGGUAACUAAAGUUUAGGAGGGUGUAUUCAAACACCCCCUUAGUCUCCUGGUGUACUUGAGAGCAGCUUUGAUCUUAUUAUUGUGUCUUAGGUAUAACUGCCCUGAACAUUAUGAAUUGAAUGCUAUCAACUCAUUUUAUUCAUUCCCUAUAGGACAAAGCAAAACACAUUUUUAACAGUAUUAUAUAUCACACCAUCCUUGUACAGAUUACUAAAACGACUAGCAUCAUAUCAUAGAGCAAAUCCAACAGCACAACACACGUAACCCGCUGCCCACGAUCUCACCUCACGUGGUUCAGCCUCCACGCUCUCAGUCGUCGUACCGCGUGGGCUCGGGCCGCGCGGGCUGCCGAUCUCGCUGGUGGCCUUGUUCACGUGCACGCCGCUCCUCUGCUGCCGCUGCCGCCUUCCCCUCACCAGCGUCGGUAGCGCCCUUGUCUCCCGCGGCUUCCUCUCCCUCCACCUUCCUGGCGGGCGCCGGCGGAUCCGUCGCGAAGGGGGCGGAAUUGGAGAGCGCGAGGCGGAGGAGGAGAGCGGGCGGAGGACCAGGAGGCUGGGGCUGGCGGGAGAGGGUGGACGUGGACGUCGAGGCGAGGCGGCGGAGGUUGGCGGCCAUGGUUGGUGCCCGCGGCGACAGGGGGCAGCCGACGAGGAGCGACGGCGAGGGCGGGUGUGCGAGAGUGGACUGCGGGAGGAUAAGGAUAGAUAGAAACCUAGAAAUGUAUUAUAUAUUUGUAUAAGGGUCCACAUGCCUGGUUGUGGUGCUCCGAAGAGGGCUUUUUUAUCGUCCUUCGUGCUGUUUUCUUGUUCCCUCGCAGCGUGCCGUGGCAUUUUGUUGGUGGUUUACUCGUGUGUGGCUAACAUUGGUUCUUUCUCACCCGCACCAUAGAAGCUAGGAUGCCCUAUGGUAGCCACCAAUGGUACUACCAUUAUUUCAUAUUUUUUUCCAUGCAGUUGGCUUUUGUUCUUUCCUUCCAAUAAUAAUCACGGCAAAUUUCUUAUUGUCCUUUCUUGAGUCCAUUGUAGUAGAUGGCAGCAAGCCUUGCUGACUGCACCCACCCUCUAGCCCAUUCCACCAACCUCAGCCGGACGGCCGGACGGCAGGCCGCAGGCACCAGCUGAAGUUGGCAAACAUAUCGAGAUGUGGUGGUGGCGAGAACUUCGCCUGCCUGCUGGCCGGUCGGCCGGCCAGCCCUCCCCUGCGGUACAAUCUCGCUCGUCCCCAGCAUAGGGGGGCAUAUAUACGAGCGUCGGAGUGUCACUACGCCAGAAACGAUUUGUGCAGCCAUAGGGAAAUUAGCAUGCUGGCGGACGCGAUUGGCACCUGCCAGCACAGAGAAUCAUCGAGCCGGGGGGGGGGGCAGCGCCCGCCAGCAUAGUAGGCACUGUGGUGGCGGGCGACGCAAGCGCCCGCUAGCGCAGGUCACCCCAUCUAUGCUGGCGGGCGACAUAAGCCCACCGCCAGCACAUAGAGCCACUGUGCUGGUGGUUGGCUUAUGUCCCCGCCAGCACAGAGCACAGUAUAAAUGUUCCUGUUCAUCUUCCUCCCCCAGCCAACCUUCCAUUUUGGUGCUCGGAAAAAACUGCCAGCACUGAUGGUAGUGGGGCCCACUAAAGUCACCAGGAGAAAAAAAUUUUGGCCUCGCACACGAACUCGUGCAACGCGUCCGAUCCAGGGCCUACUUGCGAGCGCGCGUAGCACUACGAGCACCGUGGCCCACAAACCAGUCGCAGUUGCACGAGACCUUGCGGCCCAAGCCGCAAGGGAAGGAUACAGAGGAUAACGUGAGUUCGAGAGAGGCGUCGGUGACCGAGUAUUUAAGCAAGUGUUUCUCCCCGUGCAAAAGUGAGGUGAGACUAAAACGCUGCUAUGCGACCGCAUGCCGCACGUGUACCUCAAAUGGGCCCAAACUCAGAAAUGGCACACGCAACGCGCACUGUGCUGGUGGGCGACAUAAGCCCACCGCCAGCACAGAUGGGGUGACCUGUGCUGGCGGGUGCUUGUGUUGCCCGCCAGCAGAAAGAGCCACUAUGCUGGCGGUUGGCUUAUGUCGCCCGCCAGCACAGAGCAUAGUAUAAAUGUUCCUAUUCAUCUUCCUCCCCCAGCCAACCUUCCAUUUUGGUGCUUGCCUGACAGGAGCUCGGGAAAAGCCCAAAAACACCAAAUCUAAGGGGGGAGGCUUUGCUCUUGAUUUUCGUGGAGGAGGUGGCUAUAUAAGGUGAGUUUGUGCCAUUCCAACCUUCUUUUUGAACUUCUAUCCAUCAUAUCUAGCUUCAUUUGCUUGUCAUCUAGAUCUAUAACUAGGAGAGAGAGAGGAGGGAAGAGAGAGAAAAAUUAGAAUUAAGUGUCCUUCAUCUCCUUGUGACAUUUAGUUCUAGAAAGGUUCUUAGCUUUUAAAUUAAAGCACAACUCAAUAACAAAAUGCAUGACAAGAUAAGGAGAAGGUAAACAAGCAUACAAGCAAUAACAUAAAGGUAACCACACACAUGAGUACACAUGUCAACAAUCCAACACGCACAAAAGCCAAACGACUUGUCUAUUACAUGAAGAUCCACAAAAGAACCAACAAACACCCCCCAAGCUCCCCCUAUCUCUACUCCCCCUUAGGCGGCGAGGCAGAAGCUGCGGAUCUGGAUGGCUCAACAACGUGUGCCGAGACGUUGGCGUCGGAGCUGAAGCUAGAAUCGGUGGGAAAACUCUCGGGAAGAGCUGGAUUAGCACGAGCGGAAGCGGGCACACCCACGGGCAAAGGAGAGGAAACUGUCCUCUCAACCUCAGAAGCCAUCUCUAUGCGAACCUGCUGACUGACAGCAAAGAGCGGCAUCCGGCUCGUCAAGCCCCUCGGACCGAGGUGUCACGAAGUGUGGAAGAAGAGAACUGGACCUCGGCGUUGGGAAAGAAGGUUGCGGUGUCUCCUCUGACAGAAGUGGAGCUAUGGUAUGUGGUAGUGAAAACAUCCUUGUCUGCAAAAGAGGUGAGACUGGGUCAGUGACCAAGGGAGUCUGCAUCAAACCACCAAUCGGAGGAGUAGGAGCUGUGGGAUCAUGCUGGAGCUGCUGAGUAGUAGGAAGUGGGAGUGGCUCCAGCCCGGUGUGAUGAUACAGCUGUCCUAGGCAUCCAGAGAGAAAAGUGAACAUCCGCCUGGUCUCGGUAACCGGAUCUGGGUGAGGCACGGUAGCACGGCGCCCGCGGGCGGCGACCUAGGUGGGCAUCCUCCCACGAGGUCGCCGCGGGUGGGUCGUGGCCUCGAUGCGGCCACGUAGUGAGCGAUGUUCGCAGGACGCGCCUCGGCCGGCGUCCCCGCCCCGAGAGGCGGCCCAUGGCCCAGUCGUCACACGGCAACAACUCCGGGAUGGCGGUGCAGUGGUACGUACAGCGACGUGCCCGCCUAUCGGCACCGGAGCAUGGGGCAACAUGGCCUAGAGGUGAGGGCAUGGGGCAGUCGGCAGUCAGCGCCGCGGCGAGGUGGCGGUCAGCCAUGGCGCGCCGGAGCCCUCGUGGUGGAUCUCCUCGCGCAAGACAGGAUGAGGGCGCGGGGGUGGCGACGCGCGCCAUGGCUAGCAUCCCCUGCUCUCCUUAGGCCUGCCACUGGAUAUCCAUACCCUCUCCCCAAAUCCACACCCACUUUAAAUGGAAAAGGUAUGUGUAGAAAAUUAUAUACCCAUUAAAAAUGGGAAGGUAGGGUACAAUUAAUCAAUUGGAUAUAUAUAUAUUAAAAGUUAAUUAUCCAUUGGAUAUGUGUGGAGUUGGGGAGGGUAUGCAGUGGAUAAUAAUUAUUUGAAUUUGGGUGUGAACAAGAGUGGGUUUGUCCAUACACCCUCCCAGUGGCAGGCCUACUGCUCCGCGCAGUGGGAGGCCUAGGCCGUACGGCCGUGUGCCAAGGUGGCCUCGUCCCGUGAUAGUCCCAGCGUCAUCGUCAGAUCUGGGCGCCAUGGCCCCAGCCGCGGCGGGGCCUGGUCGGAGGCCCCACAACAAGCCCUGGGUAUAGUUGUCCUUUCGUGCCGCCCAACACGGUCCGGCACGGGCCCGGCAAGGCACGGUAAUUUUCAUGCCGUGCUGGCCCACAGGCUCCACCAACGGUCCAAGCACGGGCCCGCAAUGCUUUUUUCGUGCUAGGCCGGCUUGCAGAGCAUGGCAAUUUGCACGGGCUGUGCCAGCCCACAGCCCGUGGAUGAAAAAACUUUCACCAACUUCAAAUUCAAGUAUUCAACACUGAUUCAUGAAAGUUCAUCACACAUUCAAAUUAAACACUAAUUCACUGAAUGAAAGUUCAUCACACAUUCACAUUCACAGAAUCAAAAUUCAUCACAUAUUCACAUUCACAUUCACAAAAUCAAAGUUUAGCACAUAUUCACAUUUUACACAAAAUGACAGAAUUAUAUAGAUAGAGUUUUUACUAGCUGCCUCAUUAAAAAACCUUCAUGGAAAAAACUUGCUAGGUAAAAACUCACACCUCGUGAGAAAACUCUAGGAAGGAAAAAAGAGUACAACCAGCUCAAAAAUGUUCAAUGGUUCAAAUUCAACAUUACAUCAAUACAUCACAUGAUCAUAAAGGCAAAAGAUAACUUAAGAACACCAGACCAUUAGUCUUCCUCUCCAUGACUCAAGCUUGCUCCUGAUCAGUUGGCAUUGGCAGGGGCAGGCCUAGCAAGUAGGAACAAAGUAUUAAUCAUGUUAGUACGUUACUCUAGUUAAUGAAAACAUGACAGACAAUAGAAGAACACUUACUAUUUUCCACUAGCUUGCCCUCCAUCUUGCUCUAGGUAGGGGCUUCUGAAUGUUUCCUCCAGUUCAUUGAUAUCCUUCUCAACAUCAUGUUGUGCCCUUUCAUUUCCCAACUCCCAGUCCUUGAUGCAGGUCAACAUCUCCACCGUCUCUGGCAACAGCCGCCGGCGUUGCUCCUCGAUCACCCUGCCAGUAAGACUAAAACAAGAUUCCGAAGAAACAGUGGAAGCUGGAACAGACAUCACAUCUUUAGCUAGUAUGGACAGAAUAGGAUAGGAUAGCUUGUGCUCAUGCCACCAACUAAGUAUGUUGAAGUCAUCCUCAUAGCAAGUGAUAGUGUCACUAUCCAAGGAGGCUGACAACUCAGAAGUAGGAGAUAUAGGAGGUGUAGAUGCAAGAAUAGGAGAACCACCUGAACCAGAUGGAGCACCAAAGAUCUUAUCCCAUGCAGUUUGAGAGGGCCUAUGCAACCUAACUGCACCAAACUUGUUUUCAUGCUUGUUAAACAGCUUAUAUAAUUCAGUUCUUACCUCACUGAAAUAAGAAGAGUAAUCAACACCAAUUGUUUGAGAAAGAAGCUGAAGAACAUUAUGAAUACCUCUGAUCUUGGCUCUAGGAUCCAAAAUAAAUGCAAAGGAAUACAAUAGAGGUAUGUUCUACCAAUACUUGAGAAACUCGAGCUUCAUGAGAACAACAAUGUUUCUAAGCAGUGGCUCAGUCUCUUGGCCAUGCAAAUGACUAGCAAUCUCAAUAAUAUGAUGCAACAUCAAAGGAUUUGUUGGAUAGUAAACACCAGAUAAAGCAACAAUCGAAUCGUAAAAUAUUUCAAGUAACUGCAAAAUUUUCUUAGCAAUUGUCCAAUGGCUAUCAGUCAGUAGUGGCUGGCCAUUGUGCAAACGAUAAUGAGCAAAAAUAAAUAAAUAAAAGAUGCUCUUAUAUGGUAGUAGAUGUUUGAGCAUGAGAUAUGUAGAAUUCCAUCUCACAUCCAUAUCCAAACCAAACUUAUGAGGGCGUACCGCCUUGACAAUGCAGAAGUUAUGGAAAGCAGCAAUGCGUUGGUCAAAAGAGUUAAAAAAGAGAUUGCGGUCCUAAAAGCCUCAAGAUAAGACUUGAUCAUUUUCAAACCAGACUUGAUAAUGAGAUUAGUAAUAUGACAUGCACAAUGCUGAUGCAAGAGACCACACUGUGCUUUAUCAGAAUCAAGUGGUUCAAGGUCUGGACCAAGAUAACCAACAAAUUUGGGAAUGAGUGGGCAUGACAGAAGUGUUAGAAAAAGCAUUAUCUAGUGUGAUAGAGAAAAUCUCAUCCUCCAAACCAAAUUCAGAAACCACAGCUUCAAUACAUUCAGCAAUGUUAACACCAGAAUGCGAGCAAUUAAUUAGCCUAAGAGCAAUGACUCUAAUUCCCAAUCAGCAAAAACAAAAUGUGCAACAACACUAAGAUAGUCUUCCUUAGCAUUGCCAGACCAAAUAUCAAAAGUAAGACAGACAGAAGAAAGAAAAGACUUCAAACAUUCAACCAGGGAAGCAUGACGCUUAGCAAAGUACUUGGUAAAAUCUCUAGUAGUGCUUUGCCUAGAAACUUUAUCAAAACAAGGAUUGUGAGCACGCUGGAUGUACUCCACAAAUACCUCUGUCUCACCAAAGCUAAGAGGUAGAUCAAGUCUAGCAAUUAAAUGACACAACUCCUUACGAGCAAUAUUAGGUUUGUAUUCCCAAUAAUGGAUAGAGCCAUCAGAAUUGAAUUGAAGUCAAGACUAAACAAGAGUAGAAUGAUUUUGUUUAGCCAAGCACAUCUUUUGGUGCCAGAGCAAAUGCCCAGUACCAGCACAAGAACGCCCAGUGAGAAUAGAAGAAUAGUGAAUGCACUUGGCAGCAUAUCUCACCUUCUUACCAUUGGCACCUUCCUGAAACAACUCCUCGAAGUCGUUCCAUUCAGCAGAUCGCCGCUUGGUACCCUUGUGGACACUGGUGCCCGUUGAGGCAGUCGGCAUAGAAGAUGGGGUAGAAGUAGAAGCUAGGGCAGAACCGCCUUCGGCAGCAUCACCAACAGAAGCAUCAGUAUCUACAUUGAUGGGAACAGCAGAGCUACCAAAGAUUGCUACAGCUCCAAUAGCCAGGUUGUCCUCAUUAUCGCCUGGCAGCCCACAAGCCGUGAGGUCGUUGUUGAUGGUGUAGUUUUCGUCCAUCACGACGACCUCAUGUGGCAGGCGGUAGCCCUCCAACAUUGACGUUGUCGCCUUGGCAGCUCCGUCCCUCAACGGCGCGUGGCCCCCGAGGAAGACCUACAAGCAGAAGCAGGAAGAGAGGAUUAGAACUAGGACACCAUAGAUCUACGAUUGCGAGAACAAGAUCAGGAGGAUUCCGGAUGAACUCAUCUAGAUCUAGGGUUAGGGUAAUGGAUUACCUGCGAAGCCGAAGCUCGGAGCCGGAAAGGACGACUGGAUGAGAUGCCGAGAGGGGAAACUGCGAGAGGACGAAGGCUAACGGUGGCGACUAGCGAGCAAGACCUCCACCGCUGUGCAGGACCGGGAGUGGGAGGAGGAGAGGAGGACCCGGAGAUCUCACCGUCACCGGAGAUGAGAGGGAGAGAGGCAAGACCACGAGAGCAGCGGGUGGGCGGGCAGCGGCUGGCGGCGGCAGAAGAGCCGAAGCCGAGAGAGCGAGAAUGAAAGGUGAGGGAUGUGGGCAGCUGCUGGGAGGAGUCGAGGAGACGGGGGAAGGGGGUAGGGUUGCGAGGGGCGUGGCCGGCCGCCGGGGGGAGUUAUAUAUGACUCCCCUUCCCGGACCUUGGGUUGGGCCAACACCGCAGCGCGACCGUUGGCUUACGGGCCGGCUAUGGGCCAACCAUUCGUAUGCGGGCUGGGCCGUGCCGCCCGUCGUGCCGAGACGUCGGCCUAGGCCUGGCACGAGCCACAAAGUCAGGCCAGCCCGAGUCCGAAGGGCUAUGGGCUGGGUCAAAAAAUCGGGCUUCGUGCCGAGCUGCGAGCUGCAUGGCCAACUAUAGCCUCGGGUCGAGCCGCGCGGUGGCGCGACGCAAGGGCUAGGCGGCGCAGGGGCGGAUUCAAGUGCAGCUCGGGACGAGCCCAUGAAACUGCAUGUAUUUCCACGUUUUAUGCAGUAUAAACUAUCUCGUUGUAAAAUGGAUUUGCCUCGGUCCAGCCCGGGUCCGGCUGCAGUUCUGCCUCCGCCCCUGGGGCGGCGCAUGGCCACGAGGCGGGACGGCGAUGGCGGCGACAGCUGUGUCAGCCCGCCGCGGCCGGCACUACUCAUCGCCGCGGGGACAGCGGCCGUAGCAGUUUCGCCGUCGCUCGCCGCGGCUAGCCCGCGCAAGCGCAGAGAGGCACUUCGCCUAGGAGCAUCGUCAGCGCGGCUGGUCUGCAUCAUGGAUCAGCCCUUCGGCGAGUCUGCGUCUCGCCGCCGCCGACUAGCAAGUGUCGGCUUCUUCCAGGCCGGAUCUGGCUGGAGAUGCCGCUGGAGCUGCCGUCGUCGACGCCACCGCAGUGCGCGGCGCAACCCCUCCAUGGUGUCGCUCGGCGGGGCCGUGGCACGAGACGGGCGUCAGCAGCAGCGGGGGGCAGCACAGCUGCUGCAGCUCUACCUCCUCGACGCGUGGUUCCCCGGAACACAGACUAGGCGCUGGUAGAGGCCAGCAACCUCACGUUCUCGUGGCCACCCCUUUCCUGUUCUUCCCUCUCCUUUCUUUUGUUGGUUUAUAUUUUUUUCACUCUUUGGUGAAUGGAUUUCUUGUUUCUGUUAUUUGCGGAGAUGGACUGAGCGAUGUCUCACUUGUAUCAGCAUCUUUGCUUUAGAGUAAGAGCACGCCAUAGUCACCUCACUCGUUUAGAGUAAGAGCAGCUCGCAUGUUAUUGAUAUUGAUGCACAUGGCGUAUUUUGGGAGAUUCUAUUAUUUGUGUUCUUAUCAAUAUAUUCAUGUACAUGGGUGGUACAUUAUGAUUGUUGUUUCUCAGUAAUGGUUAAUGGUAGUAAUGGUUAUUGGUUAGAGCAUGUGAGUACAGCGUGGUACAUUACGACUAAUAUUUCUUAGAAAUGGUUAGAGCAUGUGGUGAAUCUGUUGUACAGUGAGGUACAUAGCUGCUAAUAUUAACCUUUGUAUAACGGUCAUUUUUCAAAAUUUAGUCAAAGAAAAUGCAUCCAUUACAACGGCAAGAAAAAUAAAAAAGCUCCGUACAACGGUUCAGCUUUUUGCACAAAACGAAGAUUCUUCAUGUCCAUUACUACAAGACAUAACUUAAGCCCUGUCACAUCAGAUGUUCGGAUACUAAUUAGGAGGACUAAACAUAAACUAAUUACAAAACUAAUAGCAGAACCCCUAGGCUAAAUUGCAAGACGAAUCUAUUAAGCCUAAUUAAUCCAUCAUUAGUGAAUGGUUACUGUAGCACCACAUUGUCAAAUCAUGGACUAAUUAGGCUUAAUAGAUUCGCCUCGCGAUUUAGCUUAGGACUUGUGCAAUUAGUUUUGUAAUUAGCCUGUAUUUAAUACUCCUAAUUAGUGUCAAACAUCCGAUGUGACAUGGGCUAAAGUUUAGCCCCUACCUCCAAACACCCCCAUAAAAUACCCGGGUGGGAGGAUUCUCUAUCAUCUGAACUAAUACAACGCAUAAAUAAAACAUAUACAUCGAAAUACAUUCACUGGAGACAAGAUCUCACAGAAAACGACGCAGAUGAAUGGUCCCGAUUGCUUCUAUCGCAGCUGCCGGGAGCACCAUCCAUUUUCGGCUGAACAAGCAUUUCUUUCCGUGGAGAUAGGAGAGCCAGAGAGGCAAGCAAGGCAGCCAGGGGUACCGUUGACAUUUCCUAAGUAUUCUGAGGCUGCCGGCGCGGGCCCACACGGAUGAUACUGCCUGCGGCUCCGGUGGUUUGUGGUGGCGCGGCAGCUGAUUUUUUAGCCCAGGCAGGCACACCACUACACCAGUAGCUGGGUUCGGUGGCCCACAGAGUGGAGCACGCGGCGGCGGUUUUCAUCAUCAGUCAGACUCUUGGGCUUUUCCAGUGGCCCAGUCGGAUUAGGCAGAUAUUGGGCCACUCGGGGACCUCUCACACACGUCUCUGUUGCGAAAUGUUUCACUCCCAAUCCCGGGCCGGGCAUGUGCCGUAUAUAGCAGCGUCGUUGAUUUCUCACGUUCUCUCAAUUGACCUCACGGGUCUACUACUCGAGGAUGGUCUUCUUCUCCGUUCUGCAAGUCUAAACUGUAGACUUGGACCCUCGUUCUUUUGGCGACGCGUUGCGUGAGCUGCACUAACAAAAUAAUAUACGGAGUACGUACUGCUCGGUGAAGAUGAGACGAUGGCGUUUUGGUACAAGCAGAACACGGCACCGUGCGCGGUGAACAUCGGUGGCACGAAAUCCCUUGGGGGAGACGCCGCUAUCUCCUGCAGCGGCCACGCAUGCUGACGGUGACUAGAAGACCCUAUCCAAAACUGUACUGCAGGUGUGGAGAAGAAGUAACCUGAAAUACCUGAUGAACCUCCAGAGCCUCCUCCAACUUGGACGGCGGGGUGGAGCGGCCGCCGUACCCUACGUGUCGGCGUUGGUCAGGUCGGCUCGUCAUCGUCCGCUGCCACGAUAAUUAAUCCGUCCGGGCACCGCUGCCUAAUCGCUCCUUAUCCGUUCCAAGAUCAAUUCCGUUUUGCCUUCGUGCUCUCGCGGAAUCGUUAAUCAAAAGGAAAAUCCCCGACGGCCAUGGGUCCGUGACUCGAUCGCUCGUCGUCUUGCUGCUCCCUCACCGUCACCGUCACCGUCACCCACAUUCUAAAUAGGCAAAUACGGACUGAUUUAAGAUUUCAAUUGGUCGUACUUUUGAAAUAACUUGACUCUAGAGGUUGUAUAUACAACUACAGACUAACAAACCUUGAUUGAUAUUGUCUAAAUUCGUCAUGCAAAUUUUUUUAAUAAUACAUCAAUUCUCUAUUUCAAACUGUACGCUAUUACAUACAGAGUAUAUGUUGGAAUUUAGAGUGCUAUAUUAUCGGAUAACCGUGCCAUCAUCCCAAACAACUUGCAUUUGAAAUCCGAGGACUACUAGAUGUUCAACUGCCAGUAAAGUUGGCAACACAAAAGUGGUGAUAAAUAUACUUUUUUGUUCAAUUACAUUGACAGCUACGUCUCCAGUCACAUACAUGUAUGCAUGCAGGUAAAAAGAUGACAACCCUACUCUCUCUUUCAAAUUUUUAGGAUGUUUUACCUUUUCUACAAAAUUAUGCAUCUAGCUAAAACGCUCUACAAUUUGAAGAGGGAGAGUAAGUUUUAACCACAAGAUUACUGUAAACCCUAACGUAGGACGGAAACAUACCCAUGUGGGCUCCACUACUCCACAACAAAGGUGAUUUCACUUGGUUUUUUAUGCCUUCGCCGGUAUGAUUUGCGCCGGAAGUGUGGCAAUAAGGCUUCAAGCCCAAAACACGUUAUCAGACGAAAAGAGCAGAGGACAGCGGAAUCAUUAGCAGUACAGCUGUUUUGCAAUUGAUCCUCAUCAGUGCCUUAGCUAAUUGCUACAUAUGGGUUCAAUCUUUGCUUACAAUAAUAUCCCCCAGAUUGUGGUCACCUUUACUCAAAGAUAGUAGUAGGCAGGUUUUGGCUGCUAAUGUAGAGACCUAAUCAAACAAACCACUAGCAUACAUGGGAUGAUAAUAACAUGUCAAAGGGGUUAGAGUUGGAUGACACCAUACGAUGUCCAGUUGUGCUUGUGCAUGGGACGGCCUCAUGGCCCCCAUUUGAUCCCUCUCCCUGUCCCGUUGGGCCGGCCGGUGAUACUAUACACACGUAUAGCUGGUGCCUGUUGACAUGCAUGAUCCUCCACAUUGGCAUGACGAUAAUAAUGCCACUAAAUUAGCUGGUGCGUGGCCGACCAGAUUAGUUGGUCGCCAGCUCUGCUAGCUCUCGGGACAUUCAUACUCCCUAGCUUAACUCCUACCAGCCUAAAAAAAAUAAAAUACAUGGUCCGGUCCUUAAACUUACUUGUCCGGCUGUGUCACUCAGGUUCCCGUACUCUCAAAAUGCAUAUCUAGCUCCUUAAACUUGAGCUCGGGUGUCACUUAGGUCCCUGUACUUUCAAAAAGCAUAUCUUACAUUCUAAACUUAGCUUCGGGUGUCAUAUAGAUCCCUAAACUCUUAAAAUGCAUAUCUUACUUUCAUCAGCACAUUUCUGACUUGUUUUAUUGCCCCUUCAGCUUCUCUAAUAUUCAUCUAGUAAUUUAUCUUAUAAACCCCAAAUUUUAGUUUUGUAAUUGCAACUACGAGUUAUUCAAAUUUGAACAAUCUUCCAAGAAUAAUAGAACACGCCUGUCGUGCGCACCUAGCAAGUAAAGAUAUUGCCUCCAAGUAAAAGAUUAUUAGUCCUUUUGGAUUCAACACAUCAAUAUUCUCCACACACACGUUGAGUUAAAAUUCACUUUAUUUGACUAUAAUUUGACCGAAGUCUGUAGGGGAAGCUCCAACCUAUUUUUUAAUAUUUUAUAUAUUUAUUUAGUUCACUAUAAUUAAAUUAUAUCUAUGUAAAAAUAAGUGUUUUUAUCAAUUUAAUUGAGAUGACGUAUGUUUUUAGAGAGUAUAUGGAUCUAGAUGACACUCGGAGCCAAAUUUAAAGGGCUAAAUUAGUAUUCUGGGGGUAUAGGGAUCUAAAUGACACCAAGUUUAAAUUUAGCGAGCCAGAUAUGCAUUUUGAGAGUACAGGAAGCUAAGUGACGCAGCCAGAUGCACUUUACUCUAAAAAAAUCUUAUUCUUUGCUACUGGUCAGUGGGCCCUACUACGCACAUGGCCCCAUACUAAAUUGCUACUAUUUACUAAUAGCAACACGUUUCAAAUGGACUACUCCUAGCUCCCACUGUUAUCCAGAUGCAUGGUUAACAUUCUAAUGAGGCGCUAAACUAAGCACGCCGCCUCAUAGCUAAAUUAUGGAGCCCUGUGUCGAAGCAGCUGGAUGGGCUUUCCUAUGAAAAAAAAGCCGAAGUGGUAAUAUAAGAGAAUGGUUUGUAACGGUAGGAUUUUGCCGAAUUAUACAUGUGAGAGACGAGACGAGGGACGCAUGAAAAAAACAAGAGGUUAGUUGGCCCAAGAGUCACCUCAUUGAGCCGUCGUUUUGGCAUCUAGCACUGGCUAUGUUUGCAUGAUCUCAUCUCUAAAAAAAGUGAUGAAUCGAGCCGCUCGAUUGGAUUGGCCACCAAGAACAAUCAUAUCUCCUCUCCUGCGAGGCUGUUGGUAGAGAGGAAAAAUUUGCUCACCAAAAAACCUAAAUCCUUUUCACCAACUUCUUAGAGUUUUGCUUUCUCGAUUGAUUGCGAAACUCUGACUUUUUUUUUAAAUACUAUCAAGAACAAAAAAUUGUAGAAACAGAAACCCUGAUGCCACCUCUGGAACGCCUACUAAUUUCUUAGUGAGAGAUACGUUACAGAAAAGUCUCUUUUAAUUAAAAAAUACGUUGUACAAUGUACUCUACCGCUCUCUGACUCUUCCUCUCAAAAGAAAGCACGUAGCCUGACUGACAUUGCAGAAAGCAGCACUUGAGUACUGCUCGUACUGACUGCCCACGCACACGUAUGCCGGUAUGGCAAGAAAUUUACUCAGUACGUAGGCAUCGCAGAGACGGCGUACGCGUGCAUCGAGCCCCCAGAUCGGCGGCGUCACGCCGGGGUCGGUGCUGGUGCUGCCCGGAGGAGCCAGCUCGAGCCAUGCCUGCCGCCGAGGCCCGGGAGCUGCCGCGGCCGUUCCUGGCGCGGUGGGCCCCGCCCCGCGUACCAUUUCGGAUUGGAAUUCCGACGCCUCCUUUCGGUUUCCCUUUUCCUUCCUCCAGAUUAUUAAAGCCACCUCCGUUGCCUACAGAGAGAGAGAGAGAGAGGAGGGAGCAAGGCAAAGCAGCCAACGACCAGAGAGGCAGAGGGAGACGAAGCUCUUGAGAGAAUCGCGAGAGAGAAAGAAGAGGAAGGAAGAUGAUGGAACAGGAGGAGGCGUGCUCGUCUUCGUCGUCCCUGACGCUGAGGCAGUGCAGGAUUUGCCAUGACGAGGAGGACGGCCGCCGCUCCAGCAUGGAGUCGCCCUGCGCGUGCUCCGGCUCCCUCAAGGUACGCGCGCAUGGAUAGCUUUCCUUGUUCGCGAGCUGAUGCUCUGUUGUAUCCCAUGGCUUCUCUUGACUUCACGACGAGGUUUUCCUGUGCCUGAUGGCCAAUCUCUGAAUGAUGUGUGCUCUAUCUUGUGGCUGCAGUACGCUCACAGGGGAUGCGUGCAGAGAUGGUGCGACGAGAAGGGGAGCACCCUCUGCGAGAUUUGCCUCCAGGUUGGUUCGCACAGCUGAUCGAUCAUCACCCGGCCUUACUGCUCCGUUCCGUCUUCAUCUCCGAUCCUUCUGCGAUUCUGCUGCCGCGUUCGCUGAAACUCCACUGUUUUAUCCAUGAGAGUUUCACCCUCCCUGCCUGGACCAUGCUGCCUGCAAUUUGUUUUCUAAAGAAGAACAAUUCAAUUCAAACAGAGCUUUCCUCCUCCUUCCCCAUGAAGAGCUUUUUGCCUGAAUGACAUGGGCGAUGCUUUCGUAAAGGCUAUAGCUAGAGAUUUCUUUGAUGCUAAACCGAGCGAUUCUACUCUACCUUGCUGAUCACAUCAUGCAAGUGCCUUUUUUAUUUUUUGGGUUUGCAGCGCAAAGUAUUGUACUUUUCUCAGAGUCCAAGUAAUCAAACCUGCACUGCAUAGCAUAGGACUUUCCGUGGUAUUGCCUUUGUUUAACAGCUCCGUGUUUUACUGUCUGCCAGAAUUUCGAGCCUGGCUACACCGUUCCUCCCAAGAAACCUGCUGAUGUCGCGGUCACCAUCAGGUAACUCCCCUUCUCACACUGUCACACACGCAUUGGUAACUGGGCGUUUGUAUUGAUACGCGCAUUAAAAUACUGCCAUCACAAACUCACCAACGAAUGCGUCCACUGCUGAACACCAUUCUGGCCAUUUCUUUGCUGGCACCCUCAUCUGAACCACGUGGUCAAGUAUGAGGGGGUGCUAUCUGGCUCAGUUGCUGGCCAACCUAUCUUUAUCUUCAAUUGAUUGAUUAAUUGCCAGACACUUAGACGACCAACCACCAGAGCCAUUGAUACUUGAUCGCAUACCACCACCAGCAAAUCUCCAAGAUGGCUGUCUGUCCACGGCAUGCAUCCCAGGCCCCUCAUCCUCAUGCCAGCCACUGCAUUCUGAUCUGAUCUGAAACCCGAAUGCAUUCUGAUCUGACAAACAGUAUACUCAACGCCCCCCUGAUCAUUAUCCAAACAAGAGAACAAGCAUUCCAAUCAAACAGUUGCCGUGACCCGGCACAUUCCAUUCUGGCAGCUGUCGGGUGGCAUCUUCCCUGUUCUUCAGAACAUGCGUUCGGAUUUUAGAACAGGGGGGGCUGGGGCCUGGGUGGCUGCCAGGUGGGUCCGGCCCAGCUGUACGUUCGUUAGGCAAGCUGAGCCAACCACCGGGUCCCAAUCAUUCCUUCCCGGCAUGAGAUGGCAAGAUAAAGAAUGCAAAUGCCCUUGCACUGUCGCUGCACGUCUGCUGUACAGCUCUCCAACCGUGUCCUGCACAGCUGCACUGUUGCCAAAGGAGUCAAACCGUCCGUUCAUCAAUAGUAGUUGCAGCACGGCCAAUCAUGCAUUUGCAAUCGCAAUGUGAUAGAGAUAGAGAAGAGGGGUGGCAUCAGGGUCAAAAAAAAAAAGAAAAAUUAGCCGAAUCUGUUGAGCUCAGCUGGUCAGCAACGACCGAUUCAUCAGUAGUGGUAAAGUUACCAGCUAACCACCUCGCACGGUGGCUGACCUGUGGUACGCGUGGUGUGCAGAGAGAGCCUGGAGGUGCCCAGGCUGAACUACGAGCCGGAGGAGCAGGAGGUCGAGGACGCGGCGGUGGUCGGCGCCGGCGACCCGGAGUACGCCGAGUGCGCCCGCGCAGCCGGCAGGAGCGCGUCCUGGUGCCGCUCGGUGGCCGUCACGGUACGGGGCCGACAGGAAACCGAAAUCACAUUGUUAUCAGAGGUUUUGAUUGACUUGUGCACAACUCUGAAAUCUGCCUGUCUGCAUGCAGUUCACGGUCGUGCUGCUGCUGAGGCACCUGGUCACCGUGGCGACGGUCGGAGCGGCGAACCAGUUCGCCUUUAGCCUCCUGACGGUGAGCACUCCUGCUCGAACUGUCAAAAAAAGGGAAAAUCUGAACAUCACGCAGAGAAGUUUUCUGCGAUCGACUGUUAACAUUUUUCCCUUCCUUGCUUGGCUUCGAAGGUGUACUUGCUGCGGGCGAGUGGGAUCUUGCUGCCGUUCUACGUCGUCAUGAGGCUCAUCUCCGUGAUCCAGCAUGGCCAGCGCCAGUACCGCCUGCAGCUGCUCCAGGUUGGUUGAUUGCCUGAUUGCCACCUCUGAACAUCGUAUCGGGCUGUCCUGCUGGAGGGACGCAGCGGUUGACUGAACAAGUGCUGUGGUUCCCUGAACUUUUUCUUGCUUAUCAUCUUACCUGAAUCUGAAUGUUGCUGGUGCAGGAGCAGAGGAGGCAGGCGUUGAGAUUGGUUCGGCGGCAGGGUCAGGGUCAGGGACAGCAGCAGCAACAGCAUGUCGUCCUGGUUCGCUGAGGAAGGAGGCGGCAUUCAUCAAGUGUUUGUAUAUCUUGGUACUACAAGGUUGUAAAAUGUACUGGUACCUGGUUCUUCAGGGGGGUUCCAGUUUUUGUACAUCAUUUGCGAUCUGACUCUGUCCAGCCUGCGUCAAUUUGCCGUCGCAUCUGCGAAAUCUGAAAAAUGCUCAAAAGUGAAAAUCUGUGAAGCCUGAGUCUAUCUCCCCCUUGUUCACGAAUUCUGAUGUACUGGUGUCCUGCUACCACCGCAGAAUGUAAAUAAGAGCACGACAGUGAUCCUGCAUGGAUCAUUAUUCCCCCCUUCAAAGGGAGGACCACGAAUGUGGUUUCGCACAAACAAGAAACAGGGGAACUUGUUUAUGUAAAACUCAUUUGUCUGACUGUUACAACCAGUUUCGGCAACCUGAUUAACAAGUCAACCACCAACUCAAGCAAUCGAAGCUAUUCGAUCUCAAGUUGCAAGGAUCUACGUUGCUUACUGAAAGUGCAAUGAAUUUCAGCUGUUCUUCCACUAUGACUCUAUGAGGUGAGUGAGUCGGAUCGGGAGACAAUGCAGAGGACCACCACUACCAAUCCACGAUGGAGUAUGGAGCCACACAGCUAGAUCUCGGAUCAAAAGGCGUGCGACAUGUAAACGUAUGGUCCACGAGGCUUACUGAAAGAGUGAUUCUUCAAUUUGUGUAAUAGCAUGGAGGGUGAUAGUGAUACAUACAUCUGACAAAGUGCAGAGAUGAUAACAUGGCGUUAAUUUCUAAAGCAAUGAACGUACUGGCAGAGUUUCCUCAAGGUCAGGCCCUGCCUGGCUAGUGUGUGCAGCGUGCAGGCCAAACCAAAUUUGGUGCCCGUCGCUAACCAAGACGUUGAGGUCCUGCAUGCGCAUGACCAUGGCACAUGCAGAUUUAUUUCACGUCAACUUAUAUCUACAGGGCAAACAGAUGCAUGUACCUGGCGCCAAGUUUUGAAAGAAAAUGCCCGAUUUGCACAACGGAAACAGUGCUUUCACUGUCAGCAUGUCGUUUGCUCCUGCGGUCCUGCCUCUGAUCUGAUCCAUCAUCGUGUCCGUGCGUGAAGAGCAUCGGAUUUGUCCGAGAAUUCCAGGAUUUUCUUUUUAUUUUCAGUGCCGUGACUGACCUAUACAUCGAACGGAAGAUAGAAUGGCCAAGCGUCACACGGCCCAACACGCGCACGCUAGACCCGACGCAGCUGCUUCGUCCUCGUCUCCGACCGUCACCGCGACGCCCCCGCCCCGUCGGCUUCCCUUCGUCUCCGGCGGCGGACAUAGCUGCGCGUCAGCGUGACGGACUGGCUAAUGGUGCAGCGCUCGUGGGCCACGAGAAGACCCGCACGCAGAUGAGGCCCGGCGCCCACGACGAGAGAAGCCCAUGUUGUUGUGUGGUACUGGAGACAGCCCAACCAAUCAAUAUGCAGCCCGCGCGCCUCGGCCUCCUUGGAAGGCUCGCGUAGUAGAAUACUAUAAUACGCCCACCCCCGCGCCACGCGCCCGAGUGUGGAAAGCCCUGGAAGCGCCACCGCCGUGUCCACGCACGCGCGCCCCGGUGCGCCCGCCACGACCACGGACACGUGCCGGGCCUCGUACACGCGUCCCGCACGACCGCCUCGCGGCAAUAAACCCGGCGCCCUCGCCGCGGACGUCCGGCACUUCCCUCGUCUCAGUUCGUGCGCCGAGCAGUAGAGCGCCGCCGAGGAGAGCAACAGCUAGAAGCUAGGAAAGCGAGAAGGCGAGGUCGAGAAGAUGAGCCGGCUGGACACCCGGACGCUCAAGGACGAGCUGACGAACAUGGACAGGCGGCCGCUGCUGGACCUGGGCCACCCGCUCCUCAACCGCGUCGCCGACAGCUUCAUCCGAGCCGCCGGGGUCGGGGCGGCAAGGGCCGUCUCCAGGGAGGCCUACUUCGUCACCGUCGAAGGUCUCUCAGGGGACUCGGCCGGGCUCGACCCCGACGGCGGCAAGAGGAGCCAUUUCUCCAGCAUCAGGGGCGACGAUAGCCAGAAGUCGCUCGACGCGGUGGUGAGUGUGAGCCAAAAAGAAAAAAAAAAGAAAAGAAACUGUUGAGAUCUAUUACGCUUGGUCAUUCCUUCUCACACUGAUUACUCACUGCUCAACUUGCGCAGGUAAAAACGGCUGGCAAGGAGGCCUUCCAGUGGGGUGCGUGUCCAUUACAAACAAUUUCCAAUGGCGAUUCUAAUUGUUUUCCUCCUGAUGUUUUUAUUUUGACUGACAUGCAGGGCUGGCAGCUGGAGUCUACUCUGGGCUGACGUACGGCCUGAGGGAGGCCAGGGGUUGCCAUGACUGGGUUAGUAGUGCCAUCUCCCAACUAAAUGAACUCAUGAUGCAAAGCAUAUAACUUUCACCAACUGUCCAAAGAACACAGAAGUAACCCAACUGUUGAUUCUGCUCUCUUAUCUCCUGCAGAAGAACAGCGCCAUCGCAGGUGCAAUCGCUGGUGCGGCCGUGGCGCUGACCGGGGACGCUGGCGGCCACUCCGACAAGCUUGUCCAUUUCGCCAUCACCGGCGCCGCGCUGUCCAGCGCCGCCAGCCUGCUCUCCGGCGUAUUCUGAGCCUGCUAGGGGCGGCUCCGGACACGGGUUGGUUGUCCGGUUAGGUUCUCGAGGGUUUUAGCAUAAAAAGUUGCAUUGCAGCUCACCGACGUCCAUCAAAAUGUGUAAUCGUAGAUCCGUGUCAGCUUCCUGCAGCAAGUCUGGUACUCUGCAGUUCCAAUGUAAUGGUUGCCCCGCUUUAUGUGUUUCCAAGACAUUCUGAAUUACCCUCGGCUUUUAUUCGCAGUCGCAGUAAUCUUCUAAGUUGAUACUUGUGAACCACCUAUCCAUCCUUGUGCUUCGACAACGUUUGAAAACUUCUCAAAGUUUUGAGACGCCGUCCAAGAAAGGUGGAAGAUACUGUGGCAUGGUAGCUGAACUUUACCAUCCCUGUUAGAAUGAGAACAAAUGUGAGAGCAAUGUACCUUCUCAAUUUGCUAUGAGAAAGGUGGUGGGCUAAUUUGAUGGAUGAUGCACCGUCACGGUCCCAUUGGGCUAGUAACUCUGCCUACAACCGAGUAACUGAUUGCCGAUCUCAUUUCUGUUGCGUUGCUUUGAGAGAUUGGACGCAUAUAUGCUGCUUCGCAACGCCUCUACAGCAGGUGCAAAAGACUUGUGUGCACGCUUCUUUGCAAGCAUUUCCUUUUUUUUUUCUUUUGAAGAAAAUCCAGUAUAGCCUAGCUAACAAGUCCAUGAGAAAAGUGACAUGAUGGUUAAAAAAACAGGACCCAACGGACGUAUUUACUAGAAUAAGUUGUGCUAGCGUACAACAAACUACAUCACAACUUGUUCUCCACACUGCAAAAUUCUGCCGCUUUUUCCCAACUAUAAACAAGCCUCAAAUAAAGAGCAAACCAUCUUUAAAGUAGCAGCACGGGCGAAGCAAUUUCACGCACAAAUGAAAAGAAGAUUGAUAUAUUGGCCAAGAAACCUGCAAGCAAAGAAAACUUCACGUCAAAACACAAAAGCCCAACGCUAAGUUGCAAUUUAGAACAAUCCUAAGGCUAAUGUACAAGGUGCAACAAUUUGGAAGGUGUUUUGUGCCGACAUAUGAAGAAUGAGAUCUUUGAUUCUUAGGUCACCCACUAAAGUUCAGCACCUAUCAUAUCGGAUGUUUAGGUCACCCACUAAAGUUCAGCACCUAUCACAUCGGAUGUUUAAUACUAAUCGGAUGUUUAAUACUAAUUAGGAGUAUUAAACAUAGGCUAAUUACAAAACUAAUUGCACAGAUGGAGUCUAAUUCGCGAGACAAAUCUAUUAAGCCUAAUUAGUCCAUGAUUUGACAAUGUGGUGCUACAGUAACCAUUGCUAAUGAUGGAUUAAUUAGGCUUAAUAGAUUCGUCUCGCGAAUUAGUCCAAGGGUUUUGCAAUUAGUUUUAUAAUUAGCUCAUGUUUAGUCCUCCUAAUCAGCAUACGAACAUCGCAUCCGAACAUCUGACGUGACAUUGCUAAAGUUUAGCACCUAGUAUCAAACACCUCUUAUAAUUUCAGGUUUAUGUUGUGUAACGCCGGAGAGAAUGCUAUGCGAAAACUUGGUACUCAAUUGUUUGCAGAAGAAAACUAAUUCAUAGCAAUGUAAAAUGCGACCGACACGACAUGUAGUUCCCAAUUUACUACCUCCAAGUAUAGGCUAAGUCCACAUAACCCCUAAACAAUAAAACGGUUCAUUUAACCCCUGCAUUUGAUAAACCAGAUCAAAACACACCUUUUAACACAUACUUAAACCAGUUUGCUGAGUUGGCUCGUUUACAAGCUGGUUUUGCGAAGGAUUGAUACUUCAGCAGCCUACGUGGCACUCAGGUUUCCAGAUCACCCCCUCCCAUGUCAACACAUCAUUUUACCCGUCCCCGUGUCCCGCCCAUCCCUCUCUCUGGUUCCGCCGCCGCCUGCUGCAGGGCGCUCGGUCUCCCAGUCCCAGUAGCUUGCUCCCAGUUCCGGCAGUCCGUGGCUCCGUGACCCUGCGCGGCCCUGGCCAUGCACCGCCCUUGCCUGCUGUGUGGCACAAGGGCUCCUUCAUGGCACUCCUGCGCCUCCACGCCGCACACGAUCCUACCUCGCAGUGGAGCACGGACAAUGAGACGCUUCAGUGUCGGACUGAGGCUGAUUUAAAGCGCUGGUGCCACCGUUGGCUGUAAGCAUGAGGCAAUGCACAUCGCUGACCACAAAGUGCGUAUGAUUCCUCCACCCUAUGCCUAAGGUGUUCGAUGAAUUGCAGCAACGAGAAGGAUGUGAUCCACGGCAAUUAAGCAGCAAUUUAGGCAUCAUGGGGUAACUCCCCUCCCCUCCCCUCCCCUCGCGUCGCCCCUCCCAGGCGACUCGGGGGGGCGACCCGCACGUCGCCGCCGGCCUCCCCCCACCGGGCCUCGCCGGCCGUUGCCGCUGUGGGCGGCGGCGGCGGCCCCGCUCUCCUCUCCUCCUCUCCUCUCCUCUCCUCCUCUCCUCUCCACCCCUUCCCUCUCCACCCGCUCCGACCAUUCCUGGCACUCCUCGCUGGCUGGUGCCGCUCCCCCCAGCUUUAGUACUCCUCGCUGGCUGGUGCCGCUCCCCCUAGCUUUAGUCGGAUCUUCGGCCGCCGGGCUCGGAUCUGCGCUUCCCUAGUAUGGAUCUUUGACUUCCGGGCCCGAGGCUUCCGUCUCUGACUGCUGUCGGGGGAGGGGGGGGGCGCCGCCUGUGGCCGCUUUGGCCUGAGCGGGGGGCGUCGCCCACGGUUGGCUGCAGGCUGGGGGUGGGGAGGCCUCUCCCCUCCCUCGCUCCGCCUCUUCGACCCCCUGGCCCGCCGGAUCUAGCCGUUGGGGGUGUUGCGGUGUGCCCGGAUGCCCCUGCCAUCGGGUGUGUGUGUGGUGGUCUGCCUUCGUCUCGUAACCAAGAUCACCAAGAUCUUCAGGUGAAAGCCCUGCCCGGUGUUGUGUUGGGUCAACAACGACUGCGCCUCCGAGCGUCAUUCCCCUCCUCAGAGGCGUUGUUGUGAAGUCUCGGGAGACAUCGCUCUUCCGCCCUGCCGCUGCCUUGCUGUUGAUGUGUUCCACCUGUGCUUUCACUGCUUUGGCCGCCGCCCUUUGUAUGGUUGCCGCCAAUGUUGGUGGUCCCAUCCCAUCAUGGUGUGCUUGGGGGUGGGGUCGAGGCGAAAGCCUCUACCUGCUUGCGGGCCAAUGAUGGCAAUGCCCUUGGGCGUCAUUUUCCUUCUUGGAGGUAUAAUUCGUUUGCCCCUUCCUCCUCGGAGUCCCCCAAAGCUAGUCGGUGUGGUUCACCCUCUGUAGCUGCCUUCGCUUUAUUUUACACAAUGUCACUUUGGUUGCCCAGGUCGUGGUGGAUGCUUUGCCUCCUGUUGUGUUGUUGUAGAUGGUGAUUGUUCUGGGUGAAUGCUUUGUCACCCUUUGUGUUGGUUGGGUGGACUUUGUGCCACCGCUGUUUGGUCCGGGCAGAUGGUUUGCCGUUGUCGUUCUUCUACCCUGGCGGAUGCUUUGCCGCCAUUCUUCUACUCUGGCGGAAGCUUUACUGUUGUGGUCGUACUGUUCGGUGGAUGCUUCGCCACCGCUUUGUGCUUGAAGCUUGCUCUCCUUCGGCAUCUAUGGCGACGGUGUAUCCCUUUUGCAAGUUCAGUUCUUACGGUAGCCUUGUUAGGGUGGCAGGGUUGGGUGUGUCCUCUCCCUUCGUGCUUCUCCUACUGCCAGUUUGUUGUGGUCGCUGCUUCAGUCGCUUCUCGGCUAUGAAUUUGGUUGUACUUUUCUUCAGUGUUUCUCUGUUUUUAAUCAUUUGUGCUCGUGUUAGUCAAGAUCCAUUUGGCUACAUUAAGUAUUGUGUCUGUAAACUGCUUUAUUCUUAAUGAAAUAUGUGCUAAGGCACGGUCGUGAAAAAAAAUUUAGGCACCAUGCGAUUCAUCUACUAAGGAAUCUCUUUCCGAAGGAUGUGAUCGGAUACAGGAUACCUGAUUGGCCGCUAAUCAUUUGUAUUGCUUCACACAAAGAGAGUGAUUUGCGCUUUUCACUUGUAUUCCAUGUGUAUGGAUAGUAGAAUUGUGUGUGCUUGCGUAAUUUGUAAUGAGCUAAUGAUCCAUGAUCAUGUAAUCAACAUUGUGAAAUGAGCUUGCGGUGCUUGUUUUUCCACUGAAGCAGUGGUGAAAUGAAAAUACGAAUGAUUUUUGCAACUUGCCCUACUGAUUUAUUGUACAACCAAAUAAUAAGGAACGUUACUUGCCUCUUACUUGCCCAGCGCAGCACAGGGACGGAGCAUAGCUAGAGCCAGGUGCUGGCGUGCUGCGCAGGGGUUCGGACUGCCAUGAGGUUAAGCUGCUAGGCGCCUCGCGGCAGGCGCCGGCGGAGCUGGGCGCAGGUGAAUCCAGAGAGAGAUGAGAGGGACACGGGACGGGUGAAAUGCUGGAUUGGUAGGUUAAGGAGUGAUCUGGUCGACCUAAACUUAACUGACAUGUAGACUGCUGAUGUGCCAAUCCUUGUCAACAAAAUCAGCUUGUAAACCAACCAACUCAUCUUGAAAGGUGUGUUUUGAUCUUGUUUACCAAACACGGGGUUAUGUAGACCCUUUUAUUGUUUAGGGGUUAUUUGGAUCUAGCCUAUACUUAGAGGUAGUAAAUUGGACCUUUUCCUUCUACCAGAACUAUUUACGUAUUUGAGCCUUUUUACCCAGCCGACUGGCGCCUGUGACUCGUCCAAUAAUUUAAGCUUUAUAAAAUAGGUAUGGUCACGAAAAAAUGCCCCCUCUCAAAAUGGCAAUAUAACAUGCAGUGAUGCAAGUUUUCUUUAAUUUGCGUCAUUGGAUCAACCUAAAACACAUCUAAAUAAAUUGAUCCGAAUUUCAAAGCAAGAAAACCACCAGCGAAUACCCACUUGUACCCUGCAAGCAUGAAACAAUCUCAAGGGUCCAUUUAAGCAAGGAAUCUUUGGGCUGAUCCUACAAACAAAGUGCCAGCUUGAAGACGUGAUAACUUACAUAUGAAUACAUGAUCUGAGUUGAUGGCUUCAAAAAUUGCAUCCCCAGUUGAUGAGCACCAUCUGACCAAUUCCUACAAAAAUGCUUGGACAUCGUGCAUAAAACAGCAGCCCUCCACACUGCAUUCUUAUCGAUCAACUUGGAGAUUGGAAUCACAAUGGCUAUAAUGGAGUUAUGGCCACAUCAUAGCAGUGCCGAUGAGGCUGCUGAUGCCUCAGCUAUAAGCCAAAGAGGUUGGCGUGCUUGAAGGCAAGCAGCGAUAUCAAAGGGAUGUAAUUCAGCUCCAUCAAAUAUAAGAUUCACUCCUGGUAAGACUACAUCCUUGCUGUCUGUGUCCUCUUGCUCUGAUUUUACAUCAUGUAGGGAUGAUUGUUCUUCAGAGGUAAGUCUGCUGGUGGCCUCAUUGUGCUCAGGAGCAAGUGCAUAUGACCUUUACAAAUUUGGAACACAGCCAUUAGUUACAAUGAAUACUAAUCAAUUAAACUUAUCGAAUAAAAGCUUAAUGCAACAUAUUCAGAAAUACCUGACAGUGCUCCCAUCAAAGCUCACAACUUCUGUGCGGCAUCUCUGCCGUCCAGAAAAUCUCAGCCUCUCAUUUUCACUUGGGGCUCCUCCGCUGGUAGGUGUUGAAGGGUCAUUAUUGAGAUUCCACCUCCCACUAAUACUGUUGAUUAAAACACGUGGCAAGUCCCUUGAGCUUCCACGCUUGUUGAAUAACUUUGCAAUCGGACCAGUUGCUUGAUAUUCACCACAAAGUUCUCUCAGAUGCCUCCUUACAUUUUGCAUCACAUCACAAUGCUCAUUGAGGUCAUCUUUCUGAAGCAUAUGGGAUGAAACCACCCUUUCACAAAUCCUCUCACACAACUUCGGAUUGAAUAAGGGAAUCCCGAACUCUAAGCUCAAAGGUACCCACUGAUAGCUUACAUUUUCUGGAUCAAUUUUGUCCGAUGCCUCGAUCCUGUGAAGUCUUAGUAAACGAAGGUAGCCAAGUGUGCUCAUGUCAAAUUUAUUGGAUAGUUCUUUCAAUACAGAUGUCAAAUUUAAGAUCUGUUCCUCUGGCAAAUUAGUUUGAGCUACCACAGAUGCAAUUGAUUGAUCAUCAUUCUUUAGAGGUAGAGGGAUAUCUACAGUGACAAGGUUUCCUGAUGCAUUAAGAUCAUUAACGCCAAGUGGUUGCACCAGCACAGCAGAUUGUUUAAGCAUUGAGUUCAAGCAGUGUAACAAUAGGUUACCCUUCACUAAGUUCCCUUCCAACUUCCCUCCUAGUCCACCCACCACGGAACCAUCCCAAGACCAUAUUAGUGCUUUUUCACAACCAGAUAAUGGUUCAGGUAGCAGUCUAAAGCGUAGUCCUUUCAUGAAAACAGCAGAGACCGGUCCACAAUUCCCUGCUGUAUACAAUACAAGCUUCAUCCAAGGUGUCAUGGAGGAAUAAGAAGGUGGGCCAAAAUGAAUUGGGCCUGAAGGGCCUGGAAGAACUGACAAAGAAGGAAGAGGAACCAUUGAAACAAUAAUGUCAUAGUCCCGGAGAAACAGCCGUUCCAAUGUAGCCGGGGCAAGUGAGGCUAAGCUCUCGCAUCGAAGAAUAUCAACUUUGUACUUCCUUUUGUUCUUCAACACUCGAGUGUCACUUGAAGCAUCUAACUCUGAUGUAACCUGGUCAUGCUGUGGCAAUUCAUCAUGGUUAUCGUCAACACCAUCCUCUAUGUUUACUUUGGCCAAUUGGCCAGUAGCAUUUUCAAUGUCAUUCGAAGAGCUUCUCGGAGUCUUUGCUUCACCAGCAUUAUUAGUAAUUUCAUUUGAAGAAACACCACCAGACUGUAAACACUCCAAGAAGUACCGCAGACUAAAUGCAUGAUUUGCAAACUCCUCUAGGACACCUUCAAAUUUCUUUCCCUCUAAACUAGCCAGAUCACUACAAAGUUCUGCAAUACAAGAAUCACCUAGUUUUCCAGCCUCAUAGAGUGUGACAGCAUGCGAUUUUAAACCUGCAAAAUGUUGGUGAAGGCACUCACUAGUCACUAUAGACUACAGUAUCAUCAAGGCAUUUGGCUAAGUACUAGAUAUUGAUCAGUACUGCAAAAACUGUCGUUUGUACCACUACUGUACAAGAGAAGAAUUUGCUAGAUUCUGAUAUCGUAAUAAACCUUUUUAAAAGAUAUAUAUAAUUGUAACUUCCACUAACAGUAACUUUCAAAAUAUCAAGUAAGGUAAAAUGAAAAUAGUAUUGUUAAACUUGCCAUCAAAAGUGUCACAAAUAUUGUACAUUUAAAAGCAUUUAUAUGCAUAUUCCUCAAAAACCGACAGUCAUGUUUGAGUAGCAAAAUCAACGGUGACGUUAUUUGAAUAUGGGUGCUGGAUGUCUGGAUGAUCUCCAACAGAUUUCAGAUUAAAAUCCUAGUACCUCUGCAUUAGGAAUAAGAGUUAAAGACAAUAUCUAACCUGGGGACAGUGAGCCCAUCAUCAAGUAUGAAGUAACAUUGGCAUCAACAACAAAGCCCACAUGAGCAGUUCCAGAUAUUUUCCUGGGCCCAUCAGAAUCCAUGCUAAUCAGUUGUUGACCAGACUUUUCUGAGUUGAUACUUGUAUUUGAACCUUCUUCGUCAUCACUAAGAAUACUACCAGGAAAUGCAGGCGCACCUUCAUCAUUAAGAACAGAAUCUGCAUCCACUAGUUUUUCAGCCCAGCCCAAUCGACAAGCAAAUGAUGCAGCUGCCUGCAGCUGAUAAAGGUCAGCUUGUAAAGUUGCAGCCAGUUCAGCAACAGUAGCAUUUGCACUUGAUACAACAAAUACAGCAUACAAUAGCCUGUGACAAAAAAAGUCAAGUCAUUGCUAUGGUGGCUACAGAAAGUUACAGGUGAAAGAAAUUUACAGAGUCAUGUAAAUUACAUAUGAAUAGCAAAUGGAAGGUCACUACACAGAAAACUGCAAACACUUACUCUUCAAUUGGGUCUUCGUAUGAUUGCUCCUUGUUAGAAACAAAAUUUUCAAGCCUGGAAACUGAACAAAUAGUAACAAUGUAACUGUGCUAUACUACUAAACUUAAUAUAAGAUUAUAAACACAUAUCCGGAGGGCAUAUAGCAGUCUAAGAGAAUUUUAUUGAGCAUUUUACCAUUUAUUCUGAUGAAGCAAGCUCAAAAUCAGGGGAUUUUGAUAUGUUGUUUGGAUAAAAUGAAAUACCAUGAUAUUCUUCAGGGAACCUCUUUAUUUAACACAUUUAUAUGCGAUAUUGAUCUAUCAAAUAUGAUUUUGCAAAUAACACAUAGAAGGUUCUGAUGUUCUAACUUUUUAUCGAACUUUUAUGUUCGUCUUUUUUGCAUAACCACAAAUUAGGUCAUAUGACAGACACAUAAUCCAAAGAAUGUUUAUCUAUUUGUAAUGUGUCAUAACGAGAUUACCUGUGAAGAGUCAAAAUGGUAAAGAUAUUCAAUAUGAAAUUUAUGCAAUCAAAACAAUUUUAUUCUGGCAUAAAAAAGAAAUUGAAAGAUGUCGUUAGGCCACAAUGCAUUUGAAAUACAAAAUGGCUGUCUAAAGCAUUCCUUAGCAACUCAAGGAACAGGAUAUUACAUUCACAUCACAUGACUUCAAGAGAAAGCAUGAGCAUAGAAGAGACACAAACAUCACAGGCAAUGAUGCCAAUCAAUAAGCUUAAUUCAGCUUGACUAAUGGUGUCCUCCAAGUACCCCAUUUACCUUUGAAACGAUCGUCUGGGAAAACAGGGACAUCGAAGUACACUAGCCCUCUUUUAUAAAGGCCAUCUACAACCUUUGGAUCAAAAAGAACAUAUGAAUUGGCUUCCUCUUUACAUAUUUUGUCUAUUGUUGCUGUCUCUUCCUCUGAAAGUUUCUACAGAAAACCCAUAACAUCAACUCUUAUCAAAAGACUUCAUAAGGAAGGAUCAUUAUAAAAAAAAUAAUAGCUUUACAAUGGGAAAAAGAAAAUCAGGCAUUGUAUAUUGUAACUUUCACGUUACGAGUAGGUUUCAUCACAUUCUGUAUCAAAAUUACAUCAAUGUAUAGCAAUAACAAGAAAUCAAACCAGACCUUAAACUCCUCCAGUGUAAAGUUAACAAGACAAACUCCCCACCAAGGCUCAACUGGGAAGUCAGCAGGCUGUGUAGGCAGCAUUUCUUUUGCAAUUGAUUUGUUCAGCUUCCACAUUAAUUUCUGAAGAAAUCAAUAGAGAAAUCAUUUGUAAAAUGAUCAAUCUUGCUGAACGAUACAGUCUAAUAGAACAUGGAAAAACACACACAAAACAUGUAUAGCAUGCCAGUGCAUUUAUUAUUCAUCACUUUUCACAUCAAUAAGACUCAUGCCCCACGCAAUCAUUCAGCAUGGUCACUCUACAUAGGCCCUAAUAGUUUACAGCUUAAAUGUGUCUCAAUAGUAUAAAAGGAUAGUUGUUUUGCGAUUUAGGAACCUGCCUUAUCCUUUUUAGGGUCCCCUAGAAUCCUAGAUUGACAGCUUGAUGCCUUUUCUUUCGUAAAUUUCAGUUGCUAUCAUUUCAUCUGAGAUUUGAUAACCAUGCGUCAUCUGUUUGCACUUUGCAUAUUUUAGUAUGAAAUAGAUUACUCAGAAAUUCACAUUAUCAACUAUUUGAAACCUAUGUAUGUUCACAAGAAUGCAUGAGCAUGACAGUGUAAAAACCUAAAGUAUAUGCAGCACUACCUUUGAUCUGCAUUUGUUCAUAAUAUCAAUAAACUCGUUUCUCCCAACACCAGUAAGCCUUAGUGCAUCAGCAGCAGUGAAGUUUGGAAUACUAUCAUAUGGUUGUUCUGCCAGAAAAUCAAGCAUGUUAGAAAUAUAAACAUGUAUUAAAAAAAAGUGGAACAGUGCCUCAGUCUUGCAGUGACGUAUCAGUAGGUUACCCUGUUCUACAAAAAAGAGGGAAUAGAAACAUUGACGAAUACAUUUUACCAACAUGGGCUAGCAGUCUAGGUCAGGCAUUACCUAAAAAUUGCAGUCAGAUUAAAUUUUAACGGCAGGAUACCACGAUUGAAUUGUAUUCUAAUUCUAUAUGUGAUAUUUUGCCACCAUAAAGACAAUAAGAAAGUAAAGCAAUCUACAGGCUACAUGAUGCUAAAGAAACUUUUUUCCUUCAAAAAAGGGAUUACCAUUCUUCAUUGCUUCAAAAAGGAUGUCGCAAUAAUAUCUGAAUGGUGAGAUCCUUGAUACUCGGCAGAUAUAGUCUGCAAGGUGGUACGGGUAUAACUGCAAACCAAUGUGCAUAAUGUUGAAAUCUUGAAAGGUUUUGGGUAAAACAAUUCGAACAUAUGAGAAAAGAGUUAUUAUACACAUAUUUCAACCCAUUGCAGAGGUGAUUACAUAAACCUCAAUAAAAAAAUAAUAAAGAUGUUAACUGGGCAGAUCCAGUAUACAAAACAAUGUGCAUUAAAACUCACAGAUACGGGUUUAUCAAUGUUGGAUCAACAGACAAUUGAAAUAACCCCCAACAAGAGAAAACCAAGUCAUCACGCAUUUGCCAGCCUAUAUAUUACACAGAAAAGGGGAAAAUGAGGAUCAUACUGCAAGAUUUCUCCGGAGGUAGCGCAUCAUUUCUUCAUAAUAUUCCCCUUCUCUGCAUACUCUACGGGCAAAGCAGGUAUUCCAUUGCAACCGUUUUCGGAUACAAAAGUCCACAAUCCUGCCACCAAAAUAAUUAGAACUGGAUAUUAUGCCUGAUAGUUUUGCACUAUAUUAAUGACAGGAACAACGGGCGUGCAAUUCAGACACCUUUAAUACUUGAGCAGGGUUCUUCAUGAAGGCCUGACACAAAGUACUACUAGUGUACCAUUCAGGGCAUAUUUUUUGUACAUAGAAGUAUUUAAAAGUAGUUUUUGACCUUUAAUAAUGGAAAAAUUACAAACAUACCACUGGAUCAGACCUAAUUUGCUCUUUUACCGCAGGGUAUAUCAAUGACAGGUGGGUCCCAGUCCUACCUAUCAUUGAGGCAUCCAAUGCUAAAAUAGAAAAGUAGGGUUUGAGCCUGUGGUAUGUUUGCAAAAUCCCCUUUAAUAUUCUUACAAUAUAUUAUCAAUCCAUACAGAGUCAACAUCAUAUCAAACAAUAUGUAGAUCUGUAGAUACAACUUCUGCACACUAAACAUGUAUAUAAUUUGACUGAUUGUUGGUCAAAACUUACAAAAUCUGACUAUUUCAAAUCAAAAUCCCGUUUAGAUGUGGAUUGAGGGAGUAGGUACACUAACACAUUCUCCAAUAUGGCAUCAUGUAACUUUAUGUGGCCUUACUGAACUUCGACAGAGGUCUUUUCCAAGGCUGGAAAUCCUAGCUCCUAUGAUUUAACGUGGAAGUAUAUUUUUAGCAAAUACAAUGGCAUAUGUACAAAAUAAACUAAAUAUUUUUGUCUCAUUUCAUAAAGAGCUUUGACUUCAUGGUAAAAUCACACAGAUGUCCCUCACAAAAAAACCGCAUGCAUGCAUACUUGGUUACUUUGUUAUCAUGAGGGGAACAUAAUAAUGCCAACCAAUGUUAAGAAAUGUGGCACUGUGAAUGAUCCAAGCCGUAAAAACAUCAUUAGCAGCCAGAGGCCAUUAAAAGCUGCAUGUAACAAAACAGUAAGAAGGAAGAUUGAAUGAUUAACCAAAUUGUGCUUUUCUUUCAGAAUGAAACAUCAUGGCAUUGUCAGGACUCAGAAUUCUACUGUUUUACUCGAAAUCAGUCAGUGUGCUGAAGAGCCAUAGUUCAAUUUCACUACUCUCAAACUGCCUUUAUUCGAACAGGCACAAUGUCAAGAGAUGUAACUAUACAAGCCAUGGUUCACCUAUCUGCCGUGCUAGGUAAACCAUGCAACUGUCCCCAACAAAAUUGAGGCCAGCAUCUGCAGCUCGGACAUCUCCCACGUCAAUGCAGGUACUAGUUAGAUGAAGACGAGAUCUAAACAAGCGCCAGGCAGUUGGGCAAACUAAAAUCUCCAGUUGAUGUUCAAGCGGCACCAAAACAGCCAUUUUAAACAGCAUUGGCGUCUACUGCGGCAACUCACAGAGCUCAAAACUAAGCGCAAACGGUUGCAGCAGCAGAUCAAAUCCACAGUAGAGAGUAAAGGCAGAGCGGUGGCUGGUUACCUGCGGUGCCACUCGUCCUUAGUCUGGAGCGUGGACUGGAGGCGCUUGGGGAGCGACUCCCAGGGGCACUCCUCCCUGAUCGCCUUCACCACCAUCUGCUCCUCAACCGUCGCUGACAUCCUGCGCCUCCACCCCCUCAGCCCGCGAGACUGUUGGGGUGGUUGGGUGGGGCGGCGGAUCUGGCUGCUGCGCUGCGGCGGGAUCAGAUCGCGAUCUCGCGGGGAGGAGGGGGCAGGUGAAGUUCGGGAGCGCGCGUGAGGGACGCUGCUGUUCCGGGAUCGAGCGCGGUGGCGGUGCUGGGGCCUGGACGCUGGAGAGAAACGGGAGCGCGGCGGGAGGGGAGGGAAGUGGCGGCCUGGUCCCCUGUUCGAGUCCGGUAAGCCGCAGCCCGCAGCAGGCAAGCCUUUGAAACUGGUAGCGGCACCGUGGUCAGUCCGAUUUCCGCGACGACGGUUCGGGUAACCCCCGCAGGUCGUGCACGACAGCACAGUCGUGGCACUAGCCGGUCAGCACGACUCCGCCAUCAAUCUAGCUCGAGCAUAAUCAGUGAGAUCGGACGGACAAGGACCCGCUCGACCUUCCGGUUCACUGUUCCCAUUUCCCAACCGGGUUCAGAUAUAUGAGUUCUGUACGUAAAUCACUCGCAUAAUUUAGCUGAUGGUGAGUGCAAGUCGUGAGUUUGAGGCCCCUUCUCCUAACCACCUAGUGUCGACCUUGAGUAACGUUAACCAGUGAAGAUUUACCACGUGAAUCCUCAGAUGGAUUAGCUUGCGAGGUAUGGGAGAUUUAUAUUGGUUGAGGCAAUUUGCCCUAUGUCCAGUUAGUGAUGCGAGUUCUUUAUUCCCGAGUUCGAGAGCUCAGUAGGGGGUUACAAACGGUGCGUGCGUGUGUGAGUGUGUUCUACUGGAGGUUGAAACCCCUCUCUCGUCCCUUCCCAUGCCCUUAUAUACACAGCUCAUGAGGAGGGUUACACUGUAGAUCGUUGUGGGAAGCACGUUCAGUCGGGCGCUCUCCUCCAGCUGGUAGUCGUGGGGCCCACCUCGCAGUCGGGACCUCUUUCCCCUAGAUACCCGUCAAGAUCUUCGUCAGGGUCCGCUCAUCCGAUCACCUUAGUUAUUGGACCCGGCCCCUACAUGUAUCUCGGGGCGGCACCUGCCCCCGGUCACUUCACCUGAUACCGUCGUGGCGAAUCGGGCACCCCUGAUUGGGCUUGACCUAGAACAAUGCCCCAACGCCGUUCCCGACUGGGAGCCUUUGUUCUGGGGCGGCUGUCUUACCCUCGAAGGCAUGGAUGACGGUGCACCCGACUGAUUAGCCCACAUUUUCCUCGCCUCGGCCCACGCGGGCUCGGCUGCGGCUGUCACAUCGGGCAGGUCUAGCUAUAUGAUAGGCCUGGCCCAUCAUUACGCCUAGACCUUUGCAUGACGCCUUGGGCCGGUCCAGUGGCCUCUCAUCCUCGAUUCCCGGGCCACGACCUCGGGCGUUGUCGGUCAGUCGGGCGGCGAUGGUGGCAGCCUCUUGCCCAGCCCAAUUAGCUUCGCCUCCCCAUCCCUUCUUUAUUUUAGGCUUACCGAUAAUCUAGGAUAUUCUUAAUCUGGAUAUCUUUCAGUAGCCUCCGAGUCCUUCAGCUGAAAGUCGGGGAAGGGCUGUGCUUCGAUGGCAAUCUUCUAUUCGCUCCGCACGUCGCCUUGGGACCAGCGUGCGUCACUUAUUCCGCUGAUGUCGGGUCAUGAUAGGACAGUUUCCUACCCCAUGUCUUGUCGUAGUGGACAGCCUUUAUCUCAACCAAUUACUACUCCUAUCCGGGGGGUCAAAGGGUCCACCGCCUUUGCACGGGUGCCUCGUGGUCCAUGCUUAUGAGGGAUGUCCUCCCUUGUCCAUGUGAGGCCGCGGCCGGUUUAUAAAUACGGAGGAACGACACCUCUUCUUCCUCGUCCAUCUUCAGUGUUCCAGAGAAAAUGACACCUCACCCUCCUUCCCGCGUGGGAAGCCACUUGAUGAAAUCCCCAUUCGCGCGUUGUGCACACGGCUCGUUCUUAGGUGCUAGGAGAAUGUUAGCGAGAGGAGGGGUGUGAUGAAGGUGUGUGGAGGUAGCGGGGCGGCCAGUAGGAUAGCUUCCAUGUUGCCUCUGAUACUAUUGGCCAUCUCGUCGGUACUAUUGGCCAUUUCAUCAAUGAGAUGGCCGGUUGUGCUGACUGUCGGCCAUAUAUCUAUGGGCUCAUCAGAAGAUUUGAACAGUCCUACAAUAUGGGACUGUACACCGAGACGUGUCAGACAUGGAGAUUACGGUGCAAGACGGCGUGGUCUAUGCGGAGGACAGGGACUAGUCAAAGAUUAGAAAACUACUCGUAGCAAUUAGAGUAGGACUCUCUGAUCAAAUCUGACUAGUUUUCUUGUAAAACAACCAACCUAAAACCCUUCCCCAAGCAUUAUCAGGUGAGGCAAGAACCCCCUCCAAACAAGUUCAAUCAGUACAAUCCAACCAACACACAGGACGUAGGGUAUUACGCGACUAAGUGGCCCGAACCUGUCUAAAUCGUGUGUCUGAGUUCACCUUCAAAUUCCUGAUCUCGGCGAGCCCCACGCAUAAAAUACUACCUCGGGUACCCCCUCGGUAGGUUGCCAAGUCUAAACACCAACAGCUGGCACGCCAGGUAGGGGAUCUCGCUAAAGAUCCACUGGCGAACUCGAUGGCUCCAGUCAUCAUCAAGCCUAGUGUCGCGUUCGAAGCGGGCGCGACGUUCAUCUUCAACUCUUAGGUUUGCAUUGCAGACAGUGCUGGAAACUUCCACCGCCACAUCGCGCUCGCCCCGGAGGAGAAGUAAUACGACAUCAACCUUCAUCGCCAAGCUUUGGAGGAUUUCGUUGAAACAUUCAACAAAAAUUUCGACCUCUUCCGAGGCUCAAGGGACGAGUCCGAGUACAACUUGACUUCUCCCACCAGUCCGACUGGUUCCCACGAGUUGGCGAUCAAGCCAUCGUGUGAAUCAGCUUACAACACAAGUCAAUUCCCAUUCGGACUCCAAAACUCGGGUACUGCCAACCAAGCUACCCUGUCCAGAUUGCAAUCCACGGUCAUUUGGUCGGCCGUGGGCGUCGUCCUAGCGGAUGCUGGCAUUCGUUCGAGUACCGUCGUGGGUGGCUCCCCAUCUUCAUCUGGCACUUCCCACCGGGGGCCCGCCCGAGCAAUGGGCCCUUAUCCCAAAUCUUCUUCUAGCCUUCUUCCGCCUCCUUCGUGGUGGCCGGGUUAAAUGCUUUCUUUCGAGUCUACUUGAAGUAAGCCUUCCUAGCGCCUUUACGCGGGUUGCUGAUGCUAGCAGAAGGUCAGUGAGGCUCUGCAGCGUCGUUCCACCGCAGUUGUAGCACGAACACCAGCUUUCCUGCGUCGUCGGCCCAACGGGCGGCGAUGGUCAUGUUUGUAUAUGUAAAUGGUUUCGACCUUUGACAAAAUGAAUGCAUUUUCAAGGCAUCUUUGUUUUCUGUCAUGUAGAUGUUUCGGGUUUUACCCUUUGUUCUAUUUUUUAUCGAUCCACGCUUCCCUCAAUGGGUGCAGGUUUUUUCGAGCUCGAACGGCAAAUUCCUCGAUGGUCGCAAGCCGCGCUUGUUUUUGAGUCUCAACAGGUUUGUUCGGGCAAGAUCAAGUUUUCCUUUGGUAGGAACCCUAGCCUAGCUCUUCUUGGAGCAUCUCACGCUAUCUCGGUCCCUCUUCCAUUUUGGCUCUUGAGUCAUUCGACUGACUCGAGGGACUCCGUUGUCCUCCUCUCAUGGGGCCAGCCCACGGGUGGGGUCGUAACCAUGACUUUCGAACGCAGUCGGGAAUUUCCUUAAGUCGUGGGCUGUUCCCGACUCAUUUGGACAAUUCUAGGACCUAUCCCUUACUGCCCCUCGCUCUAUUGGCAUACGGCAGCCUUGGAGCCUCUUGCGAGGCCGACCUUUGAACUGCGCGCUUGUUCCGUGGGCCGAUGAUUCUUUUUCAUCCUCCGCCCCAAUAGGCCGAUGACCAAUCGGCCGGGUGGCCCCCUGCUGCGCGAUGCGCUGGCGCCGCCCGUGUCAAUUUCUGUCAGAAGCUGAAGGGUCACCCCACGACUUCACGCCGGUGGGGUCCACCCCGUCCUUGUCGCUGGAGGUUUUGCUUCCCCGCCGCACCUACGCACGUCUCGUCAGUUCCUUUUCCUCCCUUUAUAAACCGUCUAGGGGAAAUAGGGCUCACUCCUCUUUCUUCCUUGCUUCGCAUCUACCCUUUCACCUCCUCACGCCGCCGUGCUUGCGCUAGGUCUGCCGCUCCGUCAUCUUCACCGUCCCCGCCAUCACCGCCGCCCCCGAGUCAUGGGGUCCUAGCACCGCUCGAAGAUUUCCGACGCUCGCAUCCGCAGGCUCAUGAGCAAGGGAUUCCUUCCUCUGCAGGAGGAGUCCGAAUGGCGCCUUCCACAGGGGGAGUCCUUCCCCGAUCCUCGACCGGGCGAGACGGUGGUCUUCACUCCGUUCUACGGGAGGGGCUUUGGACUGCCGGCGUAUUUGUUCUUGCCGGCGAUUCUGCACCAUUAUCAGCUGGAGCUGUAGCAUCUCAACCCCAACGAGAUCCUCCUCAUUGUGGCCUUCAUUACCUUCUGCGAGUGCUUCCUCGGUGUGCAGGUGAAAUUCCUGCUGUGGAUGUACUUCUUGACCGCGCGGAUUGAGUCCUGCCCCGGGCUGCGCGGUGAGGGCGAUGCCCCCAUUGGUAAAGCGGGGAUUCGGCUGCGGACCAGGAAGGGAAAGGACUACUUCGACCUCCCCUUCGUCACCUACAACAAGGGAUGGCACGGGGAGUGGUUCAACAUCAGCAACCCUUCCCAGGUCUUCUUCCAUUCGUUGGCGGCGUCCCCGUCGUGCAGGACACGUGGACUUGGGGUGUGCCGACAACGGAGAAGAAGAAGUUGGACCGCAUUCUUCCCAUCUUCCGUGAACAAGUCCGACUUCCUCCACUGCAUGGUCCUUCCUUCAGGGGCCGCGUGGGACGAGCGUCGCCGUCGCGAGGAGGUCGAGGCCCAGCUUGCCGCGGCGCAAGGGGAGCUUGAACGUUUGUCCGUCCAGAACCAGCAACUCCGGGAGGACAUGUCUGGCUCGGAGUCGCGGAUGUCCGACCUGGUGGAGACCACGAGGAAAGAUGUUGUGGCUUGGCAGACGUCCCUGCUCCAGGCGUAGUCGGCCCGUGACGAGGUGUUGUUAGAGGCCCAGAACCUUGGAUCGGCAAGGGAUGCCACUUUGGCUGAAGCUGAGCGUACCCAAUGUUAGUUAUCUUCUUUGCUCGUGGUUGGUCAGUCUUCUUACGCUCGGCUUUCUCCUCAUCGUCCUUGUUUUCCUCCCCUUUGCGCAGGGCUGGUCGCUGCAGCAGGGGAGAGGGCUCACAUGGCAGAGGACCGGUGCAGUCACCUAGAGCAGCAUGUGAAGGUGUUGGAGGAGGCGCAUGAUGACGAGCUGGCCAACCAGGCGUCGAUGGAAAGGGUUAAGGAGCGCCUGGAGCAGGAUCUUCAAUAUUGGGUUACCGAAGAUCAUCGCGAGUGUCUUGUGCUUGUAGCCUUGUGGUGGGUUCCUUCUUGAUCCCUAUUCUGAGUAUUUUCUGUUUAUCUACAGAUACUGAAAUGGUGGCAGCGACAUUGCAGGCGGAUAGAGAUCAGGCAUGUGAGGAUCUUGCGGUGGCGACCAGGGAGUUGGAGCAGUUUCGCAACAUCGCCAUGGCGGUGUGCGAGGCGCUUCAGUCCCCGAGUGGAAGUAGCAACAUCCUGGGCCGCCUUGCCAGUCUUCCCGACCGUGUCUAGUCGGCGAUCCGCUCCGCGUACUUCCUUGGGGCUCACACGACUCUCUCCAUGGCUACCUCCCACUACGGUGAGCUGGACCUUGCUCCCCUUGCGGGUGGGUUCGCUCCACUUUCGGAAGCCGAGCUGGUUCAUAUUGAGUCGAAGGUGACCCCAUGCGCCCAGGCCUUGACUGAGAAGAUCCCGCUGGAGCUUGCGUUGGGGAAGGAAGUGAAGAAGAGUUAGUUGUGGCUUUGCUGUUGUUCGGUUGUUGCUCGUGUGAGAGCGUGUAUGAACAAUUAUGCAUGUUUUAUUUCUUGUUCUGUGAACUUGAUGUGGUGAACCCCUUCGAUCAUUUUUGUUUAUCUGUCGCACUCUAAUUUUUGCCUUUUCCGAGUUGAUAAAAUCUUUUUGCCGUGGCCCUUGAAAACCUGGGUAGUCCCGUCGUGGUUUUUGGGCGCUUGGAUGUUUUAUCUUAUCAAUCUCGAGGGCAAGUCGGGGCUUGGUGAUAAGUUUCGAACGAUAUGAAGGGGUAAGACCAUUCCUUUUUCGAAGGGUUGGGUUAUUACAGGUUUGGUAGCUCUCGAGCAACCCGCGGCUACUAACUGGUAGGUUGGCACGGGUUGCUCGGUCGGGAACAUCAUGCGUUUUAUAUCAGGUGACUUGUUUUGAGUCGGGUACAUCUUCAAGGGUAAAAGCGACAUAAUUGUUCAAUAUUCCAUGCGUUGGUGAUGGUGUUGCCUACGGCACCCUUGAGGCGAUACGUGCCCGGCCGUAGCACCUCUGCGAUGAUAAAUGGUCCUUCCCACGGUGGUGAUACUUUGUGUUUGUCCUUGGAGGACUGCACCCUUCGGAGGAAGAGAUCACCGACGUUGAAUGAGCGCACUUUGAUGCGUCUGCUAUGGUACCGUUGAAGAUUUUGUUGGUACUUUGCCAAUCGGAUCAGGGCAAUGUCUCAGGCUUCAUCUAGCAUGUCGAGGUUGUCUUGCCGCGCUUGCUCGGAUUGCUCCUCCUGGUAUGCGCGAACCCUUGGUGAGCCAUAGUCUAGCUCGGUCGGGAGCACCGCCUCGGCCCCAUAGGUCAUAAAGAACGGAGUGAAGCCCGUCGACCUGUUGGGCGUGGUUCGCAGGCUCCAGAGUACAAAGGGGAGUUCGGCCACCCAUCGCCCGGCGAAUUUCUUGAGCUUGUUGUAGAUGUGGGGCUUGAGGCCUUGCAAGAUCAUGCUGUUGGACCGCUCCACCUAGCCAUUGGUUCAUGGGUGGGCUGCUGACGCCCAGUCGACCCAAAUGCCAUAGCUGUCGUAGAACUUUAGGAAUUUUUUCCCGGUGAGGUUGCUGCCGUUAUUAGUGAUGAUGCAGUUAGGAACCCCGAAUUGAUGGACGAUGUCCAACAUGAACUCGACCGCUAUCAGCUUGGCUUCUAUCCACAUGAUGAACUUAUCAUAGCCCCCGAGUGCUUUCUUAAGAGGUCCAACCAUGCCGAGCCCCUAGACCGUGAAGGGCCACGUGAUGGGGAUUGUUUGCAGCUCCUGCGCUGGGAUGUGUGUCUGUCUUGCGUAGAACUGGCACCCCUCGUAGGUACGCGCCAAAUGUUCGGCGUCCACCAUAGCGGUCGGCCAAUAAAAGCCUUGCCGGAAGGCUUUGCCAACGAGUGUUCUUGGGGCCACGUGGUACCUGCAGACCCCUACGUGGGUGUCGUGCAGGACUUGCUUGCCCUAUUCGCAAUUGAUGUAGUGCAUUUGGAUUCCACUCGGGCUUCGUUUGUAAAGCUCGUUUCCGAUUACUACGAAGGUCUUCGAUCGCCGGGAGAGGCGUCUUGCCUCUAUUUUGUCAGGGAGAGCGUGUCCCGUAAUAGGUAGUUGAGAAAAUGAGUCCUCCAAUCAGGUUUCCUAGGCUUGUCUUCAUCCGGUGCAAGCACGGCUUCAAUCGUGGCGGAUUGGCUAUCAUCAUUAGUUGGGGGUGUGGCGGACUGUCACGUCUUCUCUUUCGGGACUUCAACAGGCGCACUUCACCUGCCAGUUUGAGUCAGACGGAUGGUUCAUGGAGGUCCUUAACAAAAAUGCCAUCAGGGGCGAGUCCUUUACUCGACACGAGUUUUGGCAGGUCGUCCAUUGCCUGAUUGUCUUUUCAGAGGAUGUGGUGGAUCUCGAGCCCCUCAAAUUUGUCCUCCAAUUUUCUAACCUCGUGGCAGUAGGCCUCCAUCUUUGGGUUCUGGCAGACGACGUCCUUCAUGACUUGAUCGACGACUAAUUUGGAAUCGCUAAAUAUGUAGAGUCGUUGCACGCCUAGCCCAGCGGGGAUCCGUAGUCCGUUGACCAGCCCCUUGUAUUCUGCGAUGUUGUUUGAGGGUUUGAAAUGCAGUCUGACUGCGUAUCGUAGCCUAUUUCCGUGUGGUGAGAUUAGCACUACUCCCACUCCUGCACCCUCUUUUAAGACCGACCCGUCAAAGUACAUGGUCCAUCACUCAUGCGCUCGGCAAUCAGUCAGGAUCCGAACCAUGGUCCAUUCGACGAUGAAGUCAGCAAGGACUUGCAACUUGAUUGCGAUUCGGGGAACGUAUGAGAUUUUGCAUCCCAUGAGUUCGAUUGCCCAUUUCGCAAUCCGCUCAGUCGCGUCCUGAUUAUGCACGAUCUCGCCGAGGGACCGAACACACAUUUCUCGGAAUUCAGCUUAAUGCUAUUCUUUCACAGAUUAGCGAAAGUGGCUUCGAGGUUGCUUAUGAGAUUGCACGUUCUCUUUGACUUUACCAUGAUAUCGUCAACGUAUGCCUCGAGGUUUCUCCCUAUCUGAUCCCGGAAGCAUUGUUGCAUGCAUCGCUGGUAAGUUGCGACGGCAUUUUUUAGACUGAACGACAUCGUUACGUAACAAUAUGAGGCAAAUGGCAUGAUGAAUGAUGUGGUGAGCUAGUCAGGUUCGUACAUUGAUAUUUGGUGGUAGCCAGAGUAGGCAUCGAGAAAACACAGGAUUUCGCAUCCCGCAGUCGAAUCGAUCACUUGGUCGAUUCGCGGCAGUGGGAAGGCAUCUUUGGGACAGGCCUUGUUCACGCUGGUGUAGUCAACACACAUCCUCCAUUCCAUUCUUCUUCUUUACAAGCAGGGGGUUGGCGAGCCAAUCCGGAUAGUAUACUUCCUUGAUGAAACCCGCCGUCCGCAGUUUCACGAUCUCCUCGCCAAUCGCCUUCCAUCUUUCCUCAUCGAAGCACCUCAGGCGAUGUUUGGUUGGCUUCGCGUUCGACUUUAUGCGGAGGUGGUGCUAGGCGACUUCCUUUCGGAUUCCCAGCAUGUUGGAUGGUUGCCACGCGAAGACGUCACGAUUGCGGCGCAGGAAGUCGACGAGCGUGCCUUCCUAUUUACUGGAGAGGAUCGCCCCGAUACACACCUUCUUAGUUGGGUUGUUGUUGUCGAUCUCAACCUCCUUGGUUUCCUCAGAUGAUUGGAACGCCGAUGCGGCGGUGCCCUUACUGGAGUCGGGGGCAGUCGGGACGAGGCUCUUUUCGAUGUCCGCUAGUUCUACUUUCGCGACGAUCUCGGAGGCGAGUUGGCAGCUAUCUUGGUUGCAUCAUCUUGCGUGAGCGAAGGUUGGUCCAACGGUGAUGACGCCCUUUGGCCCGGGCAUCUCCAGCUUGAGGUAGACAUAGUUGGGGACGGUCAUGAAUUUGGCGUUGCACGGUCUCCCGAGGAUGGCGUGGUAGGAGCCGCUGAUGUCCAGCACUUCGAAUGUAAGGGUUUACGUCCAAAAGUUUGACUUGUCCCCGAACGUUAUGGGUAAGUCGAUCUGUCUGAGUGGGACAGCCUGCUUUCCCGGGAUCACACCGUGGAAGGGUGCUCCGGUUGACUGGAUGCGCUCCCGACUAAUCUUCAUGGAGUCGAGGGUGUCGACGUAGAGAGGCGUUUGGGCCCGAUGAUCGAGUCCACCACCAGCAGGAACCUACCCGGGCGUCACAUCAGGCUGGGAUGGUCUAACUUGUCGAAGGUGAUCACAGACAUCGACCACUUUAGGUAUGUCAAGAUGCCCGGCUCGAUGGCAUUCACCUCUCGAUUCGUCAGCUUCUGCCGCCUCUUUGACUCGUAGGCAUCAGGGCCUCCGAAGAUCAUAAGGCACCCAUCCGGCUCAGGGAAGUCAUCCCCCUCCCCUCAAUCUGUUGGAGUGGAGGCCUCAGCUUUCUUCUUCUUCAUGUCAACCGCCUUGAGGUUCCCCUGUAGGUAUUUUUUCAUGAGGAAGCAAUCCUUGUAGAGGUGUUUAGUCGGGAACACAUGGUUGGGGCAAGAUCCCUCGAGCAUCUUCUCAAAGUGAUCAGUCGGGGGCUUCCCGCCCUUCUUCUACGACCGUUCCAGCGUGGCAAUGAGCUCGCCUUGAAGUUGCGGCUUGUUCUUCUUCAUGCGCCCGUGGUAAGUCGUAGCCUCAUCUUCCACUAUUUUCACCUUCCCCUUGCUGUGCUUGAACACCGCGUCCACGGCCUCCUCCCAUGACGCGUGGUUAGUGGUGAUGUCCAGCAGCUCCUUUGUGGUUCGCGGCUUCGAGCAUCCAAGCUUGUGCACCAGGGAUCGGCAGGCCGUGCCGGAGAUGAAGGCCUCGACUGCAUCUGCGUCGACUAUGUUGAGGAGCUCGUUGCACUGUUUCGAGAAUCGCCAAAUGCAGGCUCAGAGGGUUUCGCCCGGCUUCUACCUGCAACUCUUCAAGUCCCACGAGUUCUCGGGUCGGGUGUACGUGCCCUGGAAGUUACUGAUGAAAAUGUCCUUCAAGUCGGCCCAAUCUUGGAUUCGGCCGUGGGGCAGGUACUCGAGCCAAGCCCUGGGGGAGUCUACCAGGCAAAGAGGGAGGUACUGGAUGAUGAAGUAUUCGUCUUUAGCCUCGAGCCAUACCCCAUGAUUAGUAUCCCUGACGUAUUUGGCGACAUGCGUCGAUGGUUGAAAGCGUGGGGGGAAAGGCGCAUUGCGGACUCUCCGCCUGAAGGCUCGGGGCCUGGGCCCAUUGGGGCUGGGGCUUCGCGCUCGCCAGUCAUUGAUUGUGUCUCGUGCGUCUCGCUUCUUACCCAUUCGCUCGUGUAUUGAUGUGGCCGGAACGUGAUGGCUUAAAGCUAGGGCGCGGUUGCUCUUCCCCGGGCAUUGGGAGGUGCCCGACCGGGUGGAGGCCUCAUCAUCCCAGAGGCUGGCACAGCUCUGCCUGCUUCCUGAUGCUUCAUGCCUUCUUGCGUGGGAGCUUUCGGCUUGCUGCAUGGCUGCUGCCUCCAAGAGCCCCCGUAGGUUGCAAUGGAUUCGUCUACCGUCGGGUCAGCCGGUUCGGGGACGGAGCGGAGGAUCAUGGCCACGGCGGUCACGUUCUGACUAGCCCGUGCAAAGCGGGGCACAUCCUUGGCUCCCUGAACGAUCUCGUGUUGGACCAGCUGGGCGCAGGCCCACGCAGCAUCUCCUCAUUGCCAUCGCUGGAGUUCCAGCUCCGCUUGUUCCUGCUCUAGCUGCCGCCGCUCCGCUUUAAGCUCUGCGCGUCACGCCUUCAGGCGUUCCGCUCGUUCUUGAGCGUAGGCCUCGUGUUGGUCCACCGUUUGCUGAUCUGGCUAGGUAUUGUUGACGCUUGUUAUUGACACACUUUUUGUGCUAUUUAACUAUUAUUUUCAUGCAUAUUUUUAUACUAACCCAUCACUUGGCACCUGAAAUAACCCCAUUUUUACAUAUGCAAGAUAUUUUGGAGGAUAUUCUAUUUUCGCAGGAAAUUAGGCUAAAUAUGUAUUUUUUAGAUAAAUCCUUGAAUGAGCAGUGGACCAGAGGAAGAUGAAGACUAGGAGGCACAAAAAGGCCCCAGGCCAAUCGGCCUAGUGCCCCUCAGGCCGAUCAGCCUAGGGUCUUUUGACCCCCUCUUGUGCUCAUUUUUGGCAAGCAAUCCUUCAAGAUGACUUAAGGAUUAAGUUUGUGAAUAUAUGGCAAGGAUCACUACAGGAUCAAGGAUGAAUCAAAGAAGAUCAAGCGGAGAUUUGGAAAGUUAUUGGACAUCAAUCUCAUCCUAAAGAUACCAAUGUGCCAGGCCCACAUGCAAGUGAAAAUAAGCUUUCAGAACAUCAGAGAAGUCUUGGGACGAAGGAGGGUGCGAGAGGCCACAAGGAAGGGCUAGGCCGAUUGGCCUGGACCCCACCCCCCCCAGGCCGAUCGACCUGGGGCUUUCCUUGCUCCCAUCGCCUUCCCAUUUCUGCCACAUGGUUUCCAAACUAUAAAGACCCCAAAAAUUCACCGAGCCCGCAGAUCAAUCCACCACAACUCGAUGAAACCAAGAACAUCCACCAGAGGGAGCUGAGGGAUGCUACAAGUCUUUGAAGUUGUCUAGGAGAUGGCUUAGGUUGGCACUAGCCGCCAUGGCCUCCCUGCGCGAUUGUGCCAUGGUGGAGUUCAGGAGCUAGUUGUGAUCAUCAAUGGUAUGUACUCAGAGGUGAUGAUCUAAAUAUAUCUAUUACAUGAGCAAUGUUCUUCAUGUCAUUCGAUCUGUUAGCGACUCAAUGCCUCCUUUUAUACUCUUCUAUCUAUCAUGAAAUGCUUGUUCCUUUGUCUAAUUCAUAAUUAGACUACAUAGCUUGCUUUAUGUAAUUGUGGUGAUUAGAUGUAGUGAGUUGAUCCUUCAUGAUAGCUAGACAUGUUCAUCUAUAUUCGUGCCCUUAAACUGUUUGUGCUGAUAGGGGAAUCGUGACGGGGUCUGCUUCCGUGUAAGGUGGGGAUUUUUGGAGGUUGACCGGAGGUAGUAGUUUAAAGAUUGCUUUGGACGAGAUUCAUGUUGUGCUUGCUUAUUAGCUAGAACUACAACUAGAAGACGAUAGGCUCUUGCUACCCUUGGUGGUGUUAUCAUAUAUAUAUGUGGAUGAGAUCUACUUUUACUCAUGCUAUUAAUCUUUAUUAUCAAGUUUGCUCGCAUAUUCAAUCUAUGCUUCAUGCUAGUAUUAGAUCCAUUAAGCUAGGUAGAGAACCCUAGUCAGUUUGCUGCUGAUCCACGGAUUGAUAAACCUUGGAUGAAAUACUCUAAGGGAAAAGCUACGAUGAUCCGUGCGCUUGCAGUUCAGAAUCUGGCGUGCUAACUGCCGUCAACAGGUACGCGUGGUGGCUUCCUCGAUGAUAAGGGCAUCUGUGAGGUCCGCCAAGUUGCACUCCCGUGACGGGUGCUCAUUGCCAUAGGGCCCUGGUUCUGAACUCGAACCGUCACUGGUGUCAUCGUCGAGGAGGUCAUGGACGGAUGCCGGGGCAUAGUCCAUCAUGCCGACGAAGACGGGGAUAAGCAAAACGUGGAUGAUGGCUUCUCACACCUCCUGCGAGUAAGCCUGGCCUGCGUUCUUCAAUCUCAAAAGGAAGCCGAUCGCGGUCUCGCGGCUGCGCUCCUCCGCCUAUUUCGAGCCUUCCACCAUCAACUGGGAGAAGAUGUUCACCAGCGCGCACAGCACGGUCUCAAUCCCCUCUCGGGGCGGGUUCAGCCCAAGGUAGUUGUUGAUGCGAUGGGCGAUUGCGUCUGGUUCAAUGUCGUGGACGGUGCUGUCGGCCGCGGCGUUCGCAUCGACGAUGCGCGGGGUUGUUGGGUUGCCGAGCUCGAGGUCGCCCUUCGUGUUGGCAACGAAGCUGAGGCUGCCGAAGCGUAGCACCUGUCCUUGCACGGGCGGCGUGAUGAGCUGGAGGUCGCCCAUGGCAGUGGUGACGAAUUCCAAGCUCCCGAAGCGGAUGCCGCUCCCAGGGACGAAGGUGCGGCUGUUGUGGGCAAGGGGGAAAGCCAUCCGGUGAGGGAUGAUGAUCACGCGAUAGGCCCCUACCUGGCACGCCAACUGUCGACGUUUAGUAGCAUCAACUAGUGAAGAUUUGCCGCGUGAAUCCUCGGAUGGGUUAGCUUGCGAGACACGGGAGAUUUAUACUGGUUGAGGCGAUUUGCCCUACGUCCAGUUAGUGAUGCGAGUUCUUUAUUUCGGACUCGAGAGCUCAAGUUUGCAGUGUGAGUGUGAGUGGUUCUACUAGGGGUCGAAUCCCCUCUCUCGUCCCUCCCCAUCCCUUAUAUACAAGGCUCAUGGGGAGGGUUACACUGUAGAUCGUCAUAGGAAGCCUGUUUAGUCGAGCACUCUCCUCCGACCAGUAGUCAAUGGGCCCGUCUCGUAGUUGGGGCCUCUUUCCGCUAGAUACCAGCCGAGAUCUCCAUUAGGGCCCGCUCUUCCGGUCGCCUUGGUUGUUGGACCCGGCCCCUACACGUAUCUAGGGGCAGCGCCUGCCUCCGGUCACUUCACCUGAUACCGUCACGAUGGCGAAUCGAGCACCCAUGAUCGGGCCUGACCUGGAACUGUGCCCCAACGCCGUUCCCGAUUGGGAGCCUUUGUCCUGGGGCGGCUGUCUUACCCUCCAGGGCAUGGAUGACGGUGCGCCCGACCGAUCAGCCCGCGUUUUCCUUGCCUCGGCCCACACGGGCUCAUCUGCGGCUGUCACAUCGGGCAGGUCUAGCUAUAUGAUAGGUCUGGCCCAUCAUUACGCCUAGACCUUCGCAUGGUGCCUUGGGCCGGUCCAGUGGCCUCUCAUCCUCGAUUCCCGGGCCGCGACCUCGGGCGCCGUCGGUCAGUCGAGCGGCGAUGGGGCAGCCUCUCGCCCGCCCCAAUUAGCUUCGCCUCCUAAUCCCUUCUUUAUUUUAGGCUUACCGAUGGCUUAGGAUAUCUCUGGAUAUCCAUCACCUAGUUUCAUAAAUAAAACCCCCGGUUUGAUCGGUUUUGAAGGUUCAAUCACAUGAAUGGUCUUUGUAUCCAUAUAAAAAUUGAAGAGGUCAGUUCGCGGUUUUUUGGUUGGACUAUCGACCUGGUCUAGUCCUAAUAAUCGUAAGCUCAAAUAGUCGCCAGACAACUAAUAUCUUCAAUGUCAUUUAAAAAACACAUAUACAUAUAUGAUCCGUACACUAUACUCGUCCCUUCGUGAAGAAAAAGAACCUUAGAGCACUAAAGACCUUUCAUUUCCUGUCUAACUUCACAAAGUCCUAAUUUGUUGUCAUUAUCUUUUUUUCUCUGUUUGAGUAAUUUAAAAAAAGUCAGGAAAAAACUUGUUUAAAGAAGUUCUUUAUAAAACUUAUUUGAAUAACUUUUGAUGGAAAAUUUCAAGCUCCCUAAAAUAAUCUAGUGUAAAAGUUUCCAUAAAAAUCUUUUUACAAAGUAUUCCUUAAAAUUUCAAGUCCACAAUAGUUAAUAAAAAAGUUAGUAAAAAGUUUAGGAAAACCUUUCCAAAUUAAAAGGUUGUGAAGGUGAAAAAUUACCAAAAAGAAAAGUCGAGAGGAGGGAGCAUCAUGCACGCGCUAACUAAAAUAGUCCAUCAAGCAAUAUCCGGACUUUGAACCCGAUUAUUUUCUCUCUUCUUCAUCUAAUCUUAUUUCUCGUAUGUCCUUUCUGUGUCAUUGCACCCAGUGAUACUAUCUUCCUGCCCCCACCCUCUUCCCCGUCAUCCCCGGUUGUUCCCGCCGCCAAAUUUAUCGCCACUUACUUUUUGCCACACUAGUACGUCAAAGUAAAUUGUUCUGUUUAAACCACCCUCUGCAACUCCUGAGAUCUUUGAUGUGGUGUGUGUGUGAGAGAGAGAGAGCAUCUAGUACUCUGUAUGGCAUGCAUAAGAACCUACUCUUCCAAUAUAUUAUGUAGCAUCUGGCGAUGUGAGGUAAUACUCCCUCCUCACCAAUUUAGGCAUAUUUCAUUUACGUAGGGAGUGCUUCCUCUUAUUACAAAUAUUGAUGAUGAAGCAUUCUCCCACGCUGCUAAUGGUCUGAGAACCACUCCAAAACCAAACCAAACCAUAUAUAAAAGUAAAUUAAUUUCAAACCACACCAACCAGUUCAUUACUCUUAUAUAUCUAAAUCAAACCAAUUAAGUGGUGUAAAAGACCAAAAACCAAACUAAACUCAUAUCUCAAACCGGUUCUAAACCAUUUAAAACCUAUUUUCUAUAUAUAUCAUAUGGUUAGCUUUUGACGUAGACCCACAUGUAGAUCUAGCAGUACCAAUUUGCACGAAGUAGCUUACUGUCAUUUUGAGACAUCUCUAGUAAAUUUCAGUUAAAUUCGUUAAAAUUUUAAGGUGUGAACGCGAGCUUUUAGUUUUAGGGUCCAGCUUUCGACGUGGGGUCCACGUGUAGAUCUAGCAUGCUAAUCUGCACGAAAUAGCUGACUGUUAUUCUAAGACAUCUCCAACAAAUUUUAGUCAAAUUCGCUAAAAUUUUAAGGUGUGAAUACGAGGUUUUAGUUUUAGAGUGCAGCUUUUGAUGUGGGAGCCACAUGUAGAUCUAGGCACGCAAAUCUUCACAAAUUAGCUAACUAUCACUCUAAGACAUCUCCAACAAAUUUCAAUCAAGUUCGCUAAAAUUUUAAGGUGUGAGCACGAGGUUUUAAUUUUAGGGUCCGGCUUUCGAUGUGGGGACCACAUGUAGAUCUAGCCACAACAAUCCGUACGAAGUAGCUGAGGGUGAUUCCGAGACGUGGGUCCACAUGUAGAUCUAGCCACAACAAUCUACAUGAAGUAGCUGAUGGUGAUUCUGAGACAUCUCGAACAAAUUUCAAUUAAUUUCGCUAAAAUUUUUAGGUGUGAACGCGAGAUUUAAAUUUUAGGGUCCGGCUUUUGACUAGGUCACACAUAUAACCAUACUAAUUUUACUAUUGUUGAAUAUUUUGAAUUAGUCAAACCAAUUCCAACUGGCCCAAACCAUUACAAUCGCUAAAUCAAACCAAACCCAACCAUUAUAUAUGUCACACCAUUAUCCACCAAACCAACCAACACCAAUUAAGACAACCAAACCACUAAAACCGGUUUGAGAUCAAACCAUUCCCAGGCUUACUCCCAUGAUAUAUAAAUCUUUUUAUUUAAUAUCUAGAGCUCUUAGACUCGUACAAAUAUUGUCAUUUAGGCCUAACUAACAAAUCAAGUGGCUUUGCCACCAUUACAUCUAAGUAAUAAAUAGUCGGUAUAUAUCCUCUUACAAAUAUGUCAUUGAGAUCUAACUAACCAUGAGGUUUUGCUGCCACUAUAUAAGCUUAAGAUCACCAUCACAUCUCUUACAAUGAAAGUGGUAUCCGGAUUUAACUAAUCAAGCCAUUGCCACCACUAAAUCAACUAAUAGCCUAUUUAUGUAUAGCAUUUCACGUGAGUUUUGUUGCCGGUCGACAUGAAGCUCAUCAUCCUCAAUCACCUCGUCUUCCCUAUCCUCUUGCUCCUUGUCCUCGCUAGUCGCUACAUGCACCCACUACGGUUGUGCCCGCACCAACGUUAUUGGUGACAGCUUACCCCAGUGCGUGCGCUGAAGUGUUUAUCUAACACCAACAAGUACAUAUUCAAAAUUUUGCUAGAGCCUAGGCGCAAGUUAACAUUUGAUAACAAGUUUAAUCAAACAUAUAUAUCGACCACUAACAUAAGCAAAAGUGGACAUCCUCUUGAUAGUUUUGGAGCAAAAAUUCACAUUUGUACACAUGCGAGAAGGAUCUUUAAACGGUUGUUGUUGACAUUGGCACUAACAAUGCCAAUUCAAUGAGCCCUUUUUUUUUUCCAAACUUGCAACAAGUUUACACAAACAUAUAUAUUGACUAAUAACAUAAGCAAAAGUAGACAUCCUCUUGAUAGCUUUGGAGGAAAAAUUCACGUUUAGGUACACAUGCAAGAAGGAUCUUUAAAUUGUUGCUGUUGACAUUGGCACUAACAAUGCCAAUUCAAUGAGCCCUAUAUCUUUGCCAAACUUGCAACAAGUUUACACAAACAUGUAUAUCGAUCACUAACAUAAACAAAAGUGGACAUCCUCUUGAUAGUUUUGGAGCAAAAAUUCACGUUUCGGUACACAUGCGAGAAGGAUCUUUAAACUGUUGUUGUUAACAUUGGCACUAACAAUGCCAAUUCAAUGAGCUCUUUUUUUUUUCAAACUUGCAACAUAUGUACAAGAAUCAAAGGCAGCAUUCCUCCUCACAUGAAUAAUGCACUCAAUAUGUUCCGAUGUUAUGUUUGUUUGCCCGGCAAAACUGUGCACAUGCACAUCUGCUCACGGUAGAGCCUGGGCAGAUUGAGUGCAUUCUUCAUGUGAGGUGCUCAUGACCUCCAGUAGCGGCAUCUAUGAGGUAGUAGUAGUUUGGCUGGGAAUCUACAGCAGACGAAGGUGUGUGUUGCUGAUAGUGGUAAUCUGACUUGCACUCACGAGUUUACCAAUUGCAAGUGCUGAACACCUUGAAGGUGCUUGCAUUAGCAGGUUAUGACAUGAUCCUUGGAAUGGAUUGGCUUAAAAAGCAUUAGUCCGAUUAGCACAAAAUUUAGUGGCCUCACCGGUCAUCCAAACGACAUUUUCCAAAGCGAGGUGAACAAUUUUUAAACCUGUAUUUUACAUUGGUUUAGAUAUCACAAAGCCAAUCCUCCAAACAUCAUGCGCCAGGUUGCAUUAGCAUGUUAUGUGUUUUUCCCUGUGCUGUACAUUCCCCUGCUAUACAAGUGCGUAACUGAUACAGCGAUCCUUUUUCCUGAAUUAAGUUCAGUCCUGCCUAAAAUUUGCAAACCAGUAAGUAAAGCCAAAUCUGUACAAGAGCAAAAGAUUCUAGACAACUGACCACAUUUUCAUUAAACGACUUAACUGAUACAGUAAUUGCUAAGCAUCCGAAGUCUACAAAUGAAAAUAAAGUACCAAAAUAUAGACGAACAGGAACAGCACAAGUAAAUUUACCUUUAUAUAAGCCCUUCAGCCUAUCUAACAAUUAAAUUGGGUAGCCAAUAUUACAGCCAAUACAUGAAACUACUAAUAAAAUGCUUUUGCAGGUCUCCCCAAUUUGCUCGUACAUACAUUUUGUUUCAUUAGGACGACACCAUGUACACAUAAUCUUGCAAAAUAAUGAGGCAGUGGACUGAUUUGAUCAAUUUCAGGCUGACAAAUAUUUAUUGUCAAUUUUGACCCGGCAGAUUCAUCAUCUUCACAAGCCAGGUCAUGCUACUGAUUGAGUUGGCCAGUUUUCUGCCAAGAAGUGGUGGGUGGUUCAGGGUCCGAUUGUGCCAGUGUCGAAGUAGAGUGUCGUCCCAGAAGAUCCACCAGCAACACCCUCCAUGAGCGCGAAUCGCAUGUCCUCCGACGGCUUCCAAUGCCUCUUCCUCUGGUUGAUGAACCAAUUGUUGAUCUGCUUUGGGUCGAGGCCGGUCAUCGCUGCGAGCCUCACCUUAUCUUCUUCCUGUCAUAAUCACAACAUCAGGCAACGGUUAUAGUGCAUCAGGUUUUGAUUGUAGAGGGAAAAUAUUCGGCCUCUACCGUAGGAUAAGGCCAGCGGUAGUGUGUGUUCCACCACUCCAGCAACACCGUCCGUGCAUCCUUUGGUAGCUUCCCUUUCUUCCGCUUCUUUAGGAACUCCGAUCGAAGACGACUGAGGCAUCCACUGUACUUCUUGAGCAGCAUUUCCUUGAGCUCAUGGUCAGCUAAGCGGGAGCUGUGUUCUUGCCCUAUGUCUGGCACAUCAGUGUCCCCUGAGCAUUGCUCAUCCUCAGAGGACCCCAUCAUGUCAUCUAUAAUGAAAGGAUCAAGUCAGAAAUAAAUCACUUACAAGACAUCUAGGCAUCCACAUAUACCUGAAAGUAUUUGCAAACAGGUUAAGUUACUAGAGUCUGGAAUUGCCUCAAUAUGAAUCUGUGGAAGAAACUAAGUUGUAUGCAUGUUGCGGUAGGGAUCACAUAAACAUAACAUAAUUUGUAUACCUAAUAUCAAACUGCCACAUGCUAGCUACUCCUGGUUUUGGAGCACAAAUGAUCCACCCAUGAUGUUCUCAAUUUCUGAUACUUCAGCUUGAUUCUAACAGACAAAUGGUGAGAAGACUUUUUCCUAUGUUAUAAAACCGCUUAUUAAUUUGGGAUAAUUAUGUGAAAUCUUAUUGAUAUGAUUGUGCAACUACCAUAUCUUGUUGAGCACCAAAAUAGUAAAGAUUUUUGCCCUGUGCCACCCAAAAAAGUGCAUUUUGAACUAUGCAAUUCUUUAUUUUCCUUGCACCCCACUCAACUAGAAUCCAUAUAUUACUUUUUUAAAAACCAAUCAUUGACUUAAUUUUUCAAAAAAGAAGAAUAGCCCUACGGUCCCACACCUUUGUCACUAACGGAAGUGUUCUUAUUAUUAUAAAGGCAUGACCAAUAAUGCAUAGAUUGCUUGCAUUUUCAAAUUUGAUUUUUCCAGAGGUGCAGUCCAAGAUAGCCAGUUUCCUAUCCAAAUACCUGCCAAUCACCAUCUCAGUUCAUAUGGCACAAACUUCUGCCCAUAUUUUCCAUAAUUUUCUAGGAGCCAAGAACCCAUGAUAAGCUUCCAUUCACAACACGUCUGCCUUCACCUUUUCAAUGUAUAAUCAUGUUAUUGCAAGCCAUUCUUCUCUAUAAAAAAAUUUGGUGAAAACCUGCCGCUGCGACUGCCAUACAUCAUAAUCAUGUUAUCAUGGGGUCUACACUGAUUGAGGUCUGGUUCCAGGUAUAAAUAUGGAUGUUGUUGGUUUUGCCUUUGUAGAGCUAUCAACUUAGUAAUUUCUUCUUGAGAACUACAGAAAACUGUUUUUAUCCCUAAGGUCAAUAGUUUAGGGCCUUUAGGCCCCUUUUGGAACAAAGGAAAAACAUAGAAAGUUGGAAGAUUCCAACCUAAUAGUAAAAAGGGCGUGUUUGGACGCUGCCGCCGGAUGCCGAGCCGCAGCUGCGGCCGCACCGCAAGGGCAGCGGACGAAUCGUCCGCCACACUUUUGGCAUGCUGCGGCAGGCAAAAUGAAUUAGCUUGCUCUAGCAGCGGUUCGGCGUGCCUAAGCCACGGCGUGAGCCAAACGCAGGUGCUGGUGCUUCAGUUGUGGCGAGAUGAGCUGUGGCGCGAUGCGGUCAAGAACCAAACGCGCCCAAAUUCCUAUACGCCCCUUUAGAACUAAGGAUUGCACCUUAUGAUAUUACUAUGGAUUUCUAAGGAUGACAGGCAUGGAUCCAUAGGAAUUUUGCAGGAAAUCUAACAUGAGGUUGAACCUCAUAAAAUUAUCGACCCUCUCUCGGAAUUUCCGUGUUUUCAUGUGUUCAUGUGCAAAAGUUUCUUUACGAACCAGGCAGAAGUGUUGCAUGCAAAAGUUUCAUCGGAUACUUUCCUACAUUUCGAAAUCCUAUAAGACCUCGUGUUUUCUUUCCUCCAAAAUCUCUAUCAAAUGAGGCAUCCCAUAGGAAUUUCAUAAGGGCCACAUAGGGAAAAUUCCUAUCCUAUAGGAUCUAGAUCCUACAAAAUUCCAUAGCUCUAAUUGUUUUCCAAGGCUUAUAUUCUUUUUAUCUCAUACACACAGAUAAGUUAAUAAGAUCUAUCUCUAUGCCCGAAAACAGGAUGUAUUAGCAUUUUCACCCAGCAUCAAAUUUCCAGAAACACAUCGUAAUAACCAAACAAGGAUGCACCCACCCACAUGAUCUAGUCGCGGACACACAUGAAUUUGGUCGCAUUACAUGUGCUCAACAUACUGAAAAUUCACAAAGAAGAUGAGUUUUUCUAGGGUGAAAGAAUUUAGACUUUCGUCCAUUUUAUUUUCUUUUGUCUCAAUGUACAAAUCACACAGAAGCUUGCCCUCCUUAUAACGACUUGAUGGCACAAGAGACUAACAUCUACAUCCAACAUGGACUUUGAACCUACUAUGGUUGUAUCCGCGUGCAAGUAUAUACACUAAGUUCCAAUUUUGAACGUGGAGCCAAAAUUAUCAAUUAUUGGUAAAUGGAGGGAAUACAUGCAGUACAAUAUUUUUUGAAAAGACUGAACUUAAGUACAUGGCAUAUAUGUGUGUGUGUGUGUGUGUAAGAUAAUGGGCAACUAGGUUCACAGUGCAUCAGUAUUACAACUUUGCAGAUACGUUAUAAUAUCAUUUUCUACCUAACCUUCUUAGGAUGUACAAAACAACCAUACUCUUACUAUGCUAACUUAUAAGUAUAUAUGGACAACAAAUUCUUGUUCUUUGCACAUUGUUUGACAUUAUUGUAUGGAUAACCUUUGUGCAUUAAUCAUGUGAUUCAAGAUUGAUGGAGACACUGCUCCCCUUAUGCAGCAUCAAAUAUUCAAAUAACUGAAUAUAUUAUUAGUAUUUUUUUCUCAAUUCCCAAACCACAUGGUACAAUUUCAUCAUGGUUAAGAAGGCAUAUAAUUUCAAUGUUUCAGAACGGAUGUAAAAAAAAUAAAAAAGCAUGAAUCAUGGUGGAAAAACAAGUUAAGUUGCAGAUCAGCUCAAGCAAGAAGUUUAAAUGUCAUAUUGGUUUUCAGUCAUUCUAUGGCAAUCAAACAAAUGCAUGCUCAAGAUGAGAAUCUUAUGUUUGAUAGCCAUGUGCGUAUAUCCUAUUAUUAUGAAACAAAAAUCAAUGUACCAGAAGAUAAGUCUUACAACCUGCAGAAAGUUGGAUCUAAACGUCGACGAUGUUGCAUCAGUUAAUGGGCACCACAAGGUCUUGUCAAGUCAAAACAUAGCAUUUUCCCAGUAAAAUAUUCGGUACCCAAAAUAUUGCAACGAAGAACCCAAGGCAACCAAUAGACUAGCAUGCACAGAACAUUAUUUUCAUUUAUUAUACAACCUGAAGCUCUUCUGACGUUCUGACUAAGGAUUUGACGGGACCUUGUUAAAAUCUUACUAUCAGUCGAAUAUAGCAAUAAGGGGGUGUUUGGAUCCGGAACUUUCCAUGUCACAUUGAAUAUUCGGAAGCUAAUUAGGACUAAAUAUGAGUUAAUUAUAAAACUAAUUACAAGGCUAAAUAGCGAGACGAAUCUAUUAAACCUAAUUAAUCCAUCAUUAGCAAAUGGUUACUGUAGCAACACAUUGUCAAAUCAUGAACUAAUUAGGCUUAUUAGAUUCAUCUUGACGUUUAGCCUCCAUCUGUGCAAUGGAUUUUGUAAAUAGUCUAUGUUUAAUACUUCUAAUUAGUAUCUAAAUAUUCGAUGUGAUAUGGACUAAAGUUUAGCCCGGGAUAAACACCCUAAGUUCACUAAAGUAAUAAUACCUUCAGUAGUUUUGUACUAAUCCUGAUAAAUAAUGCUGCAUUGGAUGCUGCAUCGAAUGUGUCCCAUACAUCAUCAGAGAACAUGUCCAGUGAGGUUUCAAGUUUCGUAGGUGUUUUAGAAUCCACAUGACCGAUUCGAAACUGAUCGAGUUACUGAGGUAGAAAAAAAAUCGUGCUUUUAUUGUGGGAAAGAAAGAAAGUGCAUUGUUAUCUCCAUAAAAUAGUGGAUCUCCACCCUAGUCAUAGCAGAGUUAGCACUAAUACCAUUUCACUAAAAGAGUGAGUAAAUAUCGACGCCGUAAUAAUAUUAUAAAAUACAAACCACAGAACAAUGUAGAAAAGAAUCCGCACCACCGGAAAUUACCACUACCGUGAUGAUAUGAUAUGUCUUGUCAAAGUACAACCACCGAAUCCGGCAAGAGAUCUCCUAAGCACGAGCUAGCUCUAAAACAAAACCUUUUUUCCUCACAAAAAAUUUCUCCACUCAGUACUCCUCUCAGUCCUCUGGUUAAACCCGCAUCCUGCAUGCAGCAAAGCCAGACCAAGAUUCUGGCAUUGGGCAGCAGCAAGGCCAACCAAUCCAAGCAACCUCACUCCCCACCAGGCCACCACGCUUCUCUCAAGUUCCAUCACACAGCCUAUAGCUACUAAAGCCUAGAGAGAGAGAGGGAUGCACGGUAGAGAGAUAAGGAGGCUAGAUAGAGAGAAAGAGGAGGAAGGCUACAAUCUUGGACAAAACCCUACACAAGCACCCUCCCAGCUCUGACACCCCUGCACCCCAUUUGCAUGGACACGAUUUGACCCUUCAGCAAGAAAACGCGCACACGCAUGCAUCUUUUGAUAACCGCACACGGCAACAAAAUGCACGCUCACUCACAAAAACCAGCGUGCAACGCGAUGUAUCCUCUGGAAUACUAUGAGCUCUUUACAAUAGUAACAUGUGCCACCAUGGAUGUGGAUGGAUGCGUGCGUGCGUGCGAAUUCUUUUAGCUAGACCACAGAUCGAUCGAUGCGCGGGGUUUCCUCACCGGAGUGCGUGGCGGUCGUCGCCGCCGGCGAGCUGCCGCCGCUGCAGAGGUUGCUGAGCUGCGCCUGGAUGCUGCUCAGGAACGACGCGGCCUCGUCGAACGGCCGCGACAGCUCCUCCUUGUACCGCACCAGCACCCGGCAGUACGCGUCCUGGAAAUCGCACGCGCGCGCGUGCACAUGUAAUAACAGACGAUUAGGAGCAAAUCGCGGGGCAAAUCCAGCGUUCGCCGCAGAAAUUACGCGGCUAAUUCUCCCUCUAUUUACAUGGAUAUAUAUAUACACGACGCUGACCCAAGAGCAGACCAUGAACUCGUCGAGCUCGGGAUCGACGCCGAUCUCCGCGGCGCCGGAGCCGGGGCCGGCGCGCCCCUCCCGGCUGACCUCCUCCAGCAGCGACGCCACCUGCGGUGGCGCUCCCACCUGGAAAUCAAGAAACCACGUAGCGCGGAGAAGCAUCGAUCAAUUCUUGGCAUGCACAGCUAGCCCGCAAGAUCUCUCUGCACGUAGUAGCUAGACGCAGCACGCACCUUGCGGCACUCGAUGUAGGCGGAGAGGAGGGAGGGGUAGCGCGGGUGGCUGGCGAUCUGCGCCUUCAUGAGCUCCGUCAGAUCCGACGGCGCCGGCCCGCCGACGCCGGCGACGGACGCCUCGCUCACCGCGCCGCCGACCCGCGAGAUCCCGGGGUGGAUGCUGUACAGAUCCUCCAUGGAGGCGGCGGCCGCAGCAGCAGCUCACCUGUGCAUCACCACUAUGCACACGCCUGCGCCUGCUGUGUGCGCACAAGUGGAAAUCUAGUACGCCACUGUAGUGAGUGAAUGAUCCUCGUGCUGCGCUGGGGUUCCAAGAAAGUGAGGGGGCGGGGGGGCAGGAAGGCAGACGCUUAUGGGGAAUUUAGCAGCUGCUUGCACUGCAGAUGGAGAAGCUGCAGGUGCAGCAGGAGCAGGAAAAGCUUGUGAUAUCUGCAGAGGGAUACUACUACAUGGGAGGCAAGGAGAGAGAUGAGAAUAGAUUGGGAAAGGGAGGGUGGAGUAUUCUAUGUGGAAAAGGGGAAGGCUGGGAGGGGUGAGGUAUUUGACUGUAUUUUUCUUGGAGACAGAUUGGGAAGGUUGUUAUCGUAUUAUUGAUUUGUUAAUUUGCAUGGUUGGACCCUUGUGUGUGCUGGGAUUUGGAGGGAUACCCUCUAGAAGCAUGGAGCUGAUCACCUCUCAAGUUAAAUAUGGUUUUCUCCCAUGGGAUAUCUCCCCCCAUUCCCCCAACAGGUAGCUCUUUUACAACCUAAUCAUUAACCUUUGUUUAAUCAUAAUAUUUGCUAAAAUAUUGUAAACUUGUUUCAUUCCAUAUCUAGAUAGAUAUAGAUAUCUUAUUUUGGAAGAAUAAUUGAGGAAGGAGCCCAACCUGCUCCCUGUUCUUUAAGAAUUGCAAUGUAGUCUCAAGUGCAAGGGGGAAAGCCCCAAGGUGAGGUUGCUAUGUGUACAGGUCCCGUCUGUUUUCGCUUAUAAGCAGCUUAUCGGUGGAAAUAAGUGAGAAUCCCGUCAAAUAUUUUUCUUAUUUCUACCAAUUUUGGUUUAUGUGGUAAGCCGCUUCAGAGAUUUGAAUUAUGAGAAGCGAAAAGCGAGAAGCGAGAAGUGUAUCCAAACAGGACCUAAGCUGCUAGCUUAAUUUUCCAUUCAUUUAUAUUCUUUCUAUGAAUCAAUUCCUGCAUGUGACUUUAUACAUCCUAACAUCUAGAUAUCUUCAGUGGAGUCUUGGUUUGCACAAUUCAAAUCUAAAGACCACAAUAUCCUUCUAUUCCACGUGGAAAGUUUUUCCUUAAAUAAAACUUCAAAUAUAUGUUCUUUGGGUUAAUUGCGUGGAGUAUUUAUAUAAAAAUGGCGACACUGCUCUAAUUUCCAUCUUCACUUCAGAUUAGAAAUGAAGUAGUUUUCCAAAAAUGAAACAAAAUGGGCCCUUCAGAUUGGAAAAAGAAGUAGUUUUUUUUUCCAAACCUGAAACAAAAUGUGUCCUCCAAACACAUAUUGCGUACUAUCCACAAGUUAUUGGGUCAAUCUAGAGAUGCCCACUUCAGGAAAGCUAGAGCUCCGCCACACACAUAUAUUUGUUUUCUUUUCCACGAAACAAAUAGUUUGAUUUUAAACUUCAUGACCCUAUGAGCAUAAAAAAAAAUAUAAUUCCACAUUGACCUAAGCAAAACAUGGCUCGGGCGAGGCAAAAAGCCUGAAAUGGUUCCGGGCAAAAAAAACAUGUCUAGGCCCGCCCCACGGACAAACAUGAAGCUAGAGUUUUGAGGCUUCUUUCAGGUCGCCCUUUUAGUGUAAAGUUAAUGGAAAUAACUAGAGGACCAGGUAAAAGUUUUUAAACCUAACCAUCAACAUGAAUAAUUACAUAAAAAAUGGUAUCACUAGAACCAUCGCUAGAACCUUUUUCAUAUUAUGUAGUUUUUUAUUUGAAAAUACUAGUCAAAAUGCUAAAUUAUUGACUACUAUAUUUGUAUUGUAGGCUUGUAGCUGACUUAUAUCUGCUACCAACUAGAGGGAGUACGGAACAUGUUUAACAUUAGCAAAUAGCAACAGAUCGCCACUACACCUUUGUCCUCAGUAAAAGUCAAUAAGGAAAACUUAAAUGCAUAGUGUAUUGUACAUCAUAAAUGCCUUAACUAGUUACCUUGUCAUAAACAUCAUAUAUUUAGAAAAUUAAACAGAGCUAGUACAUCAUAAAAAGUGUGCAUUGCUAAGGGGGUGUUUGGAUACGAGGUGCUAAACUUUAGCAGGGUCACAUCGGAUGUUCGGAUGCUAAUUAGAAGGACUAAACAUAAGCUAAUUACAAAACUAAUUGCACAAAUGGAGUCUAAUUCGCGAGACGAAUCUAUUGAGCCUAAUUAAUCCAUCAUUAGCAAAUGGUUACUGUAGUACCACAUUGUCAAAUCAUGGACUAAUUAGGCUUAAUAGAUUCGUCUCGCGAAUUAGACUCCAUCUGUGCAAUUAGUUUUGUAAUUAGAUUAUAUUUAAUACUUCUAAUUAGUAUCCAAAUAUCUGAUAUGACAGGUGUUAAAGUUUAAUACGGUGUUCCUAACCACCCCUAAUUUUAAGUUGGCAAGACUAGACUAUGGCCCCACCCCAGGCAGAGUUUGUGAGCCGUGUAAUAGGCGUGUCAAAGGUCGACGCUGCGCCAUUACGAAAUAGUGGUUCACUUCCGUGAUUACUCGAGUCUCUCCUCAAUUUCUAGAUCCCUUGCCAGCUUAGGGUGAGUCAGCGGCUAGGUCCGAUAUCUCCUUUACGACCUUCCUCGAUAUAUACCUCCUUAAAAGUAGUUUCUCCUCUCGAUUCAGGGAAAAUAAGAAAAGUUUCAUUAACAAUUCCAUACCACUCGGGCGGUGUGCUUUCCGAACACUUGGGUUAUCGUAAGACGUCGAUUGAGGAAAAUCGAAUUGUUGGGGGUUCCCAUUUUCUUCGGCUCUCUCCGGUUUCAGUGAUCCUGAUGUCGAGGGUCGAGGGUGGGGCGGCCUACUUUCAACCUCCAUGGAGUCGGGUCCGCUUAACCGAUGUGGAGGAUUGUACUCCUACUCCCGGGCUGGCUAGUGUAACGAAAAGACAUAGCUAUGCGGGAUAAAUUUUUCCGUUAGUUGUAAAAUUAUUUAUCAAUUUAUUUAUAUAGCCUUUUCAGGUAAUAUAUAGAUCACUCCCACUCUAACUCGACUAAUUGGCUUUGUUCUCUAAAAUAAUCUGAAAGAUUUGCGGCAUAGGAAGAAAUCCAAUAGGCCAGCACAAGAAGAUAAACUUCGAGAUGAAUUGGGCGCUCCUAAAAUUCCUAUCACAUUGAACGUUUAGAUAUAAUUAGGAGUAUUAAACAUAGAUUAAUUACAAAACCAAUUGCACAGAUGGAGGCUAAUCUGCAAGAUGAAUCUAUUAAGCCUAAUUAGUUAAUGAUUUGACAAUGGGGUGCUACAGUAAACUUAUGCUAAUGAUAAAUUAAUUAGGCUUAAUAGAUUUGUAUCGUGAAUUAGCUUCCAUCUGUGUAAUUAGUUUUAUAAUUAACUCAUAUUUAGUCCUUCUAAUUAGCCUCCAAAUAUUCGAUGUGAUAUGAGUCCGGACUAAAAUCUAAACACCCCUUACACACGAGUUUUAUCUAGAUGCAUCCUGGUAGCAGUAGCACAUGGCACUGUGAGUAGGGGCUACUGUUGGACUCGUACCCUACACACAGUGGGUAAGCCGACCGGUGCAUGCAUGGUUACGCCAAUCAUGCUCCUCCUAACACGUCGUAUCAAGCUAGCCCGCUUGACAUGAUGACAUGGUCGUCGCUCGGUCUCCACUCCACGGGAUCAAAUUAAUUUCGGAACAUGCACACGGCCGUCGUCAACUUACGGCGUCUCCCGCAUUAUCAGAGCGCGGAGAGGAACCGAGUGGAUUUGUUUGAGUUUCUGCUUUAAAGCUUUUGACUGGAAAGGUAUCUUUCUGAAAUCUAACUUUUUAGUUCCUGAUUUUUUCUAUUAACUUUUGUAAUAAAUUUUUAUCUUCUCAGCACACUAAAAGUUAGAAAAAUCUCAUCUCAGUUAGCUUUUUAGCUUUCAAUUCACUUCCUCGUAGGCUAGCUUUCCAACUUUUCGAAAACCAGCCCAAUAGCUGAACUACUUGUUUCAACUAUCCAACUUCAGGUUGGCGGAAGCCGAAAAGCUGACCCGAUAACCUGAAACAAACGCAAACAGGGCUGACUACCCGAGAGGGUGGUACUGUACCGCACAGACGCACAGUGACCGUGCUUUCCCAAAUGGGAGCGCCUCGAUGAUGGGUAGGCCCGAGAUGGCCUCGCGGCCCACAUGUCGGUGGGUGGUGGGGGGCGCCCGCAUUUACAGCCGUCCCGUCGCCAGUGAGGCCGACGUGACGGCCGGCCACAUGCCGGCCGGCUGUUGGCUACUUGCCUGGCCUCGUAGAGCUCUGCGCCUUUGCCUUUGCCUUGUCGCUCCUUUUUAACCCGUGGGAAAUUUCGCGGUGACCGUCGCAGCAGGCGCCUCUGAUUUUUAGGUUAGGCAACGGGAGGUGAAAUGACAUCUACUAGUGGUACUUGGGUUAAUGAUCAACAAGGGUAGCCUCGCGUGCUUACACUUCUCGCCAUCUAGGAGUAAGUAUUUAGGUUAGGCAACGAUUGGACGUUCACUUACCGUGCUCUAUCCGUUUUCGUAUGUUUAGUCACCGUCACUCCACAAAGUCCAGAUGCAGGUGUUUCAAAAGAGCUAUCGUUUAUAUAAUUUUUCAAUAGUGGAGUCAAUAUUUUGGUCAUGCGUGCACCAAACCAAACCGUCGACUCAAGAUGUGCACAUGCAUAACAUUUUGUCACUCUAUCGAUCAGGUCAGAUGUUGCUUUUUAUUAUUGAUGUCUCAUCUCGUGUGGGAGCUAGAGAGAGAGAGUAUCAUCAGGGGAGGAUAUAAAAAUCCACUAUGCUUCACAUUAGCGAUCUCCAACGCCCAACCUCACCACGGAUGCUCAUGAGGUGUCUCGCUCAUUCACGUAUCCCACACACUACCCUAAUCAAACCACCUCCCGUGACCUUUGCAUCUUAGGCCCCGUUGAGAUAGGGAUUAAAGUUUAGUCUCUGUCGUAUGGAAUGUUUAGUAUUAAAUAUAGAUUAAUUAUAAAAUCAAUUAUAUAAAUGAAAGUUAAUUCGCGAGACGAAUCUAUUAAACUUAAUUAGUCUAUAAUUUGACCAUGUGAUGCUACAUUAAAUAUGUGCUAAUCAUGAUUCAUUAGAUUGUUUCGACAAUUAGCCACGACUUAUGCAAUUAAUUUUAUAAUUAGUUCACGUUUAAUCCUUCUAAUUGGUAUAGAUCGAAACUAAAAAAAUUUAAUCUUCCGUAACUUAAAACAGCAGUGAAAUAUCCAUCAUCACCCCUCUAUCCAACAUCAUCAUCCCUCGAGGGGACACAAUAAUUUUGAACCGCACGCCGACAUGACCAUGCAUGCAUGGACAGAGCAGGACGUACGCCGCGCGUAUGUGGCCGGCCUCUGGGUCUGGGCACCGCAAAGGCAGAGGUACGGUCUACCACUACCACCAAACGUACCACGGCUGCAUAGCCUGCAUGCGAGUGGCUGUAUGUACCAACCCAGCCGUGCCCGGGCACCACCCACGGCGCAACGCAACCGUGCGUCGUCCGUGCCUCUCUUCCCAAACGUGCCUCAGCUGACGGUCUCAAGGCUCGGAACAGUACGUCAUGGCUGGGAGGAGGCGGAGGACCACAAAACGGCCGGUCAGCUACCGUUGCAGUCGAGCCUGGAGCUGGACCACAACCCAAGCGGCUUCCUCGGACGCAGCGGCAGUCGGCUAAAACUGAUCGGCCGCCGGGGGAACACAGCAAAAGCAGGUGCAUUCAGAUCUCCAGUCCGGGUAUUUUGCAGUCAGGCCAUACGAGGACCACCCGCUUUCCCUCUUCUAGAAUCAGAGAAGAGAGGGAGCGCAUCGCAAUUACCUCAUGAAAGAGGGCAGAUAAACUGCCAACUCUGCGACCUACUGUACUCCUAUAUCGGCAUCCAGAAGCAGACGAGCUUCCGGAACUUUGUGACCAGUGAGGCUGUCUCCGUGUUUUUCCUAUAAAGCAGGUUUAGUACUCACCAUAACCUGUUUUCCUAGCGCCUGUACCGCCCGCUGCCAUCUCAAAGUCCCGAGAGAACCCUCGAGACGUUAAAUAAUGGAUAGAGUAGUCGAUUACCGCUUUUAAGUUCGUUCCACACGUGAGUUGAUGCAAAAUGGGUAUCGUUGUUUCUCGUUUCCUGUACAUAGAGGCCUCCUUGCUGUUCUGCCUUGGUUCUGCGUUGCCCGCUCCUUCUAGUAUAAUACGUAGCUCUCUUACCGGUUCGUUCACUCCAUUCACGUUACAAAAUUUUUUUCCCGAGGAAGCAAUUAUGAUAUGUUGUUGUAGAAUUUAUGAUUAAAAGUUUAACUUGCAAACAUCGAUUAGUAUCCGCCCUGUUCGCUUAUUCAACCGGCUUAUCAGCCACCAAACAGUAUUUUCCUCUCACAACAAAUCAGCCGUUUCAGCUUUUCAGCCGGCUUAUAAGCUGAAGCGAACAGGCCCAUCAAAUUUAUCGGGACCAGCUUCAGAUAGUAAACCAAAAGAAAGGGCCCCGCGUUGCUCCUAGGCGAUACAGGCGGCGACCCCACUCACCGCACCUUCCUCCCUCCUCUCACCUUGCCGCAGUCGGAGCGUGCCGCUGGAAGCCCGCGUGGGCACAAGGAAGGCGGCAGCGAGGCCUCCCACAUUGCAGUCAUAUGCGACUCGCGAGCCUCCUCAGAUCCCGCUCGCGUCGCCCCCAAGUGCAGCCCGGUCCAUGUGCGCUCCUUGUGGUCCUUCCCCCUGCAAGCGCAAGGGUGGCGGUAUCCUGCAGCGGUCUGCUGGCAGCCGGAUGGCCCGGGGCUCGUCCGAUUCGGUGUCUCCUUCGUCGAAACUAGUAUCUCCCCGGGUUGAUCUGGCUCGCUACAGUGAUGGCGGCGGCCUGAUGGAUGGUAGGCGUUUGGGAUUUGGUGUCUGCGGCGUGUGAGAUGGCGGCCGCCGGGGCUUGAUGACGGCGGCCAUGAUGAUGCACAACAUCAGCGCUAGGUAGCCCGUGGGGGCGCGGCGGCGGCUGCCGAUGGUGAUGCUCGCCUGGCUGUGGCUGUUGUGCUCCUUUGGUGCGGGGGGCCUCUUCGCGGCAAUGACCCGUGGCAAUGGAGGCCUACGGGUACGAUAACGGUGGCCGUGCGCACUAGCUCGUAUCCAUGUGUUGCGGCUCCGGCAGUGCUGGCGGACUGAGGUAGCAGAUCCUUUCAUCUUUGCGGCAGUUUGGUAAUUUUGGUCGCAUCGGUGGCAUCUUGGCGAGCCUUACGAUGGCGGCAGCGCAUGGUACGGGACGUGCAUCGUCAUCUUUGAAGGUCGUGUUGUGGUGCGUGUGCAGAGAUGGUAGCACGGGGAUGCUCAAGCCUGAGUUGGUAGAGGCGUGGUAUGGGACGCUCCUCAUCGACAGAAGGUUACGCUGUGACAAGGAUGGUGUGCUGCUAUGGCGGUGCAAUGGCUUGCGUUGGUCCUAGUGGUGUUAGUGUGGUAUGGGACGCACUUCGUCGAUGAAGGUUGCAAUGGUUGUUGUGCUGCGAUGGAGGCAUGGCCGUUUAUGUUGAUCGGCGAUGGCGUGGUAUGGGACACGCUUGGGCGACUUUGGGGCAGCACCUGGGUGAAAGUCAUUGUUCGUUGAGCCAACAGAUCGACGACGGCAACGCCUUUGGGCGCCAUACUUCUUAUGUAAGGCAUCUAUCAUGGCUACUCCCCUCGUGUCUUGUGUUCUUCUUGUGAAAAUCUUCUCCAUGCAGGACGGGUAUCGUGCCCUCCUUGGAGGCGAUGUUUUUGAAGUUCUCAGGUCUUCUCUGCUCAGUGUUAGCCGUGGAAAUUAGUUUUGUCUAUCUAGUGGUUCGUGGUCAUGGUCUUAAUUAGUGAGCUAAUGAAGAAGUACCUAUCAUUGUUCGUAAUUGGUCAAGCUCUGACAGUACUCUUGCCCUACAUGGUAUGAAGAUGGAUCAUCAAGAAUCGACUUUACGAAGCAAGUCAUGAAGGAUGGCUACUCGAACUGCAAUUUUGAUGGGAUCCUUUUCUUUUUUUUUACAUGUCUCUUACAUGACGUUGUAGUGGCUACUUUUUUUAUAACUGCGGUUGGAUUUCUGAAACCGGAUUUUCAUCCGUUAUCUAAAAAUCAAAUUUAUCAUGGGUCAAGACCUACGUGUCUUCGGAAUAUUCCUUUUCCGGCACCGGCUGUUGAGAUCUCUGCCUCCCUCCACGAUCCAAAUUGCCCGGUCAAAUGGUUAGCGGGGGAUGCGAUUUGUUUACGGCGCCCAAGAUCGAGUACGAUGACUGACGAGUGAGCGGUGUAAUUUAGCCCCAGCAGAUGCAAUCAUUAGUGGGAGCCAUCAACACAAAUCGCUCUGGAUCUUGCCUAAAGUAGAAAGGGGAAUACAAUACUGGAGGAUGAUGGCAUCGCGUAGAAAGGACAGCGACAAUCAGAAAGGCACGUUGGGUAGAGAUCAGAUUCACAAGUGGCUAAUUGUGUGUUUUUUAGACGAGAUUGUUCAUCAUAAGUUGAUCCUAUAAAAUUUAUUAGAAUAACUUUACUCUUCAUAGUUAUAUUAUUUAUUAGUUUGUGAGGGAUAAGAUGGUGUGAAAUCAACUCAUUCCAUCCUAUAAACCAAACAAAUAAAGAAAACAAGGAACGAGAAAACGACGCGUGACUUCGUUUCUCGAACCAAACACCCUACGAGGGUGGCGAUGGUAUCACGCAACGGGGCUGCGUGCCUAACGAUCGAGAGAACGACAAGAUGGAUUGUGUGCGUAGGCUUUUUGUUUGUUGCUCCUGAUCAAUAUGAUAGUAGUAUAGUACUAUACUACAACCUUCGUUCUACCACGUACUAUUAUAUUUGUUCGUAGCACACUGUACGCAUAGACCAGUGAAAUGCGUUUUAAGGGAAAAAACAAUGUAAAAUGGCCAUCUAUAUUCCUAUUAAAUGUCCAAACUCAAUUAUUCUUUUCUACUGAAGCAUUUUAAUUAGAGUAGAGAAUACAAAUACUGAAGUAACCAUAUUUUCAAUAUCCUUAAUAGACAAAACAUUAACUAUUUUUCUCGUAGGGUCAGGUCAUAAACAUAGUGAAGCUGAGAAAGUGUUUUUGCCAUUUCUCUACCUGAGCUAUUGUUUCCUUGCUUGGGCUUAAAGGGAGCAAUGGCCGUGAACGAACGAACACACAGAGUCAGGCCUGUUUUCGUUAGUUUGGGCCGCACACCAUGGCCUCGUUUGUUUCGUUCGAGAAUAUCCGCCGCACCAAAACCAUCAUCACCCAGCCAGCCGGCCCAGCCCAAGUACCUAUCCAUGCUGCUGCGCGCGGCGACCGCCGGCGCGGUGCGGCGGUGCACCUCGCUGGCCCCAGCGAGGUCCGCGCACGAGCUCGCGCAGGCGCAGGCGCAGCCGCGGCCGCGGCCGCGGCCGCAGGCCCAGGUGGCCGGCCCCGAGCUGCGCAGCUUGGAGCCGUCGUGGGUCCCGCUCUACGUGAGGCUCUCGAAGCUGGGCUCCGGCAGGCCGCCCGGAAGCGUGGCGGCGGAGCUGGACGCCUGGGUCAGCAAGAGGAGGCCGAUCUCGGUGGUGCAUAUCGUCGCCUACGUUCGCAAGCUCCGCAAGUUCAAGAAAGAUGCGUGCGCGCUCGAGGUGAGACCUUCCCCUCCCCAUUCCCCGCGAACGUCCGCAUCGCCUUGAAGUGCUGGGCUUAAUUUGGACCGAGAUGUGUUUGCGCCUUCCUUAUGUUGUUCGAUGCUACAUUUGCGCCAGCGUAUUUUCGAUAGGGUCGUGGUGAAAGUAGAGGGGUUUGGAGUUCGGGUAGGGAUAAGCGAGGAAAGCGGGUGCUUUUGAUUCAAGCUCCAUCUGUCUUCUUUUCGUGGAUGAUUUAAAUCUAGAGUCAUUAUUCGAUGCGCACGGUGGAACUUGGAUUCAACAAAAUGACAGGAGUACAGGACAGGACUGUGUUGGCAACCACUAAAAUGGUAAUUUGAUGUCUGAUACUAAAAGUGGAACUCGGUGCCAUGCUCCGAAGGUUUCAGAGGUCCACAUUGAAGGUAAGGAUGGUAUUGCGUAUCUUUACCAGCAAUAAUUGCGAAAACAGGUGUCAUAUUGUGGUGCUGCUUGUUCUGCCUGUGAACUUUGUGAGCUCCAGGUAGGAUAACGUAACUGUAAUUAUAUUAUUUUUAUUCUGUUUUGCAGUAUCUUGACCACUAAAAUUUGAAUCAACGAAGGAUGCUGCAGGUUCUUUUAUUUUUAUAUAAAUGCUAUAGCUAAUAUCGUUUUGCCUUUUCAUCAAUUGAUAAAGUGAUAGGAAAUAGACUAUGAUGACGAAGACCAUCUAUAAGAUGAUUUGAGACUCAGACUCAAUAUACUGAGGUGAAUUUUACUAAAGUUGCUUAAUAAAUAAACACUAAAAUUUUCUAUUUGAAUGACCACAGUGAGCCAGUGACUACAAAUUUCAUUACUUAACACAUUAAUCUGCAUGUGGUUGAGAGUUCGGACUUGAGAUCAUGCAUGUUGAUGCGUAUCUGUCUAGGGAUGUUUGCAUUUGAGUUGACAAAAAAGGGUUGAAUCCUGAAAGCCCCUGGUUUUGUUUUCUCAAAUACGCAAGAGCGUUGUGUAUCAUUAUAUUAAGAAGAGAAAAGGUUUAGAAACCCGUAGAACACCACACAUUAUACACCCCUUCAAACCAAACAACUUACAUAUACUCGCCUUUUAACAUAUAGGAUAAAAGGAUAUUGAAUUUUGCAGUGACAUGGCAUUCAUUGUUCUUGGUGUCUUGUACUCUUAAUUCUGCUCGAACAUAUAACUUUGUCUUCCUUAAUUCUAGUAGCUUUCUUGCUUUAGACAUGUCCAAUGUAUCAUGACUUGUUUAUGUAUGUAGUCAUUGUAAACCUUUCUCUAGAAAUUUAAUUGAAGGUUCCUUUAGAAGCAAGGGAAAUACUACCAUUGUCCUACUAUUUCCAUGGUAGAAAACUAUAGCCGGUUCUUUUGAGCAAUCAAGAAUCUUGUUGCUUGCACUGCUGCUAUUGAAACAAUGUUGGGUGGUGAUCUUUGCUUCUGCUAGACUGGGUGCUGGAUGCCUGACAACAAAUAACAUAGUGAAUUCAAGCCUGAUUCUUGGCAAUGCUGGCUCAGUGGCUCAUUUAUAUUACUCCCUCGUCAAAAUAUAAGGCAUGAUCUGACCUGGUGCAGUCUCCAACGCCACACUUUGAUCGCUGAUAUCUUAUUAUCACAAUGCUCAGGACAAUGAAAUUGCAUCAUAUGAAAGUGCUUUCAGAUAUAAAAUCCAAUUUUAUCAAAUUUGUAUAGUAUAACCUAAAAAAUUCAAUGACUAAGUUUCUGUCAAAGAGUUAAUAAUUUGAAUUUGGACUGCCAAUAAUUUGAAUUUGGACUGCCCUUACAAAAAGUGAACGAGGGAGUAUUGAUCUAACAUAGAAAAGCAGAUUUACAUGUCUUAGUAAAACUCAUGAUAUAGCAUGGCAUGGUACUUGUUCCAGUGCUCUGGUUCUUGUGAGUAUGUGCUUGUCAUAUUUUACUUGUAUUGUAUAUUCAUGUCCAAAUGAUAGUUGUUAUGCAGUGUGAUUUUAAUUCCUAGACCUAGAGUUUUUUUCCCUACUGGAACCAGUGGAAGGAUUGAAUAUUUUGGUUUAUAAAACCAGUUGUGCUCUCUGAGGAUUGUAUUCCACUUGGGUCAUUUUGGAAAAGGCAAAUAUUAUGGUCUUGAGAAUUUAGCUGCUGUUCGGGCGCAACCUCGUUAUGAGCAAAGUAUUUUUUUAUAUUCACUAUAUAAUAUUUGGCUGUCCUGUUUUAUACCCAGUUGAUGGACUGGAUGGAAGCUCGCGGAGCAGAGUUGGGGCUCAUUCAUCACACGCUGCGCCUUGACCUCAUUUCCAAAGUGCAUGGGAUACAGGCAGCUGAAGAAUAUUUCUGGAGCCUUCCGGAUAUGUUUAAGUCAAAGAAAACUUAUGCCUGUUUGCUUAAUUGCUAUAGUGCACAUGGGAUGGAAGAUCAAGGUUUGGAACUCUAUGAAAAGAUGAAGGCCCUGAACUUUGUUCCAGAUACGCUGAUGUACAACAGCUUGAUGGCCUUGUACCAAAAGGCAGGUCAGCCAGAGAAAAUCCUUACCACAUUUGAAGAAAUGCGAGAAAGUGGUAUAAUGGCAGAUAAAUUUACAUACUUCACAUUGAUAGAAAGCUAUAUUAUAAUGAAUGACCUAGAUGCCGCUGAGAAGGUCCUGGAAGAAUUGCAGGAUGUGGCUCCAGUUCACUGGUCCUUGUACACUCUGAUGGCUAACAGUUACAUCAAACUAGAGCAGUUUGGCAAGGCGGAAGCAGCCCUAAAGAAAGCCGAGAAAGUUAUGGAUAGGGCUGAAUUGCGCUCCUGGCAUUCCCUCCUCUCCCUCUAUGCCUGUUCUGGAAAUUCAACUGAGCUUAAGAGGAUCUGGGAGUCUUUGAGGUUGGCAUUCAAGAAAUGCUUGAACAGAAGCUAUCGGGUGAUGCUUCAAGCCCUGAGUACGGUUGAUGACUUUGACUGUUUGCAGCAGAUCUUUCAGGAGUGGCAAUCCAGUCAUGAGUAUUAUGACAUGAGGAUAGCUAAUGUUAUGAUUAAAGCUUACCUUGAUAAGGGUAUGAUAGACGAAGCUGAGGCUAUCCGUCAGAGUGCCAUGGCUCAGGGUCAUUGCAACGAGAAUACAGUUCAGAUAUUUGCGGAGUUCUAUUUGGAUAAAUCUAAUGUUGAAGCGGCACUAGAGAUCUUGAGAGAUGCAAAGAACAUGGUAACAGCACACAACUGGGUGCCAUCGAAAGAGCUUGUGAGCAGAUUUCUGAAAUACUAUGAAGAGUCAGAGAAUGUUGAUGGUGUGGAGUCUUUCUGCGAGGACCUGAAGAAGCUUGAAUGUCUUGAUGGGAAAGCUUAUGAGGGCUCGAUGCGAACCUAUAUGGCUGCACAGUUAGAACCAACCCAUCCAUUGCUCAGCGCAUUGAAGAUGACGGGUUUCACAUAGAACCUGAGAUGGCAAAAUUGCUAAAAAAGUGUCUGGCAGUUGAAGAUGAAAAUGUAUCUUUUAAGAAGUUGAGGCUACUUUAGCUACUUUUUCUCCGAUAUAGAGCAAUAUUUAACCUGUUGAAGAUGUCAUUAUCUCGUGAAAAACAGGGAGGAAGCAUCUGCUGUACGUAAAAUCGAUGAUCUUUGUUAUCCCUUUGCUGCCACCGAAUUUCCGUGGAAGCAUUUGGCAUAUGGCAUCACAUUUGAAUAUUUGAUGCUCUGCUAGACUGCUAGGUAUGGCUGGCUACUACCUAUACUUCUUGUAUGAUGAUGUCAUUUGCAAAAUCCAUAUUUUCUCCUAAUGUUUAUAUUUUACCAUGCAGUCGAUUGCAAGUACAGUAUUAUCUAUUGCUUGUAUGUUACCGAACGUUCAUGAGAGGAGCAACGCAGCAGUGAUAAUGAUUUCUGGCGUAUUAUUCUCUAGGUACUCACAUUCAAGGAAUGUGUUGGGCUGGCCAACGAAGCAGUCACAUGUUGUGUGUGUGUGUGUGUGUGGGGGGGGGGGGGGGGGGGGGGGGGGGGAGGGUCGGGGUCAGUUGUCUAAUUCACUCUAUUUUUUCAGGGGAGCGUAGGGGGGAUUCGGUUGAAAAUCAUAGAGACAACCACUCGAAAAAAAAGGGACGCCGCCAUGAACAGGUAAUGGACCCGUCAUCUAAUCAGAAGCUUAUCUUCAGAUGAUUGCAAGGGGCCAGGACAUGGACAAGACAUAAAUUUAAAAAAACAUAUAAAAACUGAAAUUAACAGUAUUUAACAUGUCUUGAGCUUUACAAAUUCUUCCAUAAAUUUGAUUUGACAGAAAGCUACAAAACACAAGCAACUUCAAAAAAAAAAAGAAAAUAAUGACAAAGAUAAACACAUUGCACUAUUUCAUAAACACAAAAUAAAAAACACUAAAAAAGAAUUACAACUAGAUUGUUACGCGCAGAAAAUGAGAACGAUGGCAUAGACAGGACACAGAGUUAAAACAAACAAACGAAAAGUGAAAUAGAC
rnacentral:lncRNA from 1 species